rnacentral:lncRNA from 1 species
UGCAUUGUAUUACAGUUAUAGAUUUCUCAAUUGCAAGUUAUAUAUAGUUUUUCCAUUUUCUGCUCUUAUCAUUGUCAAGUUGUAGAUGUAUGCUAUUUGAUAUGUUCCACGCAUGGCAAUGCAAGACGAUAAAUUAUUCGUCGAUAAAUAAACCCAGCUAACAAAUCUGGUACAUCACAAUUAUUACUACCGAAGUUAUUGCCACUCGCCUAUUUCACCUUGGCGAAUGAGAGGAGCUGGCGUUUGUGAGUCCACGUCUGCUCGUACACCUCUGCCUUGUACUUGUCUUCUUUCCCGCCAAUGUCUGAUGCCUCGAUGAUAAGUUCGUAGUUCAUUCCAGAAACAAGUUGUUGCCUGCCACUUACCACCUUGUUGAACUUGAGCACGCAGUUCACAUGCUUGCCGAACUCCAACACCGCCCAACGGCCGAGCUCCUGGAUGUGUUGGUCAUUGAUGUUUCCGAUUGGUUCCCAUCCAUUCUCUAUUGCCGUGUUCCACAAUUGGUUGCCCAUCCGUUCCCCACAGCCUAUGGCGGGUGAGCCGAUGGCAUAGAGGAACGCAACAACGAUGAUGAGGAGGAAGCUAGAUGUCCUCAUGGCUAUUGGAUUGUCUAGUGGGGUUCUUGAUCUUGAGAUAUUUAUGUGGGACUUUGGUGAAUUGGUGAUGUGAGUGGAUCCAAAACAAUUGAGGUAGCGGUGCUUAAAUAGACAUUGUUAUAAGAGGCAAACAUUAAUUGGAUGCUUAUCCAAGUAGGCAUUUACAAUGGCAUUUAUGACAACCUUUUAUACGGGGGCAAACUUUAUUCAAAAGUUAAUCAAUUGGAUCCAUAUCCGAAGGCUUUGACCUACUUAAAUUUAGAAAGGUUUAAAUACAUGCUUUUUAGAUGGUUGUAUUUCAUAGCAAAGGUAGUAACUAGUGCACCCACUAACAAGUUUUGAGUAAUAUCUUCUCCAUAAAAUGGUCAAAACUUAAAUGAAUUGGCCUAAGAUAAAGAAGAUAGGCAUUAUAAACUCACAAAAGGCAGUAGAAAGCAUGUAUGUAAACCUUUGUAUGAAAAUACACUAGUACAGAAAUGGCUAGCCACAACUUUUGUUUGUGGUGCGCAAUAUCCAACAAGCACCACCACUAUUUUUGUCCAAAUAGUGGCAGGGUUGGUAAAUUUGGUAGGACAUCGAUAUACCCUUAGUGUUGGCAUUGAAUUAUUUUAGCACGACAUUGAUGUUUUCUGAGUUUUUUUGGGCUAUACUUUGCUAUGGCGUGGCCUGUUAGGACCAUGCUGGUGAUGACCUACUAGUAUAGGGGAUCAAUAAUAGUCCUUUCGAUAAGUAAGAGCGUCGAACCCAAUGAGAAGCAGAAGGAAAUGAUAAGUGGUUUUUAGAAAGGUAUUUUCUUCAAGUGUCGUAAGUAGUAAUAACAGAUAGUUUUGUAGAAAUAUAAUUCGUAAUAAGUAACAAGUAACAAUAGUAACAAGAGUGCAACAAGGUGGCACAAUUCUUCUUAUAUCAAAAUACAAGCCGAAAGUUCUUCUUGUAAUGAGAAAAUCAUUCUUAAGGACACAUGGGAAGUCUCGUCUAGUCACGUUCAUUAUGUUUAGUUGAUUCUCGUUCACGACUUUGAUAAUUUCAUAUGUUGGUGGACCGGUGCUAGGGUGCCGUUCUUACUUGAACAAGCAACCCACUUGUGAUUACCCCCUCUCGCAAGCAUCCACAACUAUUAUUAUUAGUCAUAAAAAAAUUACGGGAUCAUAGUAGGUGCUAAAGAAUAAAUAUAGCAUAGGAGAGCAGCAACAAUAUCGAAUCCAUAUAUAAAGGACUUUGAAUCUCUUGUUCCACGCAGAAAAAAGGGCACGAAGUAACAGCGACAGAUUGCAUUGACUGAAUAAUAAAUUAUCAGACCAAAACAUGGCGUACUUAGAUUAUUUCAUGCUUUUGAAAUUUGAAAGUGUAUACUGCAUGCAUCAAAUUCUAUUAUCUCAUGAAAAUAUGGCAAUUAAAGAGUGGCAGCUAGGUAGUAGUAACCAUCUAUUUUAUGACGUGGAUCAAAGAGAAUCAAUCAUUAGUUGCUCAUGUGAGUAGUAAUAGAACGAGGAGACUAACCUUAGAGGUGUGUCUGCUGGGAACAUAGUAGGCAUUAAAGUAAAAUAGCAUAGCAGUUUGUGGCCUGCGGCAAAUAUGUAAGAAAGAGUGGAAAUUUUGUCAGGCCAAUUAUUUGCCAGUGCGCUCCAUUAAUCAUAACAUGAGCCAAUCCUUGUAAAUACAAAAUAUCAGGGAGCGCACGCUGCAUGAGUUCAACACCAGCUUUGAUGCCUUAUGUACCGGGAUUGAGGGAGUAGUGGUAGUCUCUCUUGCACAAAAUCAAUUGAGGGGACAAAUUCCUUGCCAUGUUUGGCAAUUGCUUGCUACUUCUUGAGCUUGCGUUGGUUUUUCCCUUGAAGAGCAAAGGGUGAUGCAGCAAAGUAGAGAUACGUAUUUCCCUCAGUUAAGAACCAAGGUAUCAAUCCAGUGGGAGAAGAAUGCGCAAAUCACCAAUACCUACAAAAACAAUCAAACACUUGCACCCAACGCGAUAAAUGGGUUGUCAAUCCCUUCACGGUCACUUCCAAAAGUGAGAUCUGAAAGUAAAAGAUUGCAAAAUAGUAGAUAGGAAACUAAUAUGAUGGAAAAUAGACCCGGGGGCCAUAGGUUUCACUAGAGGCUUCUCUCAUGAAGGCAAUUAAUACGGUGGGUGAACAAAUUACUGCCGUGCACUGAUAGAAAAGCGCAAAGUUAUGACGAUAUCCAAGGCAAUGAUUAUGUAAUAUAGGCAUCACGUCCGUAUCAAGUAGACCGACUCCUGCCUGCAUCUACUACUAUUACUCCACACAUUGACAGACUCCUGCCUGCAUCUAGAGUAUUAAGUUCAUAAAGAACAGAGUAACGCAUUAAGUAAGAUGACAUGAUAUAGAGGAAUAAAAGCAAUAUGAUGUAAACCCCAUCUUUUUAUCCUCGAUGGCAACAAUACAAUACGUGCCUCGCUACCCCUACUUUGUCACUGGGUGAGCACACCGCAAGAUUGAACCCAAAGCCAAGCACUUCUCUCAUUGCAAGAAAAACCAAUCUAGUUGGCCAAACCAAACCAAUAAUUCUAAGAGAAUUAUAAGGAUAUCAAAUCAUGCAUAUAAGAAUUCAGAGAAGAUUCAAAUAAUAUUCAUAGAUAAGCUAAUCAUAAAUCCAAAAUUCAUCGGAUCUCGACAAACACACCGCAAAAGAAGAUUACAUCGGAUAGAUCUCCAAGAACAUCGAGGAGAAUAUGGUAUUGAGAAUAAAAGAGAGAGAAGAAGUCAUCUAGCUACUAGCUAUGGACCCGUAGGUCUAUGGUAAACUACUCACGCUUCAUCGGAAGGGCAAUAGAGUUGAUGUAGAUGCCCUCCGUGAUCAAAUCCCCCUCCGACAGGAUGCCGGAAAAGGCCCAAAUAUGGGAUCUCAUGAGAACAGAAGGUUGUGGAGGUGGCAAAGUGUUUUCGUUGAUGCUUCUGAGGGUUUCGGAAUAUUUGUGAAUUUAUAGGACGGAGAAGUAGGUUCGUGGAGUUACGAGGGGCCCACAAGGCAGGGGGCGCGCCCAUCCCCUAGGGCUCGCCCUCCACCCUUGCCGCCGCCUCGUGGCUCUUCUGAGUUGCACUCCAAGUCCCUUGGAUGUCUUCUGGUCCAAGAAAAAUCAUCGUAAAGUUUCAUUCCAUUUAAACUCCGUUUGAUAUUCCUUUUCUGCGAAACUCAAAAACAAGGAAAAAAUAGAAACUGGCACUGGGCCCUAGGUUAAUAGGUUAGUCCCAAAAAUAAUAGAAAAUAGCAUAUUAAUGCAUAUAAAACAUCCAAACAGAUAAUAUAAUAGCAUGGAACAAUCAAAAGUUAUAGAUACCACUACAAAAAAAGACACAUCUGUGACAUUUUGGGCCGAACAGAAAUCUUUUCUGUCAUACUUAUGACACUUCUAUGACGAUAAUUGUGACAAAACCCAGUAUCAUCAUAGAUGUGGUGGGGUCCUACUUCUAUGACAAAAAAUCAUGACAGAAAAUGGGCUUUUCGUCCUGGGCGGGCCGGAGACGCAGUUGCAUGACAUUCUUUGGGCCGUCCAUGACGGAAAAAACCGUGGUACAAGCGAGGGCGCAGAAAAUAUCGGGGAGUCCCCGGUUACGGUGGGUGGUCGGGGGCCGAGCGAUGCGCGUUUCUCUCGUACAUACGCGCGUGUGUGCGAGGCGUUGGGCUCUAACUGAACCCGAGCAAGGCGUUGGGCUCUAACUGAACACGAGCGAUUGCACUGCAGGCUACGCGUUACUGAACCCGAGCGAUCGAUCGAUGGCUGUUAACUGAACUCGAUCGAGCGAUUCCUUCGCUACUGCUGCUAACUGAAGCCGAUCGAUGCUGCCUCUGGAUGAACAGUGAGCGUUGCGGGGAGGGGGGGGUGGGUUGGAUGAACAAUUCCCGGUGGGGGUGGAUGAACAGGACCCCGUGGUGUUGCCUCUGGAUGAACAGUACCCCGAUCGAUCGAGCCGGUUGGGGCUGGAUGAACAGGACCCCGUCGAGGGUUGGAUGAACAGGACCACCCCGUGGAGGGCAGGAUGAACAGUAGACGGUGGAGGGCAUGAUGAACAGUAGCCCGUGGAGGGGUGGUUGAACAGGAGCCCGUGGAGAGGGCUGAUUGAACAGUAGCCGGUGGAGUAGCGUGCGGUGGAGGCUGGAUGAACAGGAGCCCAUGGAUGAACAGUCGUAGGUGGAGGCUGGAGGAGGUCGACGGUGGAUGAACAGUAGCCCGUGGAGGCUGGAGGGGGUCGACGGUGGAGAUGAACAGUAUCCCAUGGAGUCCCGUUUUGCGGUACGCCACACCCCUCCUGAUGAACAGGACCCCCGUUUCGACCGUAGCGCUCCAACACAAGUCCGUUUCCUCUGUUUUGCGGUACGCCACACCCCUCCCGAUCAACAGGACCCCCGUUUCGACUGUAGGAGGUCCGUUUCCUCCGUUUUGCGAUACGCCAGACCCCUCCCGAUGAACAGGAUCCCGUUUCGAACGUGGCCGGUCGAACACAAGGCCGUUUCCUCCGUUCUACGGUACGGCACGCCUCGUUUCCAUCGGCUGUUCCGUCCAAGCCCUCCCGAUGAACACGACGACACAUUCCGUUCCGACCUAGCCGGUUGGCUCCCCAUGAACACGACGAUGACGUUGUUUCUCCAUUCCGACCCAGCCAUGUACACAAGCCCUGGCCGUACGUAUGCGCGAGUAGGCGUUCGAGACCCUGCCCAUAUGUACGUACGUGGCCGUAUUUUCUUUCUUGCACACUGGCCGCUGUACGUAUGUGUACAUGCUACGUGCGCGCCUCUACAUCGACCAGUAUGUACGUACACGUUCGCGACCAGAAUGACAACGCUACGUACGCUUCGACCAGGUGGGUCCCGACUGUCAGGCACUUCCUUGCCUGCGAAGAUGUAGUUGGUGGGUCCCAGCAGUCAGGGGGCGAAUCAUUUUUUUUGCCCGGACGCACUUCCUUGCAUGCGAAGAUGUAGCUGGUGGGUCCCAGCAGUCAGGGGGAAAUGUUUUUUUUUUGCGAAAUACGGUGGCCCGUCCGGUGGGUCCCUGCUGUCAGGUGGAGGAAUAAUUAUUUUGCACGUAAUAAGGAGGCACUUCCUUGCUGUGGCCGUGGACCCAGCUGUCAGCCUCUCCACGUACAGUCCACGUCCGAUGGAAGCCGUUCCUUGACCACGUUGACCACGCCGCGCCGAGAGCACCAGGGCGGUGGACGACGGCGAGGCCUAGGAAGGGGACGACGCGGAGCCGGGGAAGACGCGGCAGUGGAAGCCUGCACGGAGAGGAGUACGAGGGUUCACUGGUUCGGCUGCGGUGUGAGGCUGCCGUCGCCGCAGGGCCUGGCCAGCGGUGGGAAUAGUAGGGGGCGGUGAGGCCUCCGUGGCAGCACAGCCGACCACGGGAGGCAGGAGGAUGCGGCACGACCGGCGCUGCUUUGGGCGGUUGGAGCAACAAGACCAGAGGUUGAAGAAGCACUACGGCCGUUGGAUGGACAUCGUACGGUCACUGGAGCUAGAAUCGUUCAUAUUGACUAAGUUGACAAAGUACUCCGUCCCCGUCAACUUAGUAGGCCCACAAGUCAGCCUCCCACCAAGGUGGGUCCCAACCAACAGGGAGAGUAUUCUUUUUUUAUGCAUAAUAAGGAGGCACUUCCGGUGGGUCCGAGCUGACAGCGGGGGGAACGUUUUUUUCCCGCAAUACGGUGGCCCGUCCGGUGGGUCCCAGCAGUCAGGGGGGAAACGUUUUUUCGCGAAAUACGGUGGCCCGUCUGGUGGGUCCCUGCUGUGAGGUGGAGGAAUCAUUAUUUUUCGCAUAAUAAGGAGGCACUUCCUUGCUGCCGUCGUGGACCCAGCUGUCAGCCUCUCCACGUACAGUCCACGUCCGAUGGAAGCCGUUCCUUGACCAUGUUGACCACGCCGCGCCGAGAGCACCAGGGCAGUGGACGACGGUGAGGCCUAGGAAGGGGACGACGCGAAGCCGAGGAAGACGCGGCAGUGGAAGCUCGUGCGGACAGGAGUACGAGGGUUCACUGGUUCGGCUGUGGUGUGAGGCUGCCAUCGCCGUGGAAUAACAGGGGGUGUGGGUGAGUAGAGGGAUGGCCUGGCCAGCGGUGGGAGUAGUAGGGGGCGGUGAGGCCUCCGCGGCAUCAUAGCUGGCCACGGGAGGUUGGAGCACGUGGCACGACUGGCGCUGCUUUGGGCGGCUGGAGCAAGAAGACCAGAGGUUGAAGAAGCACUACGGCCGUUGGAUGGACAUCGUACGGUCACUGCAGCUAGAAUUGUUUAUAUUGACUAAGUUGACAAAGCCCUUGGUAGGCGUCAACUUAGUAGGCCCACGGGUCAGCCUCCGAAACGGUGCACCCCAGAUGUCAAGGGGAGGAAUCAUUUUUGGGCGGCUGAAGCAAGAAUAUCCGAGAUUGAAGAAGAAGCACGACAUCCGUUGGAUGGACAUCCAACGGCCACAGCUGCCAGAACCGUGUGUUGUUGACAAAACCUUGCAUACGCGUCAACUUAGUUUUUUUUAGGGGACGCGUCAACUUAGAAGGCCCACAAGUGUGUGGCAGAGAACAUAUAGCCCAUUUGCGAUUUAUAAGAAUGUACAGCCAAUUUUUUAAUUCUAAUGGAAUUUACUACAGCCCAUUUAUAGUUUGUUAAAAGUACAUCCCAUUUUCUAGCUAGGACAACGAUUAAUAAUUUCAACCAACCGCUCAAAAUAGAAUUCAAAAAAAAUUCCCACAUUUUUAUGGGAUCCCAAAUAUUUUAAUCCGAAAUUUCUAGUCAGAUUAAAUAUAAUUUCAAAAUAAAGUUGUAUUACGUUAAAAUCCAACGAAAUAUUGCGCGCGCAACAAGUAAUGAAAUUAAAAAUUUCAAAUUCCAAAAAUAAUAUAUUUUUUAAACUAAUUACGUGUUUGGUGCAUCUUUUUAUAGUUACUGCCCAGUUAUUAUAAUUACAUCCCAUUUAUUAUUUCUUAAAGUCCAUUUUCUUGUUAAGCCUAAUGCAUACCUCCUAGGAAAGUUUGCAGCCCAGCGGGGCGGAGAAUAACAAGUUGACCCGGAUAUUGUGUACAACUGUCGGCCCAGUUGCAUUGCUGAUGUUGAAAAAAAAGGCCUAUGUAGUAUAGUACAACCUAACAUGGCUACUCAGCCCACAUUCAGCGACGCCGGAAAGGCCCAAAAAAGGCUUCUGUACAACUUUUUGAAGUCACUGAGCUCAAUUAAUAACUUAAGAAAAAAGUUAGAUUACAGUGGAACCUAAUUAAAAGCUGUCACGAGCAAAGAAAUAAUUCAACGGGUCCCACUUGUGUGCGUGUGUGUGUGUGAGAGAGAGAGAGAGAACCAUCGGUCGAUACUCGUAAAUACAUCUUUCGGCCAUAUGCAUUGCUGAUGCUCAGUAAAAACUUAUAUAGUUGACACAAUCAUAUAGAACAUCAUAGCACACUUAACUUGCAUACAAAAAUUUCACGCAGGCGACACAAUCAGGAUGGAAGCAGUGGAUCGCUACGGGUAGGGCUAUGUUGAAACCAACGAACUCGUACAUAACGGUUCAUCUUCUUUAUCAAUGACAGGGAAAUAUCUUGAAUGCUGUGCAAAGAAAACAGACAAACAACACAAUAAGUUCUGCUAGCACAUUAAGUUGACGUACAACCCUUUCUAAAAAAUGUUCAGGUACAAAAUUAGAACAAGUCACAAUCAAAUGUAGUGGCACAUCAGUGCUUCACACCCAUAGCUCGGAUUUAACUAGUAUCUGACAAGAUUCAGUUGUUACCUCAAAUUAGAGCACAUCCAGGCAGUCAGCCCUGCCUCUUCUCCCAAAGAAGCAGUGACCUCCGCCGCGCGAUGGAGUAGGCCCUGUGCCAUCCAUCGUUCCGAGCAACACGGGGAAAGUCUGACGUUGACUCCUGUAAUGGACGUCGUCGACGGACCCUGGCACCAGCGGCGGCGGCAGGACUUCGAUUGAUGGAUUGACCACUUCUUCGACAUGCACCAACACUCGAUACAGGUACAUCCCUAACGUGGUCCGCGAAGGACUUGGUGGCAACGAAUAGUACAACCUCGGUUCCUGCACCGGUAUCUCAACACCAAUCACCUUGGGUAUGGUGGACGGCUUCUUCAUCCAUGCCAUAACCGUCAGAGCCCAGCUAUCUGGAGGAACAAACAUACUUACGAGCUCACCUCCAAGGUCGUUGAUAAGCUCAUUCAUGGACUCGCUGUUCCAAGCACGUCGAGGCAUGCCGUGGAAGGUAAGCUUUGUUAAAAACUCAAGCUCAGAGGGCACUGAGCCCCAUCCUGGGUGCCAUCAAUCAAAGCUCACCAGAGCGCCAUCGUAGAAUAAACGCCGGGAAGAUUCGAACACACGACUGCAGUCGAAAGUUGUCCGGAACCUGACGAAGAAAUCAGCCAGUGGCGGACAGACUUCGACGAGCAAGUCACUUAUUUGGAUGCCGUGCGCAAUGCCAAGAGCUUUGACAAGGUCGUCCGGCGAGUCGGGAGGCCAGUCGCCGUUGAUGGUUACAAGCAGCACUUUGCCGGCAAACUAGUCGUCAAGCGCCGCCAUGCCACUAUUGAGCGACAACAUGCAGCGACCGAAGGCAGGACGGACCUCAGGAUCUCCGGCUCGGAGAUCCGCGUUGACCGGCGACAUGAUAGUGAGCUUGAGUACAGGGAGUACAGGAGGGGGAUUUGGGGGAACUGGAGUACGAAUCGAGAUUCCAGAGGUGGGGGAGGGGCGGGAGAUUGGGGAUGAAAAGGUAGCUUGAAAUUCGAACACGCGCCAAUAUGCUCUCGGCGCGCAAGCGCACGAAAACACCGGUGGCGCCCACAUGUCGGCCUAAGAGUCCUUAUUCUUUCUUUUUUGGAGAGCCCGACCUUUUUUUAGGAUCUUUUGAGAGCCCGGCCUGAGAGUCAUAAUUGACCUGUUUGGCUUGCGUUACUACUCGGCCCAUAUUCAACGACACCUCACUGGCCCAAACAAGUGUACAUCAUCGAAAAGACACUGAGCUCAAAUUAUAUAACUUGAAAAAAGGAGAUACACUCUGAACACUGGAGAAUGGUGAUGCCCUCAUUUAGCCCACCAGUAGUUCGAGACAAUAAACAGUUCGAAACAACGAUAUAUACAACAUUCAAACACUGACUAGUGACUACUACUCACAUAAACAGCAAGACAUGAUAUUUCAUAAGAAGUCUUGCUACACCACCAAAACGCACCCAUUUGCAGCGCUCAGACUCUUGUGAUCCAGACGAGAAUGACAUUCUAAACAGAGCCAACUAUUACAUAGUAAGAGUGACAUAGACGAGGAUGACCAAAUGACAAGGAAUAUGCAUAACAGAAGAAAGAACUACCCAUCCAGAACAAGCAGCAAAGACAACAAAGUCAUUCGAAGAGAUGAUCCAACACCAUCAUAAUUUGCAGCCCCGCUUCAGCGACCAAUGAUCUGGAGAAACCAGUACUCCACCCUUUCGAUACAACAGCCCAAUUACCUAUCAACCUGAAGGCUUGAUCCACAUAACUGCCUGUCGUAAUUGAGACAUCCAAGGAUCAAAGUUAAUCCGGAUGCCUUUGUCAUUCUCACCUUCUUUUGGCUGCAGGCUGUAUCGUUCACAAUCAGGGGAGUUUGCUCCCGAACUCCUAGGGCUCGCCGUGUAGACACAGUUUUCCAUAUAAAAUAAAGCCUCUCUGCCAUCAAGGUCCUUGCCAACGGUGAUCUCCUGGUUAAUCGGAUAACUGAGUCCGAGAAACAGAGAGUGUGAACCAAGGCUAUUUACCCGCCUCCAACUAAAAAAUCCUGAAGGCCCCAACAAGCUGGUAUCCUGCUCAUAGACGUAACAGCCACUGUCCGGAUACUCACGUAUUUCACGGUGCUUGUAUACAGUGUGGUUUUUGUAAUAUAACUUUUCCGGCUCAUGUCUCUGAAUGAUCAUCAGUCUUUUGCCGUCGUCUGAUCGAGCGAGGAACCAGUUGUGCUUCCCUGUUUUUGGCAAAGGUGGUGUGAUUACAAAGGGCAGUAACUGUAGGGACACUGCAUCAUAUCAAAAAGGACAGGCAUUGUUAAUGUAAGAUUAGCAUUGUUCAGAGUAUGAGUAGGAUAAUGCAAGAAACAACAUUGAUAUGUCCCUGUUGGAACUAGGAGGAAAAUACAGGGAAAUGUAUACUGGGUUCGAAAAUAUAGAAGUGCCAUGCAUGGUUAUACUCAUGUUAUCUCACAAUCGAUUCUUCACAGGAAACUACCAUGUCAUGCAUGUUAUGGAAUCAUGUUCUGUCCUCACAAACAAAUUCUUCAAGGUAACUAACAGCCCAUGCAUUGUUAUAUACUCGUGUUCUGUGGGCAAAAUUUUUGUGAGGAUAUUAUUCUAGCCAUUGAUUGCUGAAGGGCGAAUAUAGGUAUGUACACAUGGUAAGCAUUAGAGGAUUUCAUUACUUCCAAAUAUAGAGUUCUCCAUAUGCACAUUUACUUCCCUAAUGUAUGGUUCGAUGAAACCAACAGUGUGGUGCAUGUUUCUACAUCAUGAAAAUGAGGAAACUAACAUGGCCAUUGAUACACACUCAUAUUUAGUAGUAGUAUAUAGAUUACUGUAAAAUAAGGAGAAUAUCCAUAUAUUCCUAACCGUUUGAUUAUUCAGGGGUACAAAUUGGCUGUAAUGACAUGAUCACAAUCGCACGAAUUAACUCAUUCCAAAUAUAGCUGAUUGACGGCGUCUCUAAUACAUUGCCAUAGUUCUACUCAAAUUCUGCUCAAACAGGGAUAUGCCAAUCAUCACAAAAAGUUCAAACAGUGUCAUGGCGUCAUCAUUAACAUGAGACGGAAACAACUUACACGCGACGUCCCAGCAAUACAUGGUGCCAUCUGCUUUGUCGAUAGCGUAGAUGAUGCCAUUGUGUUCAAUAGCAUCACAGAAGUGUGUAUCAGCUUUGACGACGAUCCACUGCGAGCUGAGUUGUCUCCAUCUAAAGAAGGCACCGGCUUAAAGAUAGGCGAGUCCCUUGUCGAACAAGGAAAUUAGCUUGAAGUCUGCGUAAUCCGCAUGUCGUGUGGGCACUUGGCAUAUUACAAUCUUCUGCAAAACAAGGUCCGUCCAACUGAAGCGGUAAUCUAGAUGACUAGGACCGCGAUGGUAAUACUCCAUAUAAUCCAACGGAGGAAGGAUAAUCUCAUGGGAGGUCUGGAAGUUCACGAGCACCAACUUUUGACCGUCUUCUCUGAUGGCAGCCAUCCAGUGGGAGUUCAUGUCGACCCAGUACAUACCUGCCAAGAAGUUUCGGGCGAUGGUGAUCGGAUCGAAGUCGAGGGAAAUGAUGUACGGCGACCCACUACAUACCUCCAAAGAAGUUUCAGCUAAUGGAGAUCGGAUUGAAGUCGAGGGGCAUCAUGUACGCCUCCGUAUCAUGGUGAGCCAAUCUCGCAAGACCAGAUAGCAGCAAGUAGGGUGUCUUGAAAAGCUUAGGCCUCGCUUCAACGAUGGCCGUGUGCAUGCCCCUCGAGCAUGCAGCCAGCCGCAGGGCGCUCAACAUAUCCAUACACGAACAACAGAGGUCGAGGACGUCACUGGGGAGAUACUCCAAUCGCGGCUCAUAUGGAUCAUGCGCGGUUCGUGUUCGGCCAUGGUGGAGUUUGGAAGGUGGGGUUUUGGGGGGCUUGAUUUACGGGGGAGAAGGCUGUCGGUGCUGGAGCGGCUAGCAAGGGAAUAGUGGUACUGGGGGAGGCGAGCGAGGCGAGGGUAUGCGGGGGCACAGUGAGAUAAUGAAGAGUGACCUCAGGAUCUCCGGCGAGACGGAGAUGGAGAUGGAGUGGUGCUACGGGAGAGGGAGACGAGGCGAGGCAUGCUAUACAGCGGCGUUGACAGUGACUGCUGAUAACCCACAAGUAUAGGGGAUCGCAACAGUUUUCGAGGGUAGAGUAUUCAACCCAAAUUUAUUGAUUCGACACAAGGGGAGCCAAAGAAUAUUCUCAAGUAUUAGCAGUUGAGUUGUCAAUUCAAUCACACCUGGAUAACUUAGUAUCUGCAGCAAAGUAUUUAGUAGCAAAGUAAUAUGAUAGUAGUGGUAACGGUAACAAAAGUAACGGAAGCAAAAGUAAUAUUUUUGGUGUUUUGUAGUGAUUGUAACAGUAGCAACGGAAAAGUAAAUAAGCGAAGAACAAUAUGUGAAAAGCUCGUAGGCAUUGGAUCGGCGAUGGAGAAUUAUGCCGGAUGCGGUUCAUCAUGUAACAAUCAUAACAUAGGGUGACACAGAACUAGCUCCAAUUCAUCAAUGUAAUGUAGGCAUGUAUUCCGAAUAUAGUCAUACGUGCUUAUGGAAAAGAACUUGCAUGACAUCUUUUGUCCUACCCUCCCGUGGCAGCGGGGUCCUAAUGGAAACUAAGGGAUAUUAAGGCCUCCUUUUAAUAGAGUACCGGAACAAAGCAUUAACACAUAGUGAAUACAUGAACUCCUCAAACUAUGGUCAUCACCGGGAUUGGUCCCGAUUAUUAUCACUUCGGGGUUGCCGGGUCAUAACACAUAGUAGGUGACUAUAGAUUUGCAAGAUAGGAUCAAGAACUCACAUAUAUUCAUGAAAACAUAAUAGGUUCAGAUCUGAAAUCAUGGCACUCGGGCCCUAGUGACAAGCAUUAAGCAUAGCAAAGUCAUAGCAACAUCAAUCUCAGAACAUAGUGGAUACUAGGGAUCAAACCCUAACAAAACUAACUCGAUUACAUGAUAGAUCUCAUCCAACCCAUCACCGUCCAGCAAGCCUACGAUGGAAUUACUCACGCACGGCAGUGAGCAUCAUGAAAUUGGUGAUGGAGGAUGGUUGAUGAUGACGAUGGCGACGAAUCCCCCUCUCCGGAGCCCCGAACGGACUCCAGAUCAGCCCGCCCAAGAGGUUUUAGGGCUUGGCGGCGGCUCUGUAUCGUAAAACGCGAUGAAUCCUUCUCUCUGAUUUUUUUUCUCCCCGAAAGCAAAUAUAUAGAGUUGGAGUUGAGGUCGGAGGAGCUCCAGGGGGCCCACGAGGUAGGGGGCGCGCCUAGGGGGCAUGCGCGCCCCCACCCUCGUGGCUACGGUGUGGGCCCCAUGGUCUUCAUCUUUUGCAAGGAUUUUUUAUUAUUUCCAAAUAGACAUUCCGUGAAGUUUCAGGUCAUUCCGAGAACUUUUGUUUCUGCACAUAAAUAACACGAUGGGAAAUCUGCUGAAAACAGCGUCAGUCCGGGAUAGUUUCAUUCAAAUCAUGCAAGUUAGAGUCCAAAACAAGGGCAAAAGUGUUUGGAAAAGUAGAUACGACGGAGACGUAUCUACUCCCCCAAGCUUAAACCUUUGCUUGUCCUCAAGCAAUUCAGUUGAUAAACUGAAAGUGAUAAAGAAAAACUUUUACAAACUCUGUUUGCUCUUGUUGUUGCAAAUAUGUAAAGCCAGCAUUCAAGUUUUUAGCAAAGAUUAUGACUAACCACAUUCACAAUAACUCUUAGGUCUCAUGUUUACUCAUAUCAAUAGCAUAAUCAACUAGCGAGCCAUAAUAACAGAUCUCGGAUGACAACACUUUCUCAAAACAAUCAUGAUAUAAUAUAACAGGAUGGUAUCUCGCUAGCCCUUUCUGAGACCGCAAAACAUAAAUGCAGAGCACCUUUAAAGAUCAAGGACUGACUAGACAUUGUAAUUCAUGAUAAAAAAGAUCCAAUCAUACUCAUACCCAAUAUAAAUUAAUAGUAGUGGAUGCAAAUGACAGCUGCGCUCUCCAGCUAGUGCUUUUUAAUAAGAGGGUGAUGACUCAACAUAAAAGUAAAUAGAUAGGCCCUUUACAGAGGGAAGCAGGGAUUUGUAGAGGUGCCAGAGCUCGGUUUUGAAAUAGAGAUAAAUAAUAUUUUGAGCGGCAUACUUUCAUUGCCAACAUAACAACCAAGAGAUGGUGAUAUCUUCCAUGCUACACACAUUAUAGGCGGUUCCCAAACAGAAUGGUAAAGUUUAUACUCCCCCUCCACCAACAAGCAUCAAUCCAUGACUUGCUCGAAACAACAAGUGUCUCGAACUAGCAACAGUCCCAGAGGGAGUUUUGUUUGCAAUUAUUUUGAUUUAGUUUGCAUAAAGCAUGGGACUGGGCAUCCCGGUGACUAGCCAUUUUCUCGUGAAUGAGGAGUGGAGUCCACUCCUCUUGAGAAUAACCCGCCAAGCAUGGAAGAUACGGACAGCCCUAGUUGAUACAUGAGCUAUUCGAGCAUACAAAACAGAAUGUUUAUUUGAAGGUUUAGAGUUUGGCACAUACAAAUUUACUUGGAACAGCUGGUAGAUACCGCAUAUAGGAAGGUAUAGUGGACUCAUAUGGCAUAACUUUGGGGUUUAAGGUAUUGGACGCACAAGCAGUAUUCCCGCUUAGUACAAGUGAAGGCUAGCAAAAUACUGGGAAGCGACCAACUAGAGAGCGACAACAGUCAUGAACAUGCAUUAAAAUUAAUAAACAUCGAGUACGAGCAUGAGUAGUACAUAAUCCACCAUGAACAUAAAUAUCGUGAAGGCUAUGUUGAUUUGUUUCAACUACAUGCGUGAACAUGUGCCAAGUCGAGUCACUUAUAUCAUUCAAAGGAGGAUACCACCCCACUAUACCACAUCACAACCAUUUUAAUAGCAUGUUGGCACGCAAGGUAAACCAUUAUAACUCAUAGCUAAUCAAGCAUGGCAUAAGCAACUAUGAUCUCUAAUUGUCAUUGCAAACAUGUUUAUUCAUAAUAGGCUGAAUCAGGAACGAUGAACUCAUCAUAUUUACAAAAACAAGAGAGGUCAAGUUCAUACCAGCUUCUCUCAUCUCAGUCAGUCCAUCAUAUAUCGUCAUAAUUGCCUUUCACUUGCACGACCGAACGAUGUAAAAAUAAUAAGAGUGCACGUGCAUUGGACUAAGCUGGAAUCUGCGAGCAUUCAAUAAACAGGAGAAGACAAGGCAAUAUGGGCUCUUGGUUAAAUCAACAAUAAUGCAUAUAAGAGCCACUUCAACAAUUUAAUCAUGGUCUUCUCCUAUCGACCCCCAAAGGAAAGAAAAGAAAUAAAACUAUUUACACGGGAAAGCUCCCAACAGGCAAAAGAAGAACAGGAAAUCUUUUUGGGUUUUUCUUAAGGUUUAUUAAACACACAAGAAGAAAGCGAGAAAAAGAAAAUAAACUAGCAUGGAUAUUACAGUGAAAGAGUAUGAGCACCGACAUCUAGCAAUGAGUGUGUGUGAACAUAAAUGUAAUGUCGGAGGGAAAUACGUACUCCCCCAAGCUUAGGCUUUUGGCCUAAGUUGGUUUAUUGCCAUGGAUGGCCUGGCGGAUAUCCGUAGUUGUAGCCAGGGUCGUACUGACAUGAAGAAGACUCUGACUGCCACUGGCUGGCAGUCAUCUCCGGAUCCCAAAAGUAAUCAGACUGUCGUGGAGGCUCAAAUUGUGGUUCCGGCUCAGGGGCUGGUGUAGGGUUCCUAUAGGCGUAAAUGGCCUCCCACGGGAUGAGAUACGGGCCUGCAGAUAAAUUAAACAAGGAAGGAGCAGGCAAGGUAAUAGUCUCAGGGUGAUGUUUAUCAAAGAACAACUUGUAUUUAAGCUCCCCUUCCUUGUUCUUAACAAUAAAGUCAUGCGCUACCAUACUCUUAUAAUCUAAAUAAGCAUUGGGCAGGAAUUUUUCUUCUUUCUCAUAGUGCCUAAUAGGUAUGUUAUAAUGUGCAGCAAGGUGUGAAGCAUAAAUACCUCCAAAGAUGGGGCCCUUUGUACGGUUCAAACUUAACCGUUUAGCAAUAAUACCGCCCAUACUAACAGUGUUAUCGGAAAAUAAACCAUGGAACAAAAUGAUAAUAUCAGGAACACUAAGGUUACCACAGUUUCCGCGACCAAUCAAGCAACGACUAGCAAAUAUGGCAAAGUAGCGUUAAACAGGAAAAUGUAUGCUAGUGAUUCUUGCAUCGGAAACCUUCCUGGUUUCCCCUACAGUAAUGGUGUCAAUAAACCCGUCCAUAUAUUUACGAUGUGGUUCAUCUAAGGUACCCUCUAAGGGUAUUUUGCAAACCUUGCAAAAUUCAUCUAGUGGCAUUUUCUUAACAACAUCAUAUAAAUGAAACUCUACUGAAGGAGGUGAUUCCUUAGGAAAAUAGUAGAAGUUUUGCACAAAAGUAUUAGUGAGUAAGAGAUACUGAUGACGUUGGUCGCGGAGGAAGUCGGUGAGGCCAGCAUUCAUAGCCAAUGAAUAGAAAUCAUCAUAAAUCCCGGCUUCUCUCAAGAAAUCAUCGGAAGGCCAUUCACACGGCCGAACCUCCGCGGUGCGAGGAAAAUUAUAUUUGGGCCUCUGUGCUUCUUCAUUUUGCUUUUCCUUCGAGCUUCGGCUCGAUGAGCCCCUCAAAAAUCUCUUCAUUAUUUUCUGAAAAAUUCUGAAAAUUUUAGUAACUUCAAACAAAUGUAAAACAAACUCAACAAAAUUGAUAGCAACUACUCCUACAAGUGCCUAGAGACUAUAUCAAGCAUUAGAACCACUUGGAACCAUAUAAAUUUGACAUGCAAGCUCAAGAACAUGGUCACCUAGGCAGCACAAAUUUGCAAUGAAUAAAGCACUAGAACAAAAACUAAUUGGACCAAUGGAGGAGUCACAUACCAAGGAACAAUCUCCCCAAGCAGUUUUGUGAGAGGUGCUUUGAGCAAGGAGAUCGAAAAUCGCAUCAAAAUGAGCUAGAACUCAUGCUUGAGCUGGAUGGUGAUUUUUUGGGGAGGAAGAAGAAGUGUGUGGGUGCAGGAAUAAGUGGAGGGGGGCCACCGUGGGCCCACGAGGCAGGGCGGCGCGCCCAGGGGAGUAGUGCGCGCCCUCCACCCUCGUGGCCAGGUGCUUGCCCCUCCUGCUGUGUUCUCAGUGCCAGAUAUUCUCAAAUAUUCUAGAAAAAAUCAUAUUCCAUUUUUAGGGCAUUUGGAGAACUUUUAUUUUUGGGGUAUUUUUAUAUUGCACGGAUAAAUCAGAAAACAGACAGAAAAAUACUAUUUUUACUUUAUUUCAACUAAAUAACAGAAAGUAGAAAGAGGAUACAGAAGGUUGUGCCUUCUAGUUUCAUCCAUCUCAUGCUCAUCAAAAGGAAUCCACUAACAAGGUUGAUCAGGUCUUGUUAACAAACUCAUUCUGAAUAACAUGGAACCGGAGAAAUUUCGAAUAACACUAUGUUACCUCAACGGGGAUAUGCACAUCCCCAAUAAUAAGAAUAUCAUAUUUCUUCUUGACAGUAGGAAGAGGAAAUUCAAAACCUCCAGAAAUAAUCAAUGGAAUUUUUCCAAUAGAGUUGAUACUAUGAACUUGAGGUUGUUUCCUCGGAAAGUGUACCGUAUGCUCAUUACCAUUAACAUGAAAAGUGACAUUGCCUUUGUUGCAAUCAAUAACAGCCCCUGCAAAAUCAAUAACAUGAUAGAUCUCAUCCAACCCAUCACCGUCCAGCAAGCCUACGAUGGAAUUACUCACGCACGGCAGUGAGCAUCAUGAAAUUGGUGAUGGAGGAUGGUUGAUGAUGACGAUGGCGAUGAAUCCCCCUCUCCGGAGCCCUGAACGGACUCUAGAUCAGCCCUCCCAAGAGGUUUUAGGGCUUGGCGGCGGCUCCGUAUCGUAAAACGCGAUGAAUCCUUCUCUCUGAUUUUUUUCUCCCCGAAAGCAAAUAUAUAGAGUUGGAGUUGAGGUCGGAGGAGCUCCAGGGGGCCCACGAGGUAGGGGGGCGCACCCCCCACCCUCGUGGCUAGGGUGUGGGCCCCCUGGUCUUCAUCUUUUGCAAGGAUUUUUUAUUAUUUCCAAAUAGACGUUCCGUGGAGUUUCAGGUCAUUCCGAGAACUUUUGUUUCUGCACAUAAAUAACACCAUGGGAAGUCUGCUGAAAACAACGUCAGUCCGGGUUAGUUCCGUUCAAAUCAUGCAAGUUAGAGUCCAAAACAAGGGCAAAAGUGUUUGGAAAAGUAGAUACGACAGAGACGUAUCAACUGCACAGUGCACAAGGUGAGGCUGACUUUGGUAACCCGGACACAACGCCUGGACUGGUGUCACCUCGGGCGCAGGGUCUUGUCACUUCAUUGUGAGGACCGGAUGAAUAAUAGUAUUUUGACCAUCAAGUGUACCACAGUUGUACUACUACUACUAGUAGGAGUAGUAGGAACAUGAGUACACUCCCGUGCUAGCAUGCCUCUGGGUUCACUUCAUCCUCCAUCUAUCAUCCAUAUUGCGAGCAGAACCAAAUUCUCGUGCAUGCGGAAGCGCGAAGAAGGACUUUUCUUUUUUUGAGGAUAACCGCAUAUUCCUUAACCGUAGUAGGAACAUGAGUAGUACUCCCUCCGGUCCUCUUUUGUCUGUGCAUAACUUUUUUCAGUAUUUCUCUAAUUAGUCUGCGUAUAUACCCUUUUGCAUGCGCCCAUUUCCCUCCAUGCCCCACAUUCACAGCAUUAAUUAGCGUACGUGUAUUGUUGCCAUCGAGGAUAAAAAGAUGGGGUUUAUAUGAUAUUGCAUGAGUUUAUCCCUCUACAUCAUGUCAUCUUGCUUAAAGCGUUACUCUGUUCUUAUGAACUUAAUACUCUAGAUGCAUGCUGGAUAGACGUCGAAGUGUGGAGUAAUAGUAGUAGAUGCAGGCAGGAGUCGGUCUACUUGUCACAGACGUGAUGCCUAUAUACAUGAUCAUACGAGCAGCUGCAGCCCGACUCCAGCCAAUAAACUGCAGCAUGCAAGUGGGCCACUCUGUGCGCGUGGGAGAGAGAAAAGGAAACCGAAGAGCCCGUCCAAUCCAUUGCAUGCACCAGUCAAACCACCGCACCUCUCCUCAUGCAUGCGCAUAACUUCUCCCUUUUACUUCUCCAUCGGGAACGAUUUUCCUCGGCUUUUUCACUACUCCUUGAUCUUCAUUUGCAUCCAAACCACAGUGCAUUCACAUUGUUUUAACCUCUUUACAUCCUCCUGGAGUAAUUCCGAAGCCCCUAUAAAUAAUCAUCUUCUUCAGUUAGAUUAGCCAUCUAAUCCUAAUUCUCCAAACCAUAGCCCUCCGGUCCAGCGGUUCCAAAUGGCGAAAGAGAUCAAGAUGCAGGUUUUUAGCGUCCAACAUGUCCUCGUCGAAGGCUCGUUGAGCAUAGUUGCCACAGUCACCGACCACCCAAGGGUUGUUCGGAAGUGGAUCAACAAUGUAUCCAACUCCCUCCAAAAGGUGGAGAUGAAUGUCAUCGGUCUCAACGCAGAGUACAUGGAGCGUGCCACUGGGAAGAUCCAAUGCGCCGCUGUCCUUCAGCUGUGCCUCGAAGAUGAUGUUUUGGUGUACCACAUCAUACACGCGCCCUCCAUACCAGGUGAGCUUCACGAUUUCUUGUCUCGGGAGGACAUAUACUUCUGUGGGGCAGCCAUCGCAGGGGACAAACAGAAGUUGGAGCCGUACAACCUUGAUUUGAAAAGCAUCGCUGACCUACAAACCAGAAUAAAAAUUCAUGUAGAAGAUUGUGAUAAACCGACACGAUCCCUAUUCGAUAUAGCAAAUUUUGUGCUAGGAACAAAUCUUCAGAAGGGUGACGAGACGCUGGCAUUAAGGUCGUCUGGAUGGGAGAAUUAUCCCUUGAUGUACGAGCGGAUAAAAUAUGCUGCCCUCGAUGCCCGUGUGAGUUUCGAGAUAGCUGCAAGGUCCAGAGAGCUUGUUGCGAAGCCGUCUCCCACAGAAAAUGAGAAGAAGAAGAAGAAGAAGAAGAAGAAUAUGUUGCACCAGCAACAGGGCAUUAUGGAUGGAUGAACUGUUUCCUCUCUUCUAAAAAAAUAUUCCCUCUCUAUGUAUAUUGAUAUAGAUGGACUAUUUCGAUGGUGUGCAUGUCUUUGGAACAAGUAGUAGCAUGGGUUCGCUUGACUAUAAGGAACUAUUUAUCUGCCUAGCUUUCUCUACUACUCCUUCUAGUGAUCGGUAUGCAAUGCAUGUGUCCGUAGACAUGACAGCUUGUCCAUGGAAGUUCAACUACGGCGACCAUCACGUUUCAUCCACUGCCACUCGCGAUUCCCACGACGCCGCUCCAACCCACGGCACCACGUCCCCUGACGUGAGCCUCACCCCUCUCGGCCGCACCGCCCCUCUGCCUUUGUGUGCAUGACAUGUGGGCCACCUUAAAUGCGGCGAGCAUCAAGUUUCUACCACAGCCACACACGAUUCCCAUGACGCCACACGAACCCAUGACACCACACGUCCCACACCAUCGAAUUUUCAUAUAGCCAAGUUUGUAGCCAGCAAGUACAAUAGUUGAAUAUUAAUAUGUACUACUUUGUUGUUACAUGACCCACCUCGCUCUCUCAUAAAAUGCCUAGGAGCACGUGCUGCAGCCGGCUGUUAACUAGUAGCCCGCUUCUCUUCUCUUUCAUCUUCUCUCUCGUCCAACUAAGCAAAAAUAUAAUAUUUAAUGUCUUACAGCCCGCCUACAUCAGGCCGGGCACUAAGCCACUGAAGUUCGGUCCCGUGGGCCCCGAGAGGGAAAUGUAACUCCUGCAGCAGGCCUUGUGGUGCUCCCGCAGUACGAGCUCGUGCCAAACCCGGAAUUUGUUUCUUACUACUACCAACUACUAGUAAGGUACACGUGCAUUGCACGCAUGACAUUCUGGUGGUUUGUGCAUUAUGCUUCUACAUGUGGAGUCUUCUAGAUUCUACAUGUGGCAAAAUCUGGUGGAAUGUAGAUGAUAUCCAACGGCCAGUAGUGCUCGGAUUUGCCAUCUUUGUACCGUCGGAUUGGCUUCAUCCAACGACCAACUUUCAAAGUUAUGGUUUGGUUUGCAGCCUAAGGUUGCCACGCCUAAGCUUAGGCGUGCCACAAGUGUGUUUGGUUGUGUUCUCGUCUCAGCAUAGUUGUUCCCUCUUCAUGCAUGCUCAACUCAACACCCCUCUUCAUGUAUGCUCUCUUCAUGCAUGCUUCUAGUGUAUUUGUGCUAAUCUAGUGUGGACUCAUGCACCCUCCAUACACUCUACCAAACACCCAAAAAUGGGUCGAGAAGGGAACUCUUGGGAUCAUGCACCCUUCAUACACCCUACCAAACACACCAGGCAUGUAUUUGGUUCAUUGCUACACUUGUGGCUUGCCACACUUUUCUAGUUACAUGGUCCACAUGUCAUAGACUCAACUUCCUGCCAAAUCUUGCCACACUUGUGGUGGCCAUUUUGUCAGCCACAUUUUUUGUUUCAAACACACUUUGCCUAAGCUUAGUUGUGGCAAAGUUAGUCAUGAAUGAAGUUCAACCAUGGAGUCUUCUAGAUUCUACAUGUGGCAGAAUCUGGUGGAAUGUAGAUGAUACCCAACGGCUAGUAAUGCUCGGAUUUGCCAUCUUUGUACCGUCGGAUUGGCUUCAUCCAACGACCAACUUUCAAAGUUAUUCACACACUAUAUAGGGGGUAUAGAUAUAGAUGUGCCGGCCCGUUGCAAUGGAUCCAAAGUAUAUCUGUUUAGUGGAGUGCACUCUAAACACAUUAUCUAUUUACUUUUCUCUAACCUUUCGUAGCCAUGCAACCAAACCACAUAAGCUUCAUGGGUGCCCCCCACAUCAUAUUAUUCAUACUACGUUGAUAGAAAAAAAGAUAAAUCACCCAAAACAGGAUCUUCCCGUUUUUUGUUCCUACGAUGUUGUGCCGUGCACGUACCUACUAGUUGUAUAGUGGUAGUACUAGUUGUAUAGUACAAACUUGGUACUAGUAGGAGCAGAGUAGUACGGAAUGCUCCUACUCUAUCAACGAGCCCCAUCUGACACCAAAUUUCUUGGCCUCUGUGCUACAGCUAGAUCUUCCCCUCGUUUCUAAUUUCCAACCCGACGGCAGGCGGGGUGCGGUUUGCCAAUAGUCGGUUUGCUCAACGGCGGUCCCACAUGAAAGUGAAAAUGCUAGGCAACACGCCUUCCCUAAGCUAUGUGUCAUGCCGGACGGGCCAUGGAGUACUCCCGAUUCCCGGGCGUGUGGGGGGGGGGGAGUGCGAUGCAAACGCGGCAGGCCUUUUCCUUUUACUAGCAAUGUGCCUGUGCGUUGCGACGGAUCCAAAGUAGUAGAAUAGUAGUACUUGUUCACAAACUUGAAAGAAAUCACUCUUGUUUUGAUAUACUCCUAAUAUAUUACUCCCUCCGUUCCUAAAUAUUUGACUUUUUAGAGAUUUCAAAUGGACUAUCACAUACGGAUUAUAUAGACAUAUUUUGAAGUGUAGAUUCACUCAUUUUGCUCCGUAUGUAGUCACUUAUUGAAAAAUCUCUAGAAAGGCAAAUAUUUAGGAAUGGAGGGAGUACUUUUCACUCAAAAUAUAUUUCUUAGGCUGUUUUGAUGAGGUGAGGGAGGGAUGUGGUUGCUUUCAAGUUAAUAAGGGGUUUUCUGCAAAUUGGAGCAGAGAAGUGGGCUAUUGUUGCAAAAAUGCCACAACUUACCUCACAGCCGUUAGAUGCAGAUCUAAUGGUCAGAAAUGACGUAUGGCAGACACACCACCAUCACCAACUGAGUCUUUUAUAGGAGUAUAUAUUUCUCAGGCUGUUUUGAUGAGGUGAGGGAGGGAUGUGGUUGNNNNNNNNNNGAUCUAAUGGUCAGAAACGACGGAUGGCAGACACACCACCAUCACCAACUGAGUCUUGUAUAGGAGUAGGAGUAGAGAAACAUGUAUAAAUUGUAACAUUUUGGUUCUGCUCCUUGGCACGAUCGAUAGAUAGAAAUAACGAUUGGAAACGCUAGGGCGGGGCUAUUUCCGCCAGAUAAGCAGGGUACGUAGUAGCUAGGUUGGCGCAUCGUCGGUUUGGUCACACGCGGUCCGACAUGUUCUAGUGUUUCUAGCAAGAUGCCCGCGCGUUGCACGAAGUUGAUGGAAAAGGUAAGCACAACUUAUAAAUUGACGGAUGGAGUACUAGUUACAGUGAUGCAUAUAAUUAAGCAAAGGGAUCGCACAUGUCGGUAUUGACUGGAACGAGAAUGCAACACCACAAUAAGAAUUAAGGCCACGAUGAUGAUGCGAUCGCAGUGGUGGUUACAGAAGGCAAGAAGAAAGAUGCAUCCAUCAACGUACGACCUCCUCCUCCUCCUCAAAUUAGUGCGCCGGGCCACCGGCCGGCGGCGAAGGAGCGGUGGCUUUUGUGGCAAGGUCGAGGUGCUUCUCAGCAAAGGCAUCCAUGGCUUCCAGCCGGUUGAGGAAGGCCAACGUCAUAGCGUCCUCACUGGCCUUGUAGAUACCUAUGUACACGACUUGCUCGUACACGUGGAUGUGUAGGUCGACGAAUUCUUGCAGGGCGAGGCGCCUCGCGGCGAGUGCGACCUCCAGGUGGACAUUCUUCGUGGCGUCGGCGGGCAGUCGCAGGGCCACCAGUGCUUGAAAGAGGUUCCGGCCAUGGAGCCCGAUUAGGGUGGCAGGCAAUGAGGAGCCCGGGCGCGCGGGCUGGAGGAGUAUGGCGAUGUCGUCCGCGAGCUUCUUGAGGGCGGUGAACUUUUGGUGGUGGCAACGAUCAUCUGGUCCAACUGAGAGUCGUAGUUGGCGUCGACGGCGGCCAUCCACCAGCCGGUCUCCAACACCGUCUGGAGACGAUCCUCGGCGCCAUGCUGCAGGCCGACGUCGUGGACCAUCUGGCACAGCCGCUGGCCGCUCGCGCGCAUCGCCGCCAUGGGUCUGGAGUGAGCUCUUUUGCGCUUAGUGUAGGUGCUUGGGCAAAUGCUUAGGUGUGUAUGAUGUGGAGAUGCAUUGGAAUGGAGGGGCGCCUUUAUAUGAGGGCAAACUGCGUUGCAUUCACAUCGUGCAGCCUCUUUUCCCAGUCCUCCUCCCAUACUUCCCUCAUGCAUUAAUUGAAGGAGGAUGCAUUGGCUGUUCAACAUUUCGGGAACCGCUACUCCCUCGCUCGUCUGCAUUAAAGCCGUAUCGGGAACUGCGCCGCCCGCUGUCAAAUUGAAUAGUAGUAUUGCGCCGCCCGCUGCACACCCGGCUGAACACGCCUCCUCGCCUCCAUCAAACCCCUCCGUUAAACCCGCAUGCAGACCGAGAAUCCUACUCCGGCCACACGUCCGUUCAUGAACGGGCCGGAAUUAAACGCAACAUCGGCCGAGCUCCUCCCGUCCGCCCUCAGUUUAAACGAGGCCAGACGCCGGCCAAGCUCCUACCGUCCGCCCUCUAUUUACACGAGGCCAGACAGACAGUGGGCAAGAAUCACACCCCUCCGCCGCUCCCCCAUCUCCGCCUUCACCAAUUUCUCCACUCUUCUGAUGGCUUUCGAGGAGCCGUUCUCUGGCAUAUAACCCGGCUGGGUGGCCCGCCGAGCCCUCCGGAUACGGGCGAGGCCGCUCGGUGCUUCACCAACCUCGCUUUGCCCGACGGAGCCAGUUGCCGCCCCAAGCAGGCGCGUGGUUCAGCAACUUGCCGCUCCAGUUCAGCUCGAUGAGGAGUGGCGAGUUGCUCCACGCCGGCACGGCGGCGAGCACACCAGUACGGGCGUCGUCGCUGCCGUGUCGUACCGCGCCUCCCGUGUCUGUGGGCGCGCCUCCCGUGCCUGCGGCAGCGCCAUGCAGGCAGAGACAGAAGCCGGGUGCGUGGACAGCGACAAGUCGGUGGCCAGCUUUUCCGUGUCCGCCGCCAUCAUCGAGGAGGAGUAGAACACGGGAGGCCGCCGCCACUUGGGUCCCAUGAAGGCCACCGCCGAGGCGACGACUGCGCAUUCAGGUGGUUUCUUUGCUUCUUCGUCUCUUCCGAGGACCUUCGUCGACCCCGCAAAGUGUCUGCUGGGCAUGAGGAAGACAAAGGGAUCCGCGGGCGGCCAUUUAGAUUAUGUACUCCCUCUCCAGUUGGCGGGAAUUUUUUGUUCUAAGAAUGGAUAAAUUGUAUGUAUCUAUAAGUAAAAUAAGUCUAGAUACAUCCUUUUCUAGGACAAGUAUUUGCAGACGGAGGGAGUAUUAAUUAUACCAAGAUAGCCGGAUUGGCACCGCUUAGUUCAUGUAAAUGUAAUGAAAUCCAUCAUGUUUAUAUGAAGAUCCGGCUUUUUUAUGCGAAAUCCUUCAUGCUUAUAUGAAAUCAGUCCGUGUUUGUACGAAUUUCAUCUGGUUGGUUAGAGUUGUGAAAAUGUAUGCCGCUGGCGUUUGAUGUCGUCCUCCGCGGAAGGAAACGGGAGGAAAUUUGCCGGCUGCCGUUGGAGAUGCUCUUAUGCUAGAAAUAAUAGAGUGACAUCCAAUCCAUUUGAGUUAAUUGCGUGUAUGAUUGUCCCUCUAUAAAAAGUUAAUUGCAUGUACAGUGUACACGUGACUUGCAGGGUGGCUACAGCUUCGUACAGAAAUUUAAAAAGAAAUAAGUCCAUCCUUAAUCUUGUAUUCUAAGUACUCUGUGGGUUCCACUGUCAGUACAGUAGCGAAAGAAGUAUAUAUUAAAUAAGUAAUAUAUAAUAUAAAAAUCUAAAGUUAAAGACAAAAUUCGAACUCAUGUCAUCGCGUUGCGAGCAUCCGGCGCUAACCAGUCCAGCACAUUUUUGUUGUAGACCAUGCUGCUGAUAUAUCUCCAUGUCUACUCUUAUACUCCAUCCGUUCCUAAAUAUUUGUCUUUUUCAGAUUUCAAAUGGACUACCACAUACGGAUGUGUAUGUAGACAUAUUUCAGAGUGUAGAUUCACUCAUUCUGCUCCAUAUGUAGUCACUUGUUGAAAUCUCUAAAAAGACAAAUAUUUAGGAACGGAGGGAGUAGAAAACAGAGUUGGUGAUGAUGGUGUGCGUGUCAUCCUGCAAUAUAGGCCGUCGGAUUUAUAUCUAACGGAUAGGAAUAAAACUAUGGCAAUUUUGCAAAAAUUUACCCACACCCCUCUCCACGUUCGCAAAUACGGCCUUCCCUCGUUCAUCCUUUUCUCUCACAAGAUAAACUACUCAUACAAAUGCAUCUUGAUUUUCCGUGCAACGCACGGGCAUCUAGCUAGUUUCUUUUAAAAUAGUUACUGCGAUAAUUGGGUUGAAGUGAUAUAUUUUAUGUCUGCCCCGAAUGAUUUCGGAUUCACUAGUAGUAACAAAGAAAAGGUUGCCUUGUUAAUUAACAGAAAACGGGGUGAAAACUAUCACAUGACGCCUGUAAAAACGAGGCACACUGGGUUCAGCGUCAUCGUCACUAUAGCUGUGCGCGCGCGAGAAGUCUACAUAUCGAGGGGGCUACUGAGCGAGGCACAGAGACACAAUGUUCGAGAGAGAAACCAAUUGACAGAUUACGAUCGGAUUGAGUUGUCACCNNNNNNNNNNNNNNNNNNNNNNNNNNNNNNNNNNNNNNNNNNNNNNNNNNNNNNNNNNNNNNNNNNNNNNNNNNNNNNNNNNNNNNNNNNNNNNNNNNNNNNNNNNNNNNNNNNNNNNNNNNNNNNNNNNNNNNNNNNNNNNNNNNNNNNNNNNNNNNNNNNNNNNNNNNNNNNNNNNNNNNNNNNNNNNNNNNNNNNNNNNNNNNNNNNNNNNNNNNNNNNNNNNNNNNNNNNNNNNNNNNNNNNNNNNNNNNNNNNNNNNNNNNNNNNNNNNNNNNNNNNNNNNNNNNNNNNNNNNNNNNNNNNNNNNNNNNNNNNNNNNNNNNNNNNNNNNNNNNNNNNNNNNNNNNNNNNNNNNNNNNNNNNNNNNNNNNNNNNNNNNNNNNNNNNNNNNNNNNNNNNNNNNNNNNNNNNNNNNNNNNNNNNNNNNNNNNNNNNNNNNNNNNNNNNNNNNNNNNNNNNNNNNNNNNNNNNNNNNNNNNNNNNNNNNNNNNNNNNNNNNNNNNNNNNNNNNNNNNNNNNGUGACACUUACAUAUCCCUACUCUUAUAAAAAAACAGAGUUGGUGAUGAUGGUGUUCCUACCAUCCUGCAAUAUAGGCCAUCCGAUUUAUACCCAACGGAUAGGAAGGAAACUGUGGAAAUUUUGCAAAAAGAUACCCACACCCCUCUACGCAUUUGCAAAGAAGGCAUUCCCUCGUUCAUCCUUUUCUCCCACAAAAUAAACUACUCAUACAAAUGCAUCUUGAUGUUCGGUGCAACGCAUGGGCAUCUUGCUAGUAGGGAGAAGGAGUUUCUGUGACACAUAUCUAGCUAUAUUAAGGGAUAGGUAGAUAUCAUUUGUGCGAGGCAUACUUAAAGCAUCACGAAGAUAAAAACAAAAUUGUGUGCAUGCAAGUGCCGGAAAAAAUGAAGCGAGAAACAAUGUGUUGGAGAGAGAGAGAGAGCGAAAUCUCAAAACAAAAGGUGCUCUGUUGGAAUCCCAUUGUAUGUAUUCAUAUGGUUCCGGAACUCGAGUUAACCUUAGGCAUAUGUGUUAGAGACAUUAUUAUACUUUGAGACAUUAGUGGCUGUGGGUGGACGGAAUUAAAGGGGUGGGCGUGUUCGACAGAGAGAGCGUGUGUGUUUCUGUGUGAGAGACUUGUAGGACGGGGUGGAAAGACAAAUUCUAACCUUGACGGAGGGAGAGGAAUACACGAAGUGCGCGUGUGUGAUUCCGAUGACCACAGGGAAAUGAGAUAUGUAUGUGUGUGAGAGAGAUUGCACAAUUCAUUCACGUAACACUAUCUAGCGAUCGUGGAUGUGCAUCGCUUGAACAUAAAUCAAUAUCUACUUCGUAUCGUGGCCAAAGGUACAAUAUCGAUUCAACGCUAUAAAGAUUGGACACUCACAUAUCACAUUUUUUUCUAUUUAAAUAAACCUUUUCAGUUGUGCAUGCCAAAGUUACAGUGAUGUUUCUUCAAACAACCAAUGUAGCUAUCAUGUACAUGCACCAUUGUUACUCUUGCAUUCAAAAUCAUUAGUCUUGGAUGAUUUAAGGUUCUAUUAUGAAGUAAUAUGUGUAAUAUUCAUAUAUGAAUUCAACGGGUACGCAAUUAUGAAAUGGAGGCUAUGUAAUCAUAUGAUGUAACACUUUUAAGUAGCGGACUUCUUUUUGUGCGCCUCUACACUAACACGUGAAUGCAUUAUGUUUAAAGUAAAUAACCAAUUGCACUAAAUUAUCGAUUUACACGAGAAAUACAUAGGCUGAGCGUUUGAUCCCUUUUUUUGUGAACGCGCCACUACACCCGUACGAUUGGCCGCGCCCGUGUGAACGUCCAAGUUAUCGGCGCAUCAUCCCGCGUUAUUGUCUUUUUUUCUGGAGUAGACACACCGGUUAUUAACUGCUGACGCGUGCCCCGUGUACACAGUCUCGCAUGACCUUCCCGCUAGCACGGUCCAAAAUUAGUUGAAACUGGAUACGAACGAUCCCGCGGGCGACAAAAUAUCCCGCCUCCUUCUAAAAUUUCGGCCACCUUAGUCUUUAGCAUGCGAAAUUCCCCUUUUGUCCUUGGUGCAUGGAGACCAACAGUUACAAUACCGCCCUCAUCUACAUAAUAGGUCGGGGCUGCUUUUGUAACUUCCACUUCCCCCCACUACACGGCACCCCCGUUUCCUCUCCCCCUCCCGCAAAAAUGACUAACUCCACAGCACCAGAGCAUCUCACAUCACGCCGUCCGUACUUCAUCGGCCUUUCUCCCCUCCCCUCUCGAAACCCUAGACUACUCACUGCCAGCGGCGUCCACCUCGCCGGAUCUGCUUCUGCGGCCGCAUCUACCCCUCCCACCUCCCCUAGAAACAAGUAGACUGCUCAUCCACCACUGUACCACAGCCCAUUCAGUGUCGGCCUUGUCCACGGCACCGGAUCUGCUUCGCCGGUACUCUCGUCAACCGCAGCGCAUCUGCAGCGGCUCAUUCAUACUCCCCACCGGAGACGCUUCGUCCACACACCCCCCGGAGCCGCCCCACCGACGCCCCCAUCAACGGCCUCUGAUCCUCUUCGCCGACACCUUCCUCAACCCUACCGGAGCCGCUUCGCUGACAACAUCGUCAACCCCACCGGAGCAGCUUCGCCUAUACCAUUUUCAACCCUACCGGGACCGCUUUGCCAACUCACAAGUCCACGGCCUCAGAUCCGCUUCCUCGCACCCUCAUCCAACCUACCGGAGCAACUUCUGAUGCCCCGUCCACGGCCGCGGAUCCGCAUCGUCGAUACCAUCCUUAACCCAACCACCGGAGCAGCUUCACCUACGCCCUCGUCCACGGCCACAGAUCCGCUUCGCCCACACCGUAGUCCACCCUACCGGAGCCGCUCCACAAACACCCUACUCGACGGUUCUAGAUCUCCUUACCGGACCCCGACAGCCAGCACAGCGUCAUCACCGUUGACGUUUCUAACCUGAUUCCCACCGUCUGGCAAGAUGCCAAGCACCCGCCACGGCCUAGGUACUUGUCACCUUUAAACCCGUCCAACAUCACCUGCCCGAUGUACUUCAAAUAUACUAACAGGUCGCUUUUACCUAUUAUGCAGCUGGCAAAAACUACAAGGACGAUGUUUCUUCUGGAUCUAAUAGCUUGGCCAACCAAGAUCCUGGACCGAGGAUUGCUAUGAUCUUGUAAGCGUGUCUCUCUCUCUUGUAUUGUUCUGUGCCUGCCAGCGUGCUUUUCUAGGAUUUUCGACCAGUAAUCCCUUUGUGCAGACAAUGAUUUCUACUACUGGCUGCUAAAUUAGAUAUGUAGAUGUCAUACAUGAUACUACCUCGUACCUCCGUUCCUAAAUAUAGGUCUUUCUAGAGAUUCCAAUAUAGGCUACAUACGAAGCAAAAUGAGUGAAUCUACAAUCGAAAAUGCAUCUAUAUACAUCUGUAUGUGGUCCAUACUGGAAUCUCUAAAUAGACAUAUAUUUAGGAACAGAGGCAGUAGACACAAAAUCGUAGGUGGCAUGUAGGAAUUCCAGUACACUACAUUAGGCUCCCUUAGAGUGCCUGCUAGUCCAGCACACAGAGUCAUGGCUAGUUUAUGCUACGCACACAAUCAUUAAUUGGUGGUUUAAAUAUGCGCAAGGGAUAUGCAAUGUAUUAUCAUGUAGAGAUGUCUGAAAUUAGCCGUGCCAACUUGCAGAUUGGGUUACACAAUGAAAAAGUACAAGAUGUAUGUGGCAAUUUCAUGGAACAUCGCAAAAAAAAGGAGAGCCAGCGGUGAGCCUAUACAGUGUGCUAUGGUACGUCACUCCUCCAUUGCAAUCAUCGUGACAUGUUAUUUGUAUGUCAGUUCUAUUGGCCAAGUUUCUUAGGGACAGUUAUUACGAGUUAUCCUAAGAAAAUAAGCACAUGUGAAUAUAAGCUCCAUGUAAUAAGCCAACCAGUUCUUUUCAUUGCGUUUUCAGCUUAUCUUUGGUAUGAUAAGUGAAAAGUCUAGAUUGCAUUAUAUUUUUUCAUUUUGCUGCCCAUAUGAAAAUUAAUUUGACUUGCAAACAUCACAAAUUGAACCCAGUGCAGUAAUUAAUAUGGUAGGAAAAUAGACCAUCACUAUUUGCUCAAAAUGCAAAUACAAAGAUAUCAUCUACUUGGCCCAAUCUACUUUGGUCAAUGUUUUCCAUAGAGAUCCCAUUGCCUAAUUUAAACGAAAAAUGCAUGACCCACAUUUAAAUGAAGAACAAUUAUUUAUUGAAAUUCGAUGGUCCAAGUGGCUGGUUAUUAUCAUAUAGCAGCACCACCUGAAAGCAUCAUAUAGCAGCAGCAGCAGCUCAUAGCAACUCAUCAUACAGCAGCAGCAGCAGUGUGCAAUUCAUCAUAUACCAGCAGCAGCUCAUAGCAAUUCAUCAUAUAGCAGCAGCAGCUCAUAGCAAUUCAUCAUAUAGCAGCAGCAGGAGCAGCUCAUAGCAAUUCAUCAUAUAGCAGCAGCAGGAGCAGCUCAUAGCAAUUCAUCAUAUAGCAUCAGCAGGAGCAGCUCAUAGCAAUUCAUCAUACAGCAGCAGCAGGAGCAUCUUAUAGCAACUCAUCAUAUAGCAGCAACAGCAGCUCAUAGCAAUUCAUCAUAUAGCAGCAGCAGCUCAUAGCAAUUCAUCAUAUAGCCGCAGCAGCUCAUAGCAAUUCAUCAUAUAGCAGCAGCAGGAGCAGCUCAUAGCAAUGCAUCAUAUAGCAGCAGCAGAAGCAGGUCAUAGCAAUUCAUCGUAUAGUGGAUCAGAAUGAAAAUUUGGCAAAAAAUCAGAGGAGAUCCUCACCUUGUUGGAUGAGCUCAUCCUUCAACAGCACCUCAAGGCCACGGCCUGGGAGGUGGGGAGGGGGAAUAAGGUGCCUUCUGCCGUUGUGCAGCGCCUGCCGGAGUAGUGCGUUGGACGAACCACAGUGGAGCAGCUGCUGAAGACCAUGAGAAUGAGGGGCGGCACCAGAGGGAGGAGCAGCCAGGGAGAUUUCCCCCUUCCCGCCGGCCAUGUAGCCUAGCUGGACAGAGCAUCGUCGAGGACCAGGCCAGAUGGGACCAGUGGCAACGACUUGCUGGAGGAACCCUAGUGCUGCAGGCAGGGGAUCAAGGUAGAGGGACAGGGGAGAGGAGAUGCAAGCGGGCAGGGCAAUGAACGCUUGCGUGUUUGUUUUUACUUGAGGGUGAGGUGUGACGCGGGCGUCACCAGUUGCAUUUUGAGUGUAAUAUAGGCAGACAACAGAGUCAUUUCACUAUUCCCCUUCCCUUCAAUUUUUAGUGAGGUUCUACCCGAAACACCCCCCUCUAAAGCGAAAUUAGUUAAGCCCAAGCCCAUAACUCGAAAAUGACUUCUUUACAUCUUUUAUGGCUUAUUUUGACAAUAAGCUCUGAAAAGGCGGAAUAGAACUGGCCCUUAACCUGCAAUUCAAUUGUGCGUGCAAUGAUGAAUCACUCAUGCCUGCUAUAGUGUACAUUUAGGCAUCAUCAUACAUGGCAUAACCUAAUACAUGUGCAUUCCAUUGUAGAAUCUGGAAUAUGCAAUGUUUAUGUUAGUUCAUACGUUGCACAUGAUGUUUAAAUGCCCCUUAAAUCUGGUGAGUCAAGUGAUGGUCUUUAAGCCUCCUUCUUUGCUUCUUUUCUUGAUAUGUAAGAUUUGCUCACACAUCUGUUCAAUUGCUUGUUUGCAUCAGCCAGCCAUACUAGGACUGUUUGCUUUGAUUACUUGUUGUUCUUGACCUAGCACUCUAACAGAGCUUGUCAACGAUUUAAACACUAAGGUCUGCUGUAGUGGGGCCUUUUCUAACUCAUAGGUGACAUAAAGGUUUGGCUGUACACUAAAGUAGGCUCUCCAAGAGUACCUGGAGAUCCAGUUCGAAGGUAUGCCUAGUUUUUACAUAGUGCACACAUAGUAAAUGCUCAUUUCAUUGUGUGCAAGUGCAAGAGAUGCGACAUGUUUCAUUAUGUGGUGUUUUUUGUUAUAAUCUCAUCCUUUUGUGUUCACAGACUGAAAAGUAUGCAUAUUUAUCUUCCAAGGAGACGAGUAACUAGUUUGUGUCACCUUGCAGAGGGGGUGCAAUGAAGAUAAGAUUGAGGAUCUCCAAGUACAAGAUGUUAGGGAGGAGCCUUGCAAGAGAAGUAGGAGCCGCGCUGAGCCUCUUCAACCUGUUAAGGUAAGUCACUGUAUCCAACUCAACAGUUCAAUUCCUUGUUUGUUUCAGGCAUAGUUAAUUUGCUCUUUUCAAUUGCUUUAUUUGUCCUCAGUUAAUGAGAUGCCCAAAGAAUGAUGCCUGAUGUUGGGUACUUGUAUAACUAUUAGUUGACAUAAUUAAAGGCCUUACCAUUUAAUUACUCUGCCGAAGUGUGCCUGAAGCUUUGAAGUCUAUUAACCAACUAUUAUUGAAUGAGGCUCACAAUCUAGUUUAUACUAGGCUAAUGACUGCAUAGUUUUGCUUGCUGUAGUAUGUUUGUAUGAAAUCCUCUGCUGUUCAUUAUGCUCCCUAAGACUUUAAUUGAGCUACAGAAUGGCCAACUGCUUGCUUACUUCUACGCAACGUGCUGUCUAAAUUUGUAUCUUGUCUAUGUUUUGGAUUGGGCCCCAACAUCAUGCUCCUCUGGUGAGCUAAGAGAGAUUUCUGUAUGCAGGCUGCACAGACUACCUUUUUUAUAAUUUUUAAAAUAUCACCUGCUUAUGCUUCAUGACGUGUAACAUUAUUGUUAGUCCUUUUUUGCCAUGUACAAAAAUAGUCUGUCUUGCUCGCUUCACUGUUGUAACUAUAUUUUUGCCCUAGCCAUGUGUACUUACAAAAACAUUUCAGGAUGAAGUGACAUCAACACAAAGAUCUGCGAGCAGUGCGGCAUGGCCGUUACCGAAUGAUUAUGGAUUGGAAUUGGAAUGUGCUGAUGUUCUCGAGCAUCAACUAGAGGUGGCAAGACAAUGUGUACAUGAUUCUGAACGUACAAUCAACAAGUUGAGACUGGACAUGCAGGUAUUAGAUGCAGGAGUCAAAAAAAUGAAACAAGACACUGAGGUAACAACGAAGGAAUUGGAGAUUUUGCAGACUGAAAUUUGUGCUAUCUAAAUCCGACCAAUCCUAUUUUCUGAAGAGAUUAUAGUUCAAAUGGUAAGUUAUGUUGAUGCACGUCCAUGAUGUAUGAGCUGUAUUUGCCCAGUGUAUGUAAUUUGCUGUUUGUGUACGCUUUAUUAUCACUGGUGCCGAACCAUAGUGCCCAGUGGGUAUAAUCGGCUGUAAUCUCUUUAUUGUAUAGUGUAUGUUUUUUAGAGGUGAUAGUAUAGAGUAGGAUAAUUCUUUGAAUAUGCUAUAUCGUUCAAACGGGGGCCAACUCGCCCAAACGUUGUAUUGACUAUGGCCCUCCACAGGCCGUACGUUCCAUGGGCCAUCUACGGGACGGACGAUCCCUGGCCUUCUGUGGCCGUCGGAUUCGUGGGCCUUCUAUGGGCUGUCGGAUCCGUGGGCCUUCUAUCGGCUGUCGGAUCCUAAUACGUCUCCAACGUAUCUAUAAUUUUUUUAUUGCUCCAUGCUCUAUUAUCUACUGUUUUGGACAUUAUUGGGCUUUAUUAUUCACUUUUAUAUUAUUUUUGGGACUAACCUAUUAACCGGAGGCCCAGCCCAGAAUUGCUGUUUUUUGCCUAUUUCAGAGUUUCGCAGAAAAGGAAUAUCAAACGAAGUCCAAACGGAAUGAAACCUUCGGGAACGUGACUUUCAGAACGAACAAGAUCCAGGAGACUUGGACCCUACGUCAAGAAAUAAAGGAGGAGGCCACAAGGUAGGGGGCGCGCCUACCCCCCAGGGCGCGCCCUCCACCCUCGUGGGCCCCCUGUUGCUCCACCGAUGUACUCCUUCCCCCCAUAUAUACCUACGUACCCCCAAAUGAUCAGAUACGGAGCCAAAAACCUAAUUCCACCGCCGCAACCUUCUGUACCCACGAGAUUCCAUCUUGGGGCCUGUUCCGGAGCUCCGCCGGAGGGGGCAUCGAUCACGGAGGGCUUCUACAUCAUCACCAUAGCCCCUUCGAUGAAGUGUGAGUAGUUUACCUCAGACCUUCGGGUCCAUAGUUAUUAGCUAGAUGGAUUCUUCUCUCUUUUUGGAUCUCAAUACAAUGUUCUCCCCCUCUCUCAUGGAGAUCUAUUCGAUGUAAUCUUCUUUUUGCGGUGUGUUUGUUGAGACCGAUGAAUUGUGGGUUUAUGAUCAAGUUUAUCUAUGAAAAAUAUUUGAAUCUUCUCUGAAUUCUUUUAUGUAUGAUUGGUUAUCUUUGCAAGUCUCUUCGAACUAUCAGUUUGGUUUGGCCUACUAGAUUGAUCUUUCUUGCAAUGGGAGAAGUGCUUAGCUUUGGGUUCAAUCUUGCGGUGUCCUUUCCCAGUGACAGUAGGGGCAGCAAGGCACGUAUUGUAUUGUUGCCAUCGAGGAUAACAAGAUGGGGUUUUUAUCAUAUUGCAUGAAUUUAUCCCUCGACAUCAUGUCAUCUUGCUUAAGGCGUUACUCUGUUUUUAUGAACUUAAUACUCUAGAUGUGUGCUGGAUAGCGGUCGAUGAGUGGAGUAAUAGUAGUAGAUGCAGGCAGGAGUCGGUCUACUUGUCUCGGACGUGAUGCCUAUAUACAUGAUCAUACCUAGAUAUUCUCAUAACUAUGCUCAAUUCUGUCAAUUGCUCAACAGUAAUUUGUUCACCCACCGUAGAAUACUUAUGCUCUCGAGAGAAGCCACUAGUGAAACCUAUGGCCCUCGGGUCUAUCUUCAUCAUAUUAAUCCUCCAACACUUAGUUAUUUCCUUUGCUUUUUUACUUUGCUUUUAUUUUACUUUGCAUCUUUAUCACAAAAAUACCAAAAAUAUUAUCCUAUCAUAUCUAUCAGGUCUCACUCUCGUAAGUGACCGUGUAGGAUUGACAACCCCUUAUCAUGUUGGUUGCGAGGAUUUAUUUGUUUUGUGUAGGUGCGAGGGACUCGCGCGUAACCACCUACUGGAUUGAUACCUUGGUUCUCAAAAACUGAGGGAAAUACUUACGCUACUUUACUGCAUCACCCUUUCCUCUUCAAGGGAAAACCAACACAGUGCUCAAGAGGUAGCAAGAAGGAUUUCUGGCGCCGUUGCCCGGGAGGCUACGCGAAGUCAAGUAAAGACUUGGACUCCCGACAACGAGCCAUUUCUGGCGCCUUUGCCGGGGAGGUCUACGCAAAAGUCAACAUACCAAGUACCCAUCACAAUCCCUUAUCUCCUGCACUACAUUAUUUGCCAUUUGCCUCUCGUUUUCCUCUCCCCCACUUCACCCUUGCCAUUUUAUUCGCCCUCUCUUUUCCGUUUGCCUCUUUUUGCCCGUCUCUUGUUUGCUCGUGUGUUGGAUUGCUUGUUUGUCACGAUGGCUCAAGAUAAUACCAAAUUAUGUGACUUUACCAAUACCAACAAUAAUGAUUUCCUUAGCACUCCGAUUGCUCCUCUUACCAAUACUGAAUCUUGUGAAAUCAAUGCUGCUUUGUUGAAUCUUGUUAUGGAAGAUCAAUUCGCCGGCCUUCCUAGUGAAGAUGCCGCUACUCAUCUAAAUAGCUUCGUUGAUUUGUGUGAUAUGCAAAAGAAGAAAGAUGUGGACAAUGAUAUUGUUAAAUUGAAGCUAUUUCCUUUUUCGCUUAGAGAUCGUGCUAAAGCUUGGUUUUCGUAUUUGCCUAAAAAUAGUAUUGAUUCAUGGAAUAAGUGCAAAGAUGCUUUUAUCUCUAAGUAUUUUCCUCCCGCUAAGAUCAUCUCUCUUAGAAACGAUAUUAUGAAUUUUAAGCAACUUGAUCAAGAACAUGUUGCACAAGCUUGGGAAAGGAUGAAAUUAAAGAUACGUAAUUGCCCUACUCAUGGUUUGAAUUUGUGGAUGAUUCUACAAAACUUUUAUGCCGGAUUGAAUUUUGCUUCUAGAAAUUUUUUAGAUUCGGCCGCGGGAGGCACCUUUAUGGAAAUCACUUUAGGAGAAGCUACUAAACUCCUAGAUAAUAUUAUGGUUAAUUAUUCUCAAUGGCACACUGAAAGAUCCACUAAUAAAAAAGUGUGUGAGAUAGAAAAAAUUAAUGUUUUGAGUGGAAAGAUGGACGAACUUAUGAAAUUAUUUUCUACUAAGAGUGUUUCUUCUGUUCCAAUUGAUAUGCCUUUGUCUACUUUGAUUGAGAAUAAUAAUGAAUCUAUGGAUGUGAAUUUUGUUGGUAGGAAUAAUUUUGGUAACAACGCGUAUAGAGGAAACUUUAAUCCUAGGCCUUAUCCUAGCAAUUCCUCUAAUAAUUAUGGUAAUUCCUACAACAACUCUUAUGGAAAUUUUAAUAAGAUGCCCUCUGAAUUUGAGACUACUGUUAAAAAGUUUAUGAAUUCACAAAAUAAUUUCAAUGCUAUGCUUGAAGAGAAAUUGCUUAAAAUUGAUGAAUUGGCUAGGAACGUUGAUAGAAUUUCUCUUGAUGUUGAUUCUUUAAAACUUAGAUCUAUUCCUCCUAAGUAUGAUAUCAAUGAGUCUCUCAAAGCCAUGAGAAUUUCCAUUGAUGAGUGCAUUGAAAGAACCGCUAGGAUGCGUGCUAAGAAAGGUUGCUUUAUGAAAGUGUGUUCUUCAAAUUUCUAUGAAAAUAAAGAUGAAGAUCUAAAAGUUAUUGAUGUGUCUCCUAUUAAAUCUUUGUUUUGCAAUAUGAAUCUUGAUAAUGAUGAGACUGAAUAUGAUCCACCUCUACCUAGAAGGCGUUCUAAAAAUUCAGAGUUUUUAGAUCUUGAUGCUAAAAUUGAUAAAAGUGGGAUUGAAGAAAUCAAAACGUUAGAUAUUAAUAAACCUACUAUUUUGGAUUUCAAGGAAUUUAAUUAUGAUAAUUUCUCUUUGAUAUAUUGUAUUUCCUUGUUGCAAUCCGUGCUAAAUUCUCCUCAUGCUUAUAGUCAAAAUAAAGCUUUUACCAAACAUAUCAUUGAUGCCUUGAUGCAAUCUUAUGAAGAAAAACUUGAGUUGGAAGUUUCUAUCCCUAGAAAACUUUAUGAUGAGUGGGAACCUACUAUUAAAAUUAAGAUUAAGGAUCAUGAGUUCUAUGCUUUAUGUGAUUUGGGUGCUAGUGUUUCCACUAUACCCAAAACUUUGUGCGGUUUGCUAGAUUUCCGUGAUUUUGAUGAUUGCUCUCUAAACUUGCACUUUGUGGAUUCCAUUAUUAAGAAACAUAUGGGAAGAAUUAAUGAUGUUCUUAUUGUUGCAAAUAGGAACUAUGUGCCCGUAGAUUUUAUUGUUCUCGAUAUAGAUUGCAAUCCUUCAUGUCCUAUUAUUCUUGGUAGACCUUUCCUUAGAACUAUUGGUGCAAUUAUUGAUAGGAAGGAAGGGAAUAUUAGAUUCCAAUUUCCAUUAAAGAAAGGCAUGGAACACUUACCUAGGAAUAAAAUAAAAUUACCAUAUGAAUCUAUCAUGAGAGCCACUUAUGGAUUGCCUACCAAAGAUGGCAACACCUAGAUCUAUCCUUGCUUUUAUGCCUAGCUAGGGGCGUUAAACGAUAGCGCUUGUUGGGAGGCAACCCAAUUUUAUUUUUAGUUUUUUGAUUUUUUCUUAGGUUUAGGAAUAAAUAUUUGUUCUAGCCUCUGGUUAGAUGUGUUUUUAUUUUUUAAUUAGUGUUUGUGCCAAGUUAAACCUAUAGGAUCUUCUUGGAUGAUAGUUAUUUGAUCUUGCUGUAAUUUCCAGAAACUUUCUGUUCACGAAAACAAUUGUUAAAAAUCACCAGAAUGUGAUAAAAUACUGAUUCCAAUUGCUUUUGACCAAUAAACAAAUUAUCUAGGUCGUCCUAUUUUGGCUGAUUUUUUGUAGUUUCAGAAGUUUGCGUUAGUUACAGAUUACUACAGACUGUUCUGUUUUUUGACAGAUUCUGUUUUUCGUGUGUUGUUUACUUAUUUUGAUGAAUCUAUGGCUAGUAAAAGAGUUUAUAAACCAUAGAGAAGUUGGAAUACAGUAGGUUUAACACCAAUAUAAAUAAAUAAUGAGUUCAUUACAGUACCUUGAAGUGGUCUUUUGUUUUCUUUCGCUAACGGAGCUCACGAGAUUUUAUGUUGAGUUUUGUGUUGUGAAGUUUUCAAGUUUUGGGUGAAAGAUUAGAUGGAUUAUGGAACAAGGAGUGGCAAGAGCCUAAGCUUGGGGAUGCCCACGGCACCCCCAAGAUAAUCUAAGGACACCAAAAAGGCAAAGCUUGAGGAUGCCCCGGAAGGCAUCCCCUCUUUCGUCUACUUCCAUCGGUAACUUUACUUGGAGCUAUAUUUUUAUUCACCACAUGAUAUGUGUUUUGCUUGGAGCGUCUUGUACGAUUUGAGUCUUUGCUUUUUAGUUUACCACAAUCAUCCUUGCUGUACACACCUUUUGAGAGAGCCAUAUAUGAUUUGGAAUUUGUUAGAAUACUCUAUGUGCUUCGCUUAUAUCUUUUGAGUUAUAUAGUUUUGCUCUAGUGCUUCACUUAUAUCUAUUAGAGCACGGUGGUGGAUUUGUUUUAUAGAAACUAUUGAUCUCUCAUGCUUCACUUAGAUUAUUUUGAGAGUCUUAAAUAGCAUGGUAAUUUUUUUAAAUAAUCCUAAUAUGCUUGGUAUUCAAGAUUAAUAAAAACUUUCUUAUGAGUGUGUUGAAUACUAAGAAAAGUUUGAUGCUUGAUAAUUGUUUUGAGAUAUAAAGAUGGUGAUAUUAGAGUCAUGCUAGUUGAGUAGUUGUGAAUUUGAGAGAUACUUGUGUUAAAUUUUGUGAUUCCCGUAGCAUGCACGUAUGGUGAACCGUUAUGUGAUGAAGUCGGAGCAUAAUUUAUUUAUUGAUUGUCUUCCUUAUGAGUGGCGGUCGGGGACGAGCGAUGGUCUUUUCCUACCAAUCUAUCCCCCUAGGAGCAUGCGCGUAAUACUUUGCUUUGAUAACUUGUAGAUUUUUGCAAUAAGUAUAUGAGUUCUUUAUGACUAAUGUUGAGUCCAUGGAUUAUACGCACUCUUCUUCCUUCCACCAUUGCUAGCCUCUCUAAUACGGCGCACUUUUCGCCGGUAUCAUACACCCACCAUAAACCUUCCUCAAAACAGCCACCAUACCUACCUAUCAUGGCAUUUCCAUAGCCAUUCCGAGAUAUAUUGCCAUGCAACUUUCCACCGUUCCGUUUAUUAUGACAUGCUCCAUCAUUGUCAUAUUGCUUUGCAUGAUCAUGUAGUUGACAUCGUAUUUCUGGCAAAGCCACCGUUCAUAAUUCUUUCAUACAUGUCACUCUUGAUUCAUUGCAUAUCCCGGUACACCGCCGGAGGCAUUCAUAUAGAGUCAUAUUUUGUUCUAAGCAUCGAUUUGUAAUUGAUGAGUUGUAAGAAAAUAAAAGUGUGAUGGUCUUCAUUUUUAGAGCUUUGUCCCAAGUGAGGAAAAGGAUGAUGGAGACUAUGAUUCCCCCACAAGUCGAGAUGAGACUCCGGUCAAAAAAAAGAGGCCAUAAAAACAGGCCCAAAUAAAAAAAUAAAAAAGUGAGAGAAAGAGAGAAGGGACAAUGUUACUAUCCUUUUACCACACUUGUGCUUCAAAGUAGCACCAUGAUCUUCAUGAUAGAGAGUCUCCCAUUUUGUCACGUUCAUAUACUAGUGGGAAUUUUUCAUUAUAGAACUUGGCUUGUAUAUUCCAAUGAUGGGCUUCCUCAAAAUGCCCUAGGUCUUCGUGAGCAAGCGAGUUGGAUGCACACCCACUUAGUUUCUUUUGUUGAGAUUUCAUAUACUUAUAGCUCAAGUGCAUCCGUUGCAUGGCAAUCCCUACUCACUCACAUUGAUAUCUAUUGAUGGGCAUCUCCAUAGCCCGUUGAUACGCCUAGUUGAUGUGAGACUAUCUUCUCCCUUUUUGUCUUCUCCACAACCACCAUUCUAUUCCACAUAUAGUGCUAUGUCCAUGGCUCACGCUCAUGUAUUGCGUGAAGAUUGAAAAAGUUUGAGAAUGUCAAAAGUAUGAAACAAUUGCUUGGCUUGUCAUCGGGGUUGUGCAUGAUUUAAAUACUUUGUGUGGUGAAGAUAGAGCAUAGCCAGACUAUAUGAUUUUGUAGGGAUAACUUUCUUUGGCCAUGUUAUUUUGAGAAGACAUAAUUGCUUUGUUAUUAUGCUUGAAGUAUUAUUAUUUUUACGUCAAUAUUAAACUUUUGUCUUGAAUCUUUCGGAUCUGAAUAUUCAUACCACAAUUAAGAAGAAUUACAUUGAAAUUAUGCCUACUAGCACUCUGCAUCAAAAUUUCUGUUUUUAUCAUUUACCUACUCGAGGACGAGCAGGAAUUAAGCUUGGGGAUGCUUGAUACGUCUCCAACGUAUCUAUAAUUUUUGAUUGCUCCAUGCUAUAUUAUCUACUGUUUUGGACAUUAUUGGGCUUUAUUAUUCACUUUUAUAUUAUUUUUGGGACUAACCUAUUAACCGGAGGCCCAGCCCAGAAUUGUUGUUUUUUGCCUAUUUCAGAGUUUCGCAGAAAAGGAAUAUCAAACGGAGUCCAAACGGAAUGAAACCUUCGGGAACGUGAUUUUCAGAACGAACAAGAUCCAGGAGACUUGGACCCUACGUCAAGAAAUAAAGGAGGAGGCCACGAGGUAGGGGGGCGCGCCUACCCCCCNNNNNNNNNNNNNNNNNNNNNNNNNNNNNNNNNNNNNNNNNNNNNNNNNNNNNNNNNNNNNNNNNNNNNNNNNNNNNNNNNNNNNNNNNNNNNNNNNNNNNNNNNNNNNNNNNNNNNNNNNNNNNNNNNNNNNUCCAGGGCGCGCCCUCCACCCUUGUGGGCCCCCUGUUGCUCCACCGACGUACUCCUUCCUCCUAUAUAUACCUACGUACCCCCAAACGAUCAGAUACGGAGCCAAAAACCUAAUUCCACCGCCGCAACCUUCUGUACCCACGAGAUUCCAUCUUGGGGCAUGUGCCGGAGCUCCGCCGGAGGGGGCAUCGAUCACGGAGGGCUUCUACAUCAUCACCAUAGCCCCUUCGAUGAAGUGUGAGUAGUUUACCUCAGACCUUCGGGUCCAUAGUUAUUAGCUAGAUGGCUCUUUUUGGAUCUCAAUACAAUGUUCUCCCCCUCUCUCGUGGAGAUCUAUUCGAUGUAAUCUCCUUUUUGCGGUGUGUUUGUUGAGACCGAUGAAUUGUGGGUUUAUGAUCAAGUUUAUCUAUGAACAAUAUUUGAAUCUUCUCUGAAUUCUUUUAUGUAUGAUUGGUUAUCUUUGCAAGUCUCUUCGAAUUAUCAGUUUGGUUUGGCCUACUAGAUUGAUCUUUCUUGCAAUGGGAGAAGUGCUUAGCUUUGGGUUCAAUCUUGCGGUGUCCUUUCCCAGUGACAGUAGGGGCAGCAAGGCACGUAUUGUAUUGUUGCCAUCGAGGAUAACAAGAUGGGGUUUUUAUCAUAUUGCAUGAAUUUAUCGCUCUACAUCAUGUCAUCUUGCUUAAGGCGUUACUCUGUUUUUAUGAACUUAAUACUCUAGAUGUGUGCUGGAUAGCGGUCGAUGAGUGGAGUAAUAGUAGUAGAUGCAGGCAGGAGUCGGUCUAGUUGUCUCGGACGUGAUGCCUAUAUACAUGAUCAUACCUAGAUAUUCUCAUAACUAUGCUCAAUUCUGUCAAUUGCUCAACAGAAAUAUGUUCACCCACCGUAGAAUACUUAUGCUCUCGAGAGAAGCCACUAGUGAAACCUAUGGCCCCUGGGUCUAUCUUCAUCAUAUUAAUCCUCCAACACUUAGUUAUUUCCUUCGCUUUUUACUUUGCUUUUAUUUUACUUUGCAUCUUUAUCACAAAAAUACCAAAAAUAUUAUCCUAUCAUAUCUAUCAGAUCUCACUCUCGUAAGUGACCGUGUAGGAUUGACAACCCCUUAUCGUGUUGGUUGCGAGGAUUUAUUUGUUUUGUGUAGGUGCGAGGGACUCGCGCGUAGCCUCCUACUGGAUUGAUACCUUGGUUCUCAAAAACCGAGGGAAAUACUUACGCUACUUUACUGCAUCACCCUUUCCUCUUCAAGGGAAAACCAACACAGUGCUCAAGAGGUAGCAAGAAGGAUUUCUGGCACCGUUGCCCGGGAGGCUACGCGAAGUCAAGUAAAGACUUGGACUCCCGACAACGAGCCAUUUCUGGCGCCUUUGCCGGGGAGCCUAUAUACAUGAUCAUACCUAGAUAUUCUCAUAACUAUGCUCAAUUCUGUCAAUUGCUCAACAGUAAUUUGUUCACCCACCGUAAAUACUUAUGCUCUUGAGAGAAGCCACUAGUGAAACCUAUGGCCCCCGGGUCUAUCUUCAUCAUAUUAAUCCUCCAACACUUAGUUAUUUCCUUCGCUUUUUACUUUGCUUUUAUUUUACUUUGCAUCUUUAUCACAAAAAUACCAAAAAUAUUAUCCUAUCAUAUCUAUCAGAUCUCACUCUCGUAAGUGACCGUGUAGGGAUUGACAACCCCUUGUCGCGUUGGUUGCGAGGAUUUAUUUGUUUUGUGUAGGUGUGAGGGACUCGCGCGUAGCCUCCUACUGGAUUGAUACCUUGGUUCUCAAAAACCGAGGGAAAUACUUACGCUACUUUGCUGCAUCACCCUUUCCUCUUCAAGGGAAAACCAACGCAGUGCUCAAGAGGUAGCAGAUCCAUGGGCCUUCCAUGGGCCAGCGGCUCCAUGGGCCUUCUAUGGGCCAUCGGGUCAAUGGGCCUUCUAUGGGCCGUCGGGUCAAUGGGCCUUCUACGGGCCGUCUCAUCUAUGGGCCUUGUACGGGCCGUAUAAGGGGCCGUAAACGGGCUAGAGUGGAAAUCGUGCGUUUUAUGGGCUGACCAUAACGGGCCGUUAAACGGCCGUAUUUGAUGAUGCUAUGAAAAUGGCCCAACAGAUUAACGGGCCACAAAAGGGCCGACUGUAUCCACGGGCUGAAUUUGGCCCACUAGCAGAAAAGGCCUAUAACGGGCCGUAAGUAAACGAAUGCCGGAAGUGAGCCCAAGAAUAAAUGGGCCCUGAGAAGGCCGAAAGAUAACAUGGGUUGGAAACGGCCCAACGGUAUAAUGGGCCAUUAAUGGGUAUAAAGUGAUACACUAUUCAUCACGGGCCAGUUUUACCACGGGCCGUUAAUGGGCCGAGGGUUACUAAGGGCCUCAGAUGGGCCAAAAGACGUCAUGGGACAUACAUGGGCCGGAAGUUAAAACGGGCUGGAAUUGUAUUGGACGGCCCAAAUGACGCUACUGGACCUAAUUCGGAUAGGCCGUAAACGGGCCCUGGGUUAGCGGGCUGUAAAUGGGCUAUAUGCGAAUAGGCCGUUAACAGGCUUGCCGUGGGCCGGCCCGCCACCUUUUAACCAAGUCAAACGGGCCGGCCUUUUCACAGGAACGGGCCUCUGUUCGGCCGUGCCAUGUGUCGACGUAUCAUAGGCGCUUUGGGUCCACUGAGUGGAUGACAUCUGUCCCAAUUGUGAGCCGACACGUGUUUCCUCCAGCCAAUGAUGAUUUUACACGUGGAAAAUCCCCAUUGGUCGGGGCUGUUAACGGGUUAUCGGAUCCAAAACCGGACCCGAUAGCUUAACGGCUUUCCGUUACGGUGGAUGCCACGUGUCGAUCACCCUUGACGAAAGCACUUCUGUGACGCGCGAUUUAUCGUCAUGGAAGUGGACACUUCCGUGAUGAUAAUUUUGGUAAUGUCAUGGAACACUUCUACGACAGCACAGGUAUGACUAUCUUGAUUCUGUCAUAAAUUUGUCAUGGAUGUACAUGCAUGACAGAAAACGUGACCUACUAUGACGAACACGUAUCAUCACGGAAGUGUCUUUUUUUUGUAGUGUACGUUGGAGACGUAUCAAGCAUCCCCAAGCUUAAUUCCUGCUCGUCCUCGAGUAGGUAAAUGAUAAAAAUAGAAUUUUUGAUGUGGAAUGCUACCUAACAUAUUUAUCCAUGUAAUUUUCUUUAUUGUGGCAUGAAUGUUCAUAUCCACAAGAUUCAAAAGAAAAGUUUAACGUUGACAUAAAAACAAUAAUACGUCAAGCAUACUAAUAAAGCAAUCAUGUCUUCUCAAAAUAACAUGGCCAAAGAAAGUUAUCCCUACAAAAUCAUAUAGUCUGGCUAUGCUCCAUAUUCAUCACACAAAGUAUUAAAUUAUGCACAACCCCGGUAUUAGUCAAGCAAUUAUUUCACACUUUAGUAUUGUCAAACUUUUUCAACUUUCAUGCAAUACAUGAGCGUGAGCCAUGGAUAUAGCAUAUAGGUGGUAGAAUAUGGUUGUUGUGGAGAAGACAAAAAGAAGGUAGUCUCACAUAAACUAGGCGUAUCAACGGGCUAUGGAGAUGCCCAUCAAUAGAUAUCAAUGUCAGUGAGUAGGGAUUUCCAUGCAACGGAUUCACUAGAGCUGUAAGUUUAUGAAAGCUCACAAAGAAACUAAGUGGGUGUCCAUCCAACUCACUUGCUCACGAAGACCUAGGGCAAUUUGAGGAAGCCCGUCAUUGGAAUAUACAAGCCAAGUUAUAUAAUGAAAAAUUCCCACUAGUAUAUGAAAGUGACAACAUAGGAGACUCUCUAUCAUGAAGAUCAUGGUGCUACUUUGAAGCACAAGUGUGGAAAAGGAUAGUAACAUUGUCCCUUCUCUCUUUUCUCUCAGUAAUUUUUUUGGUGGGCUUCUUUGGCCUCUUUUAUUUUAUUUGGGCUUCUUUGGCCUCUUUUAUUUUUCAUAAAGUCCGGAGACUCAUCCCAACUUGUGAGGUAAUCAUAGCUUCCAUCAUCCUUUCUUCACAUGGGACAAUGCUCUAAUAAUGAUGAUCAUCACAAUUUUAUUUACUUACAACUCAAGGUAAAAACUCAUAAUGACGGAACGGUGGAAGUUGCAUGGAAAUAUAUCUCGGAAUGGCUAUGGAAAUUCCAUAAUAGGUAGGUAUGGUGGUUGUUUUGAGGAAGGGUAAAUGGUGGGUUUAGUGCACCGGCGAAAGUUGCACGGUACUAGAGUGGCUAGCAAUGGUGGAAGGGUCAGAGUGCGUAUAAUCCAUGGACUCAACAUUAGUCAUAAAGAACUCACAUACUUAUUGCAAAAAUUUAUUAGCUAUCGAAACAAAUUAUUAGACGCAUGCUCCUAGGGGAAGGGUUGGUAGGAGUUAACCAUCGCGCGAUCCCGACCUCCACACAAAGGACGACAAUCAAUAAAUAAAUAAUGCUCCGACUUCAUCACAUAACGGUUCACCAUACGUGCAUGCUACGGGAAUCACAAACUUUAACACAAGUAUUUCUACCAAUCCACAAUUACUCACUAACAUGACUCUAAUAUCACCAUCUUCAUAUCUCAAAACAAUCAUAAGGAAUCAAACUUCUCAUAGUAUUCAAUGCUCUAUAUAUUAAAGUUUUUAUUAUAUCUCCCUUGGAUGCCCAUCAUAUUAGGACUAAAUUCAUAACCUAUCCAAAUUACCAUGUUGUUUAGAGACUCUCAAAAUAAUAUAAGUGAAGCAAGAGAGUUAAAUGAUUUCUAUAAAAUAAAGCCACCGCUGUGCUCUAAAAAGAUAUAAGUGAAGCACUAGAGCAAAAUUGCCUAGAUCAAAAGAUAUAAGUAAAGCACAUAGAGUAUUCUAAUAAAUCAUGAUUCAUGUGUGUCCCUCUCAAAAGGUGUGUACAGCAAGGAUGAUUGUGGCAAACUAAAAAUCAAAGACUCAUAUUAUACAAGACGCUCCAAGAAAAAUAUUUAUCAUGUGGCGAAUAAAAAUAUAGCCUCAAGUAAAGUUACCGAUAGAUGAAGACGAAAGAGGGGAUGCCAUCCGGAGCAUCCCCAAGCUUAGGCUCUUGGUUGUCCUUGAAUAUUACCUUGGGGUGCCUUGGGCAUCCCCAAGCUUAGGCUCUUGCCACUCCUUAUUCCAUAGUCCAUCAAAUCUUUAAUCAAAACUUGAAAACUUCACAACAUCAAACUCAACAGAAAACUCAUUAGAUCCGUUAAUAAAACAAAAUCCAAUUCUUGCAUGUAGGUACUGUUGUGAACUCAUUCUUAUUUUAUAUUGGUGUAAUAUCUACUGUAUUCCAACUUUUCCAUGGUUCAUGCCCCCCGAUACUAGCCAUAGAUGCAUCAAAAUAAGCAAACAACACAAAGAAAACAGAAUCUGUCAAAAACAGAACAGUCUGUAAAGAUGUGAAUUGAUGUAAAACUUCUGCAUCUCUAAAAAUUCUGAAAAUUAGGACAACGUGGGAAAUUUGUAGAUCAGAAACGUGUAUAAAAUUCAAGAAUUUAUCGCGCUCCGCUAACCAGAAACAAUUCUGAUACUGGACACAAAAGUUUCUGUUUUUCAACAAAACCAAUCUACUAUCUUUCAAAUCAUCCCAAAGUUCUUACUUGGCACAAACACUAAAUUAAAACUCAUAAACAAAUCUAACUAGAGGUUAGAUGAAAAAUUUAUUGAAAAACAGAACCAAAGAAAGCAAGAACAAAAAUAAAAUUGGGUUGCCUCCCAACAAGCGCUAUUGUUUAACGCCCUUAGCUAGGCAAAAAACAUAGAUCUAGAUAUUGCCAUAAUAACAAUAAUAAGGCAUAUCACGUAUGCUCAUCUCAUACUCCCUUGGUUCAGCAGCAAGCUUUGUUUGUGGUAAGCAAAAGUAAUCAAAAGGGCUAAAUUUAAUAGGGUAAGGAUCCCUAAGAUCAAGUUCUGGAGGAAUUGGCUCCUCCUUCGGCCCCUCGUAUCGUAUGGUCAACUCAUCAUUGUAAGCGUUCUUUUGGCAAAAAUUCAUGAACUUAUUUUCUAGAGAGAAACCUAAUCCGUUGUUUCGUAUAGCAAAAUUAUCAUUAAUUUCAGAAAUUCUCUCAACUAAAACAUUGGUAGGGACCCUUUUUCUUAAAUUUUCGUUAUAAGCAACAUGAUCAAGAGAUCGUAAACGCAUUAUUUCUUCUUGAUUAAAGAGAAUCCCCUAUAUGGGAGGACGACUACCAUCUAUUUUAUAAUGCGCAAAAAUUUCAAUAGCUUCCUUCAUAAUGAAUAUAAACUCAUGAGCUAGAAAUAUGGUAGCGGCGCGUUUAACAGAAGAAUGCUCGAUAUUAGGAAACUCUAGAAAAAUCCUUUGUAUGCACGGAUGCAUUUGAACAAAUUGUCUUUCAAGUUCAAUUACAAGCAAAGUUAUAGCGUCCACGAGACUAUUAGUUUUAUGGAGAAUAGAUCCACCUAACAUGGGUAGCGCACCGGCACAAGUAAAUAAAUCUUGAAUAACCCCUUUUCCAAUAAUAUUGCUGCUACCUAUGCGAAGCUUUUUAGUGUGCAAGAUAGUAGAUUCUUCAUGCGGAUCAAUAUUAGCAAAAUUAUCCAGGUUUUCCUCAUUAUUACUACGAUCUUUUUCAACGAUAACCUCCCCAGAUUCAGACAUGAUGGCAACAAAUCUGUCUAGCAAACGAAUGAACCGGAAAUAAACGAAAAAGACAAACGGAAGAAGGGCGAAUAAAAAGGCAUAUCUUUUUCUGCUUUUCUGAAAAUGUUUUUGAACUAGGGGAGAGGAAAACGAGAGGCGAAUGGCGAAUAAUGUAAUGCAAGAGAUGAGAAUUUAUUAUUGGUACUUGGUAGGCUUGAUGUAGAUCUUGACUUGGCGUAGAUCUCCCCGGCAACGGCGCCAGAAAUUCUUCCUGCUACUUCUUGAUCUUCCAUUGUUUUUUUUCUUGAAGAGGAAAGGGUGAGGCAGCAAAGUAGAGAUAAUUAUUUCCCUCAGUUAAUAACCAAGGUAUCAAUCCAGUAGGAGAAGAACGCGCAAAUCACCAAUACCUGCACGAACAAUCAAAAACUUGCACCCAACGCGAUAAAGGGGUUGUCAAUCCCUUCACGGUCACUUGCAAAAGUGAGAUCUGAUAGACAUAGAUAAAUAAACCUAAACAAAAUAUAAAAUAUUUUUGGAUUUUUCAUUUAUAGAUCUGAAAAUAAAAGAUUACAAAAUAGUAGAUCGGAAACUAAUAUGAUGGAAAAAGACCCAGGGGCCAUAGGUUUCACUAGAGGCUUCUCUCAUGAAGGCAAAUAAUACGGUGGGUGAACAAAUUACUGUCGAGCAAUUGAUAGAAAAGCUCAAUGUUAUGACGAUAUCCAAGGCAAUGAUUAUGUGAUAUAGGCAUCACGUCCAUAUCAAGUAGACCGACUCCUGUCUGUAUCUACUACUAUUACUCCACACAUCCACCGACUCCUGCCUGCAUCUAGAGUAUUAACUUCAUAAAGAACAGAGUAACGCAUUAAGUAAGAUGACAUGAUGUAGAGGAAUAAACUCAAGCAAUAUGAUGUAAAUCCCAUCUUUUUUAUCCUCGAUGGCAAAAAUAAAAUACGUGCCUCACUACCCCUACUUUGUCACUAGGUGAGGACACCGCAAGAUUGAACCCAAAGCCAAGCACUUAUCCCAUUGCAAGAAAAACCAAUCUAGUUGGCCAAACCAAACCGAUAAUUCGAAGAGAACUACAAGGAUAUCUAAUCAUGCAUAUAAGAAUUCAGAGAAGAUUCAAAUAAUAUUCAUAGAUAAGUUGAUCAUAGAUCCACAAUUCAUCGGAUCUCGACAAACACACCGCAAAAGAAGAUUACAUUGGAUAGAUCUCCAAGAACAUCGAGGAGAACAUGGUAUUGAGAAUCAAAGAGAGAGAAGAAGCCAUCUAGUUACUAGAUAUGGACCUGUAGGUCUGUGGUAAACUAGUCACGCUUCACCGGAAGGGCAAUAGAGUUGAUGUAGAUGCCCUUCGUGAUCGAACCCCCCUCCGGCAGGAUGCCAAAAAAGGCCCCAAGAUGGGAUCUCACGGGAACAGAAGGUUGCGGCGGUGGAAAAGUGUUUUUGUGGAUGCUUCUGAGGGUUUCGGAAUAUUUGUGAAUUUAUAGGACAAAGAAGUAGGUCGGUGAAGUCACGAGGGGCCCACAAGGUAGGGGGCGUGCCCACCGCCCUAGGGUGCGCCCUCCACCCUUGCAUCCGCCUCGUGGCUCUUCUGACCUGCACUCCAAGUCCCCUGGGUGCCUUCUGGUCCGAGAAAAAUCAUCGUAAAGUUUCAUUCCAUUUGGACUCCGUUUGAUAUUCUUUUUUUGUUAAACUCAAAAAUAAGGAAAAACAGAACUUGGCACUGGGCCCUAGGUUAAUAGGUUAGUCCCAAAAAUAAUAUAAAAUAGCAUAUUAAUGCAUACAAAACAUCCAAAACAGAUAAUAUAAUAGCAUGGAACAAUCAAAAAUUAUAGAUACGUUGGAGACGUAUCAUUGCCAAACGUAACAAUGUUGUGCAGAAAUGCGGAAGCGACUACAAGUCAGUGGACUGAAAAGCUAUUUUGGGUCAGUUGCUCAUUUCAGUCGAGCCUGCUUCCAGACAACGACCUCACGUUAUAAGCUACCGUCUGCAUAUAUGCACAUAAUAACUCCUACUCAGUCCUCCUCCUAUGUACAUAGUAGUCCUACACAGUUCUAUCCCUACACUAGUACUACUACACAAUGUUGUCACUAUAAAGUAGUUCCUAGAAGCACGUCUACACAUGAACUACGUUGGCUGGCUCGCAACCUGCAUGCGCGAUCGCACGCACUAGCGACGCACGUGCUAGCGGCUCUCAUCUUGUUUCUCAAAAACAUCGCCAUGGUUUGGAGUGUUUCUAUAAAAAUGCUACACCUACAUGGACAUUGCUAACGAUCUCCUAUCUCGUUGGUCAAAAACAGUGCCAUGGUCGGGGGAGUUUCUCUAAAAAAUGAUACACCUACAUGGAUAUUGCUACUGAUUUAUUGUAUCCUUGGUCAAAAACAUCACCACACUCGGAAGUGUUUCUCUAAAAUGCUACACAUACAGAGAUAUUUCUACUGAUCAUCUUUACAGUGAGAUAUGCUUUCUUCCAACCACAGAACUCCCCCUAUUUCCUAAUUAUUAGUAGAAUGCUAUCUGGUCAGAUUCCAAGGAGUUGGGCAGGAUUAUGAAGAGGUUGUCCUUCCUCCGGGACCGCAGGAUUACCCUAGUUGAGGUGGCGCACAUGUUCCUACGCCGCAAUGUCCAACCUCUCUAGCCCUGAGCUCACCCCAUGCGGGCUUAUCCGGGGAAGAACGACAACCACGCCAUAGGAGAAGAUUUUUAUGGUAUGUUCUCCUCUUUGUUCAAGGGGAAGGCUAUGGAUUUUCCCGUGUACGACGUUUGUUUUCUCAUUUCUUAAGCAGAAAUUGAAUAGUUGGAUCUUUACUCACCCAUGUACUUGUUGACGCAAAAGUGGCUCUCCUUCUCGACCGAGGUCCGUACUUCUAAAUUAUAUGGUUUUGCAUAUUAACUAACUACCUACUCAUUGCUCGCUAGGAAAUUUAUAAUAACAUGGUCGAUUAAGAUCCAUAGCCUGAUUUCCAAUGGCACAUAUGUAUUUUUCUCCUCCAGCCACCAAACAUUUCUUUCUUGAGGCCAGUGACUACUACCAUCCGAGAAAGACAUCCCUCUAAUGCACCCAACCCUAGUGUCACCCAGCAUAACACACAGCCCUCUAACACUAAGCCUAAACACUAACUGGUAACCUCUAAUUACUCUCCUCCGUCACCAUCACAUUAAGUCCACUCCACAUCAUCACCUCUAAAAUUUCGCCAGUACCGUGACGGUGGUUGGAGAUUGGAGGUAUCAUUGGGCUGAAUUAACUUAUACUAGAUGUAUAUAGAUUGAUAGAUGUAUUAUUUUUUUCUUCAUUUCCAUGUCAUAGAGAUGUACUUAUCCUUGGAAAAGUUGAAUGGUGUCCUGGAAACCAUCCCACUGGUUAUAGCAGAAUGAUCGAUCUAGUGCUAAUACCGUGUUUUUAUUUCAUGACUCUUUGGUAUUGCAUUGUAUUGCAGUUAUAGAUCUCUGCAAUUGCAAGUUAUAUUUAGUUGUUCCAUUUUCUGCUCUUAUCAUUGUCAAGUUGUAGAUGUAUGCUAUUUGAUAUGUUACAAGCAUGGCAACGCAAGAGGAUAAAUUAUUAGUCGAUAAAAAAACAGUUAACAAAUUUGCAACAUCACAAUUAUUACUACCGAAGUUAUUGCUACCCACCUAUUUCACCUUGGCGAAUGAGAGGAGCUGGCGUUUGUGAGUCCACUCCUGCUCGUACACCUCUGCCUUGUACUUGUCAUCUUUCCCGCCAAUGUCUGAUGCGUCGAUGAUGAGUUUGUAGUUCAUUCCAGAAACAAGUUGUUGCCUGCCACUCACCACCUUGUUGAACUUGAGCACGCAGUUCACGUGCUUGGCGAACUCCAACACCGCCCAACGUCCGAGCUCCUGGAUGUGUUGGUCAUUGAUGUUUCCAAUUGGUUUCCAUCCAUUCUCUAUUGUUGUGUUCCACAAUUGGUUACCCAUCCGUUCCCCACAGCCUGUGGCGGGUGAGCCAAUGGCAUAGAGGAACGCAACAACGAUGAUGAGGAGGAAGCUAGAUGUCCUCAUGGCUAUUGGAUUGUCUAAUGGGGUUCUAUAUCUUGAGAUAGUUAUGUGGGACUUUGGUGAGUUGGUGAUGUGAGUCGAUCCAAAACAAGUGAGAUAGGUGUGCUUAAAUAGACAUUGUUAUAAGGGGCAGCCAUUAAUAGGAUGCUUAUCCAAGUAGGCAUUUACAAUGGCAUUUAUGACAACCUUUUAUACGGGGACAAACUUUAUUCACAAGUUAAUCAAUUGGAUCCAUAUCCAAAGAAUUUGACCUACUUAAACUUAGAAACGUUUAAAUACAUGCUUUCUUGAUGGUUGUAUUUCAUAGCCGGGUAGUAACUAGUGCACCCACUGACAAGUUGUGACUAAUAUCUUAUCCAUAAAAUGGUCAAAAUUAAAAUAAUUUGCCUUAUGGGUAGUAAAAACCUGUAUUUAAACCUUUGUAUGAAAAUAUAUCUAGAUUUCUAUCAUGGAAAUACUAAUAGUUAUAAUUAUACAAAUUGUUCUUAAAAUUUCAUAUAUAUUUUUGGAGUAAUACUUCAACUAUUAUCUUGGUGCCAAAAUUUGGGUUGAUUCGUCACACAACCACUUAUCUUUCUUGUGCUUGGAAACUUGAGUAUGAUAUGAGCAAUAUGAAACGUGUGGAUCUUUAUUAAACCCAAAUGAUAAGUGGCCAAUAUGUGGUACGAAGCAACAUGGUCCUAACGCCCCUAUUAUCAUCCACUUUGCCACAUCAAAUGGAUAACAUCAGCAGAUUUUUUUUUUUGUUUUUUAGACAUCAAAAUGUAUUAUCUCCCAAAUAAUAAAUUUGAUUACAAAUCUAUUUUCAUCGUUAAAUCUGCCUUGACGAGAUAUUCAAAACUAUAUCCCAUAUUGCUAUGUUUCGACGAUUUUUUGUGUGCCAAAAGUUGCCAUGAUAUUUACAUUGAAAUUGUCAUAGUGUUUACACUAAAGUUGCCAUGAUAUGUUUCAUCUAUUUUUCUUCUUCUAGAUUUUGAAGCUGCCAUUUUAUAUCAACUAAUUUUCACAUAAAAUUUUAUGAAUGGAUCGUGGAAAUUUUUAGUAAUUAACCACGGUGAAAUUAAUUCAUGGAUCAUGGCAAUUUUUAGUAAUUCAUCUUGGAAAUUUUAGUUUAAAAAUCAUGGCAAAUUUAGUUUAUAGAUCAUGGAAAUUUUAGUAGUUUGACCAUGAAAUUUUAGUAUUUGACCAAGGAAAAUUUUUUUGGUAUGAACCAUGGCAAAUUUUAGUGCAUGUAUCUUUGCAAAUUUAAGUAAUUCACCAUGGUAAUUUUAGUGUAUGGUUCAUGACAAAUUUGAGUCAUUGACCUUGCAUUUUUAAAAUAAUGAACAACGGGUUUCUUUUCUAAUUAUUAACCUUCAUGCCUAGAAGAGAACUAACUAGAUGCUUCAUUUGGUUGUGUGUAUAAUUGGUCUAGGGGUAUAAGAUAUAUCAUACGUGUUUGCUACUAUUUUAACAUGAAAGAAAAGUAGCGGAUAUGUUACAACAUAUACACAUAUUGCUAAAAUAAAUAAUUCUAUGAGGCAGUGGUAACACACACAGAGACAUGCAUAACAUGUUCAAGAUUAGGAAUCAUCCGCUUCUACGCGGUGUCAAAACACAUCAUAUAUAUGCCGAAAUUGCAGCCCGAACCGAAGGAGAUAUAUAAAAAUACCCAAGUAAUCUCAUAACAGCUAUCUCUGUUUCAAACAUUCCAUCCGUCUAAGAUGAAUCUUCUCUAGAAACUUAGGUGUACCAACUUGCUCGUACGCAAGUCACCACAAUGAAAACAAUCGUAUAUAUGAUAAACAAGGCCACAUGUGCAAUCAUGGCAACCAUCAGCACACCCCACGGAAAGUGUUAGGAACCUUUCGCCACUAGAGAGGUCGUAGUACAAAGGAGAAUUAUCCUUGAGACGCCGACGACGUACAAUGGUGUCGUCCACAGCAGUAGGUAUGGCCUUGUAAUUCACGGCAAUAGUCUCCCUCACAUAGACAGAGACAUCAUCGUCCUCGAUGUAAAUUCCAUGGUCAAUAGUAGUGAAGAGAGUAUUACCUCCGAUGCUUGUUACUGGGACAACCUUGCCCAUGAUAAGAUCGGCUACUUUGUAGACGAGCAUGCGCCCCUCUAAAAGUGGGUUAGCGUCGUGACCAAUCAGUCGGAUCUCCGAGACGCAUUCUUCCAUGCUGAACCGGCCUCUGAUUUUGUCAUUGGGACACGUGGCAAUCAACCUUGGCGGCAACAAAUAAGAUGACACUGCGUGAUGACCGAGGCGGGGUGGAUCGAUCUGCAGAAUAAGUUGUUUGCCGCCAUAUGUGGUGGGAGAAUCCAACACAAAUAAUUUUCCUUGGGGUGAUAUUGUAUGAGAGUAGCCUUGGAGGCUCCAAGUCGAGACACUCCAUUGCUGGUCCUUGGUAGUAGCAAAGAAUACUCGUGGUAUAUUAUAAAGCUUGAUCAUAACGGUGACGACUCCAUCAAUACUCACGCUCAUUGAGGUGACACCACUGAAAGCAACAUGUCUCCUGCCAUUUGACAUAUCCAAGUUGGCCCUUACCAGGGACAUGAGCGGCGGUAGCUCCACAAAGUCGUCGGUGAAAGGGUGGAGGAUAUGCAUACAGUGCUUAAAAGUUGGAAAACGUUUCACGCCAGCGCGCCCGCCGAAACUAUGGUUUGUCGGUUGCGAGCCAUGUGAUCAAGCCCCCAUUGUACGUCUCGCACAUCACCCUGGCCCAUCUUAUCUCUCAGCCUAGCGCGCUGGUGGCCACACUCCUCGUCUUCCUCCUUCGGAUCCCGCCGCCGUCUAGCCCCAAUCGCGGCUCAAGCUCAAGAAGGCGACACCCAUGGAUGACGGUGCUCCUCCAAGGCAACCAUGUUGGUGUGCUUGCCGAUGGCCUCGUCGACAUGCUUGCCUUCGGCGAGCCUCGUUGAUGGCGGUCGGGGCAGCGUGGGAGGCGUCAGCUUGGGAGUGGGGGCUCGGAAGGAACAAAUGAGGAGACUGCUCCCGGCAGCCUCGUCGGAUGAUUUGAAUAAUUCCCGAAUUUAUAUAGGCAGUUUUAUUGUUGGCCCAUCCUGCCUUAUGUGGAUUAGCUCCACUGGGGGAUUAUUCGCCCUGCACGCAACGCUGUUACUGUAUUGUGAUUGCGACAACUGGGAGAAGAGGGCCUCGCCGACGGGCGAUGGCAGGCCGGAGACGGGGCACGCGUGCGUCGGUGUCGAACGCUGCCGACCCUCCCUUACUGGGCCGGGUAAUAGCAAGGUACGACAUGAUCCAAGGUCCAAUUCUGCCGAGAAAUUAUGACCCGACCCAGUAAUCUUUGCCGAUCGACUCGAGUUCCGAUCGGUUUGAUCUCCUCGUGGCGGAGUCGUACACAGUCUGCGUCUCAGCUAUCCCUCGGUACGUUCUUCUAGAAAAACUACCCCUCGGUACGUAGAGCUAGGGUAGAAAGACCAGAUCGAUCUUCUACUUUUCGAGAGAAGAGAGAAGAUAUGCCGUCUGCGAUCGAUCCACCGAUGUCAUCAUCACGGGCCAACCACGACGGCGCAUCAGCCAUCGCUGAUGCUGCUGCCUCCGCCGCCAGCUCCGAAGACGACGUCUCUCCAUGGUCGUCUCUGCAUGCAGAUUUGGUUCGUCAACUCGGCUGGGAGGUGCUGGCCGGAGAUAUACUGGACUAUGUCCGAUUUCGUGCCGUGUGCGCCCACUGGCGGUCCAGCACCGUCGCGCCGCGGGGGCACGGCAUCGUCGACCCACGCUUCCACCCCAAGAGGUGGUUCCUGCUGCCCGAGGGUCACGGCCUGCACCCUGCUGACGGCAAGAAACGUUUCUUCAAUCUCUCCACAGGAGUUUUCGUCCGUGUCUUGCUCCCCUUCUUAAGCGAUAGCUAUGUCCUUGACUCGGCCGAUGGCCUCCUCCUCUUGCAACGGAAAAGCCAAGACACCUCCGCGAUCCGGCUCCUCCACCCUUUCACCGACGACUUUGCGGAGCUACCACCGCCCAUGUCCCUUGUAAGAGCUAACUUGGAUAUGUCCGAUGGCACACGACGGGUUGAUUUCCGUAGUGUCACUUCCAUUAGCGUCACUGUUGAUGGAGUCGUCGCAGUCAUGAUCAAGCUUUACAAUAUAUCACGUGUAUUCUUUGCUACUACUAAGGACCGGCAGUGGAGUGUCUCGACUUGGAAUAUCGGAUGGUACUCCGAGACAAUAUCGUCCAACCACAUAUCGCCGUGAACAACAUAUUCUCCAGAUCGAUCCACCCCGCCUUGAUCAUCACGCCAUGUCAUCUUAUUUGUUGCCAUCAAGGUUGAUUGCCACGUGUCCCACUAACAAAAUUUCUGGCAUGUUCUACAUGGAAGAUUGUGUCUCGGAGAUCCUAGUGAUUGGUCAGGAUGCUAACCCAUUUUUCAAGGGCCGCUUGGUCGUCUACAAAGUAGCCGAUCUUAUCAUGGGCAAGGUUAUCCCGGUAACAAGCAUCGGAGGUAAUACUCUCUUCACUACAAUUGACAAUGGAAUUAGCAUUGACGAUAAUGAUAUCUCUGUUUAUGUGAGGGAGACUAUUGUUGUGAGUUACAAGCCCAUACCUACUGCUAUGGGCGACACCAUUGUACGCCGUCGGCGUCUCAAGGAUAAUUCUCCUUUGUACUACGACCUCUUUAGCGGCGAAUGGUCCCAAGGACCGGCCAUGGAGUGUGCUGAUGGUUACCAUGAUUGCACCUGUGUCCUUGUUUAUCAUAUCUACGAUUGUUGUCAUUGUGGUGACUUCCGUGCGAGCAAGUUGGUACACCUAAGUUUCUAGAGCAGAUACUCGUGUGUCAUAGAGAUGUACUUAUCCUUGGAAAAGUUGAAUGGUGUCCUGGAAACCAUCCCACUGCUUAUAGUAGAAUGAUCGAUCUAGUGCUAAUACCGUGUUUUUAUUUCAUGACUCUUUGGUAUUGCAUUGUAUUGCAGUUAUAGAUCUCUGCAAUUGCAAGUUAUAUUUAGUUGUUCCAUUUUCUGCUCUUAUCAUUGUCAAGUUGUAGAUGUAUGCUAUUUGAUAUGUUACAAGCAUGGCAACGCAAGAGGAUAAAUUAUUAGUCGAUAAAAAACAGUUAACAAAUCUGCAACAUCACAAUUAUUACUACCGAAGUUAUUGCUACCCGCCUAUUUCACCUUGGCGAAUGAGAGGAGCUGGCGUUUGUGAGUCCACGUCUGCUCGUACACCUCUGCCUUGUACUUGUCUUCUUUCCCGCCAAUGUCUGAUGCCUCGAUGAUGAGUUCGUAGUUCAUUCCAGAAACAAGUUGUUGCCUGCCACUUACCACCUUGUUGAACUUGAGCACGCAGUUCACAUGCUUGCCGAACUCCAACACCGCCCAACGGCCGAGCUCCUGGAUGUGUUGGUCGUUGAUGUUUCCGAUUGGUUCCCAUCCAUUCUCAAUUGCCGUGUUCCACAAUUGGUUGCCCAUCCGUUCCCCACAGCCUAUGGCAGGUGAGCCGAUGGCAUAGAGGAACGCAACAACGAUGAUGAGGAGGAAGCUAGAUGUCCUCAUGGCUAUUGGAUUGUCUAGUGGGGUUCUUGAUCUUGAGAUAGUUAUGUGGGACUUUGGUGAAUUGGUGAUGUGAGUGGAUCCAAAACAAUUGAGGUAGCGGUGCUUAAAUAGACAUUGUUAUAAGAGGCAAACAUUAAUUGGAUGCUUAUCCAAGUAGGCGUUUACAAUGGCAUUUAUGACAACCUUUUAUACGGGGACAAACUUUAUUCAAAAGUUAAUCAAUUGGAUCCAUAUCCAAAGAAUUUUACCUACUUAAACUUAGAAACGUUUAAAUACAUGCUUUCUAGAUGGUUGUAUUUCAUAGCCGGGUAGUAACUAGUGCACCCACUAACAAGUUGUGACUAAUAUCUUAUCAAUAAAAUGGUCAAAAUUAAAAUAAUUUGCCUUAUGGGUAGUAAAAACCUGUAUUUAAACCUUUGUAUGAAAAUAUAUCUAGAUUUCUAUCAUGGAAAUACUAAUAGUAAUAAUUAUACAAAUUGUUCUUAAAAUUUCAUAGAUAUUUUUUGAGUAAUACUUCAACUAUUAUCUUGGUGCCAAAAUUUGGGUUGAUUCGUCACACAACCACUUAUCUUUCUUGUGCUUGGAAACUUGAGUAUGAUAUGAGCAAUAUGAAACGUGUGGAUCUUUAUUAAACCCAAAUGAUAAGUGGCCCAUAUGUGGUACGAAGCAACAUGGUCCUAACGCCUUUAUUAUCAUCCAUUUUGCCACAUCAAAUGGAUAACAUCAGCAGAUUUUUUUUUGUUUUUUACACUUGAAAAUGUAUUAUGUCCCAAAUAAUAAAUUUGAUUACAAAUCUAUUUUCAUCGUUAAAUCUGCCUUGACGAGAUAUUCAAAACUAAAUCUCAUAUUGCUAUGUUUCGACGAUUUUUUUGUGCCAAAAGUUGCCAUGAUAUUUACAUUGAAAUUGUCAUAGUGUUUACACUAAAGUUGCCAUGAUAUGUUUCAUCUAUUUUUCUUCUUCUAGAUUUUAAAGCUGCCAUUUUAUAUCAACUAAUUUUCACAGCAAAUUUUAUGAAUGGAUCGUGGAAAUUUUUAGUAAUUAACCACGGUGAAAUUAAUUCAUGGAUCAUGGCAACUUUUAGUAAUUCAUCAUGGAAAAUUUAGUUUAAAAAGCAUGGCGACUAAGCAUGGCGACUUUAGUUUAUAAAUCAUGGAAAUUUUAGUAGUUUGACCAUGAAAUUUAAGUAUUUGACCAAGGAAAUUAUUUUUGGUAUGAACCAUGGCAAAUUUUAGUGCAUGUAUCUUUGCAAAUUUAAGUAAUUCACCAUGGUAAUUUUAGUGUAUGGUUCAUGAAAAAUUUGAGUCAUUGACCUUGCAUUUUUAAAAUAAUUAACGACGGGUUUCUUUUCUAAUUAUUAACCUUCAUGCCUAGAAGAGAACUAACUAGAUGCUUCAUUUGGUUGUGUGUAUAAUUGGUCUAGGGGUAUAAGAUAUAUCAUACGUGUUUGCUACUAUUUUAACAUGAAAGAAAAGUAGCGGAUCUGUUACAACAUAUACACAUAUUGCUAAAAUAAAUAAUUCUAUGAGGCGGCGGUAACACACACAGAGACAUGCAUAACAUGUUAAAGAUUAGGAAUCAUCCGCUUCUACGCGGUGUCAAAACACAUCAUAUAUAUGCCGAAAUUGCAGCCCGAACCGAAGGAGAUAUAUAAAAAUACCCAAGUAAUCUCAUAACAGCUAUCUCUGUUUUAAACAUUCCAUCCGUCUAAGAUGAAUCUUCUCUAGAAACUUAGGUGUACCAACUUGCUCGUACGCAAGUCACCACAAUGACAACAAUCGUAUAUAUGAUAAACAAGGCCGCAUGUGCAAUCAUGGCAACCAUCAGCACACCCCACGGAAAGUGUUAGGAACCUUUCGCCACUAGAGAGGUCGUAGUACAAAGGAGAAUUAUCCUUGAGACGCCGACGACGUACAAUGGUGUCGCCCACAGCAGUAGGUAUGGCCUUGUAUAUAGUGGCAAUAGUCUCCCUCACAUAGACAGAGACAUCAUCGUCCUCGAUGGAAAUUCCAUGGUCAAUGGUAGUGAAGAGAGUAUUACCUCCGAUGCUUGUUACUGGGACAACCUUGCCCAUGAUAAGAUCGGCUACUUUGUAGACGAGCAUGGGCCCCUCUAAAAGUGGGUUAGCGUCGUGACCAAUCAGUCGGAUCUCCGAGACGCAUUCUUCCAUGCUGAACCGGCCUCUGAUUUUGUCAUUGGGACACGUGGCAAUCAACCUUGGCGGCAACAAAUAAGAUGACACUGCGUGAUGAUCGGGGUGGGGUGGAUCGAUCUGCAGAAUAUGUUGUUUGCCGCCAUAUGUGGUGGGAGAAUCCAACACAAAUAAUUUUCCUUGGGAUGAUAUUGUAUGAGAGUAGCCUUGGAGGCUCCAAGUCGAGACACUCCGUUGCUGGUCCUUGGUAGUAGCAAAGAAUACUCGUGGUAUAUUAUAAAGCUUGAUCAUAACAGUGACGACUCCAUCAAUACUCACGCUCAUGGAGGUGACACCACUGAAAGCAACAUGUCUCCUGCCAUUUGACAUAUCGAAGUUGGCCCUUACCAAGGACAUGAGCGGCGGUAGCUCCACAAAGUCGCCGGUGAAAGGGUGGAGGAUAUGCAUACAGUGCUUAAAAGUUGGAAAACGUUUCACGCCAGCGCGCCCGCCGAAACUUUGGUCUGUCGGUUGCGAGCCAUGUGAUCAAGCCCCCAUUGUACGUCUCGCACAUCACCCUGGCCCACCUUAUCUCUCAGCCUAGCGCGCUGGUGGCCACACUCCUCGUCUUCCUCCUUCGGAUCCCGCCGCCAUCUAGCCCCAAUCGCGGCUAAAGCUCGAGAAGGCGACACCCAUGGAUGACGGUGCUCCUCCAAGGCAACCAUGUUGGUGUGCUUGCCGAUGGCCUCGUCGACAUGCUUGCCUUCGGCGAGCCUCGUUGAUGGCGGUCGGGGCAGCGUGGGAGCGUCAGCUUGGGAGUGGGGGCUCGGGAGGAACAAAUGAGGAGACUGCUCCCGGCAGCCUCGUCGGAUGAUUUGAAUAAUUCCCGAAUUUAUAUAGGCGGUUUUAUUGUUGGCCCAUCCUGCCUUAUGUGGAUUAGCUCCACUGGGGGAUUAUUCGCCCUGCACGCAACGCUGUUACUGUAUUGUGAUUGCGACAACCGGGAGAAGAGGGCCUCACCGACGGGGUACACGGGGCGGCGCUGCCUCCGCCGCUGGCAACCUCCUCCACUCCUCUCCGCCGGCAACAUGACGAAUCCCAUCGAGGUCCACUCGCCGAGAAACUCGAUGGAAACAGCGGUAUCACACACACGUCCUAUGGAAGAGAAACUGAGAAAGAUAGCCGAGAGGGGGUGGGAUGCAGUGUUGUCGUUUGCUAGCAUUUCCAGUCCAACCAACGACUCGGACAAGAUAGCGUGUCCCUCACAGGUGGUUUAAGAUAUGUGUUUUUGAUCCAACGGCCAAUAGGUUGUUCGCUGGGAACACCUAAAAAUCUGAUGGCAGCUAGAUAAGAUUUCCCCUUUUUUAGGAUUAAAAAUCCAGCUAGCUGGGCAUUGCAUUUGUAUCCACGAGAGCGGUAAUAGCAUCCAGGUCCAAUUCUGCCGACCAAUUACGACCCGGCCCAGUAAUCUUUGCCAAUCGAGUCGAGUUCCGAGGGAGUAACUAGUUAAUGAGCGCUCCUUCGGGAGCCUCGCAAUGAUCAGCGUCAUUUGGCACGCUCUCGGCCAUUCGUCACGUGUCGCGCUUUGGACGCUUUCUUCGGAAUUUUUUUUCGCACGCGUUUUCGGCUUUUUAAACGGUUUUUUUUUGGGUUUUUUCGAUGUUUUGGUUUUCCCCCGGUCUUUCUUAGCUUUUCAAUCAAGAAAAAAAAAAUUACGCGAAAAAUUGCGUUUUCUUUUUUUUCCCUUUCGCGAAAGUCACGGGUUUUCUUCCGUGAGAGGCACGGUUGUGCUUUAGCGAGAGUCACGGCCGUGCCUUUCGGAAACGGAAAAAAACGCGUUUUCUGUUUUGUUUCUUUCACGAGAGUCACGGUUUUGCUUUCGCGAGAGUCACGGCCGUGCCUCUCGGAAAGGGAAAAACAAAACGCGUUUUCUGUUUUUUUUCCUUUCGCGAGAGUCACGCUUUUGCUUCCGCGAGAGGCAUGGUUGUACUUUCGCGAGAGUCACGGACAUGCCUCUCGGAAACAGAAAAAAAAAUGCGUUUUCUAUUUUUUUUUCCUUCCACGAGAGUCACAGUUUUGCUUCCACGAAAGGCACGGUUGUGAUUCGCUAGAGGCACGGGCGUGCCUCUUUGGAAAGGGAAAAAACCGUGCUCCCGGUUCGGUUUUUUCGUCCGGUUUUUUUGUGAAAAAAAGUUCGUCAAAACCUAUCAACAUGGGAUCUGGUUUUGAAGAUCUCGACGCGAGGAAUUCAAUGGUGAAAACGGUUCGAGAUUUGGACGCACGGUUGAAGAGAUAAAACAUUAAACUCCGAAAUCACUAAUUAAGGAGUACUCGUUGCAAAGAACACUCCACCUUCUCAGGUCGCGACAAGUGGCGCACAUGCAGCGUGCCACUUGUCGCAACCUAGAAGUUUUCCCUUUUUUCGUAGAUCCGUUUAUUCAAAACGUUUUAUCUCUGAAACCGUGCGUCCAAAUCUCGAACCGCUUUCACCGUUGGAUUCCUCGCGCCGAAAUCUGCCAAACUAGAUCCAAUGUUGAUAGGUUUUGACGAACUUUUUUACGAAAAAACCGGACAAAAAAACUGAACCGGGAGCACGGGUUUUUUUCCUUUCCGAAAGAGGCACGCCCAUGCCUGUCACGAAAUCACAACCGUGCCUCUCGCGGAAGCAAAACCGUGACUCUCGUGAAACGCAAAAAAAAAGAGAAAACGCGUUUUUUCCCGUUUCCGAGGAGGCACGGCCGUGCCUCUCACGGAAGCAAAACCGUGACUCUCGUAAAAGAAAAAAACAGAAAACGCGUUUUUUUUCGUUUCCGAGAGGCACGGCCGUGACUCUCGCGAAAGCACAACCGUGCCUCACGCGGAAGCAAAACCGUGACUCUCACGAACGAAAAAAAUAGAAAUCACGUUUUUUUUCGUUUCCGAGAGGCAUGGCCGUGACUCUCGCGAAAGCACAACCGUGCCUCUCACGGAAGCAAAAUCGUGACUCUCGUGAAACGAAAAAAAAAAUAGAAAACACAUUUUUUUCAUUUCCGAGAGGCACGGCCGUGACUCUCGCGAAAGCACAACCAUGCCUCUCGCGAAAGCAAAACCGUGACUCUCGCGAAAGAAAAAAAACACGUUUUUUUGUGCAAAAAUAAUUUUUCAAAAUUUCUUUUAUCGAAAGCUAAGGAAGACCUGUGGAAAACCAAAACGUUGGAAAAACCCGUUAAAAAGCCGAAAACGCGUGCGGAAAAAUAAAAAACAAAAUCCAAAGAGAGCGCCCAGAGCGCGACACGUGGCGAAUGGCUGAGAGCGCGCCAAGUGGCGUUGAUCGUUGCGAGGCUUCCAAAUGAGCGCUCGUUAAUUAGUUGCUCUCGUAGUAAGCAGUAUCUUAGGCGUCCAUUUAACAGGCCUGGGGUUGAAUGUGAGCUGGGCCUGGGCUAGCGCACUAACCUUCCAAAACUAAACUAAUUAGUAAGCCUGAGGAGAGAGCAACUAGUUAACAGGCGCUCCUUCGGGAGCCUCGCAACGAUCAGCGCCACUUGGCGCGCUCUCAGUCAUUUGUCACGUGUCGCGCUCUGGGCGCUUUCUCCGGAUUUUUUUUAUUUUUCCACACACGUUUUCGGCUUUUUAAAAGGUUUUUUCCUGGUUUUUUCGAUGUUUUGGUUUUCCACCGGUUUUCCGUAGCUUUUCGACCGAAAAAAUUUGAAAAAAAAAAUUGCGCGAAAAAACAUGUUUUAUUUUUUUCCCCUUUCGCGAGAGUCACGGCCGAGCCUCUUGGAAACGAAAAAAAAACGUAUUUUCUGUUUUUUUUCUUUCGCGAGAGUCACGGUUUUGCUUCCGCGAGAGGCGUGGUUGUGCUUUAGCGAGAGUCACGGUCCUACCUCUCGGAAACGGAAAAAAACGGGUUUUCUGUUUUUUUCCUUUUCUUUCGCGAGAGUCAUGGUUUUGCUUCCGCGGGAGGCACGGUUGUGCUUUUGCAAGAGUCACGGCCAUGCCACUGGGAAAGAGAAAAAAAACGCGUUUUCUGUUUUUCUUUUCCUUUCGCGAGAAUCACGGUUUUGUUUCCGCGAGAGGCACGGUUGUGCUUCGCGAGAGUCACGGCCAUGCCUCCUCGGAAACGGGACAAAACGUGUUUUCUCUUCUUUUUUUUUCCUUCCGUGAGAGUCACGGUUUUGCUUCCGCGAGAGGCACGGUUGUGAUUUCGUGAAAGGCACGGGCGUGCCUCUUUCGGAAAGGAAAAAAACCCAUGCUCCUGGGUCGGUUUUUUCGUCCGGUUUUUUUCGUGAAAAAAAAGUUCGUCAAAACCUAUCAAACAUGGGAUCUAGUUUUGAAGAUCUCGACGCGAGGAAUCCACCAAUGAAAGCGGUUCGAGAUUUGGACGCACGGUUUGAGAGAUAAAAAAUGUUUUGAAUAAACGGAUCUACGAAAAAAGGGAAAACUCACGGGUUGCGACAAGUGACGCGCUGCAUGUGUGCCACUUAUCACAAUCAGGGGAGUUGGAGUGAUAUUUGCAACGAAUACUCCUCAACUAGUGAUUUUGGCCUGGGGGCAGGUGGAUAGUGCAGACCGGGCCCAACUCGGCCAUCUCCAUGGCUUUUUAACUCCACGAUGCUGCCCAAUCAAAAAGAAAAAUAAUUCACGCGGUCAGAAUAUUCUCCUGAUCGAUAACAAACACAAAUCGAUCCAUGGCGUCGUCGGAAACUGCAGAGCGCCCUCCGCCAUUGCUGCUCCCACCGCCCGUGACGUGGCUACACCAUGGUCUUCUCUCCCCACAGAUUUGGUCUGCCUUGUCAGCUGGCGGGUGCUGGCCAGAGACCUGCUGGACUACGUCCGCUUCCGGGCCGUGUGCGCGCACUGGCGGUCCAGCACCGUCUACCCGCACGGACGUGGCAUCGUCGAUGCCCGCUUUCACCUGCGCCGGUGGAUGAUUUUGCCCGAGGGUCACGGCAUUCACCCUCGCAUCGACAAGAGACGGUUCGUGAAUCUCGCGACCGGAGUCUUCGCUUGCGUCUCGCUGCAUCUCUUCAUGGACCAUCAUGUCCUUGAUUCGGUCGACGGCCUCCUUGUCCUCUACAAAGCUAACGCCAAGACCUUGAUCCUAAACCCCUUCACCGGCGACGUUGUGAAGCUCCCGCCGCUCAUGAAAUCCCACUGGAACCUAGAUAUAGGGGGACGGUAUGAUUCGGUGCAGCUCAAGUUCAUCACAUCCUUGAGCGUGAGCGCGGAUGGAGUCAUCACAGUCAUGAUCGUGCAUCAAUAUAUGCGCCGUGUAGUUUUUGCUACCACCAAUGACCAGCUGUGGAGGGUCUCGAAUUGGAGCCUCUCACCCUUGUCCAUACCCAUAUCAUUCCAAGGAAAGUUUUAUAUACUGGAGCCUCAUACUAUGGGUAGCAGCGGACGACCGAUACUACAACUUGACCCGCCUAUUUAUGAGUACUAGUAAAACGCCCGUGCCACGGGCUUCUGAAAAAAUUUAAGAUGCUACUCAUGGAGCUAAAAUAACCAAGAAUAAGGCCGUCUCAACUAACUCACAUCUUUUUCUUGACAAUCAGCUAACACACAUCAUACUAUCAUACUAUCGAAGCCUUCCCCACCUUCGGCCAUCAGUUGGCCAUUCACAAGAGGGCGGCGGGCGCGGGCACGGGCGCUAGACUUGGUCAUCUACGGCGUUGCGGCAACCGAAGAUCGAGUUGGACGUGGGGGUGUAAGGAGGGAAACAAGCACGCAAGGAGCAGCGGCAUUGCGACGGGCAGUCGUGCCACGGCCUUUGCCUUUUCCAGGGCAACAGCCAGAGGCCACCACGCUCCUCGGCUCUCCCUCCUCUCUUCCAUGCCAGGCAACAAAAUGGGCGAGAUAGAGAAGAGGCAACCAAGAUGUUUUUCUAUAUGGCGACCAAGAUGGUUUUGUUUACUCAUGCCACAGAUUCCUUACAGCCCCACCCUCGAGCGAAAAAUUAUCCCUUCUUUCCAAAUUUAUCUUCUUUUGCUGCUUGGUUUUUCAUUAUUCUCAUCAAACAAGAAUUGCCUUGCUAUAUAACCUCGUCAAACUAAUAUCAUACACUUUUAUGGAUCCACUAAUAUGAGUUCGUCAUUAUUUUGUUACUAAAAAGGAUGGAACUCUAAAAUGUUAAACAGCAUGCUACACCAAAUAAUGUGAACUGAUUGUAUAAUCAAACAAUUUAAUUCAAAAUUAUAAGAUCUUAGGCAUUUAAUUACAAAACCAAUGUGUUUGUGUUGAAUGUUAUGUUUGAUCACUUUUGCAACCAAGUUCUUCUUGAUAUAUGUACACCAAUUUUAAAGCAAAUGUAGAGUAGCAGAAACAACCAUUUCUCCCUUUUUCCUUCUUCUAGAAAUCCAGUAAUAGACUAAUGAUAUAGACUGCUAUGUUUCCUUUAGGUGUAGGGUCCUCCUUGAUUAUGAUGUAGGGUCUCGUCGGGCCAUCGAAGCCCCUCCGUCAUCACUCCCUCCCCCAUAACUACAUCCUCCUCCUUGACUCACCGCGCCAACCCCAUCCCGCGUCAAUCUGAGCGCCCGGCAGUUCCCGAGCGUUACUCACCCGGCCUCAUGAUGCGCGACUCCGUCACCAGCAUGCCCUUGCACCACCUCAUGCAUGCCUCCUUCACCGACCAACAGCGGCCACGGACGAGGUCAACAGGCACUAAGCCCUUGACCACCGCUGUGUGCACUGCUCUCCCUGCAACAGUGUAUCAAUUUUCAAAAUGGUGUAUCAAUUAGCUCUGGUGUUCUACUUAUGGCUGAAAAAAUUUGUUUAUGAUUUUUUUAUUUUGACCCGAUUGAAAUUAAGUGGUUGCAAUGAAAAAGGAAAUUGAAUUAGAUUACUUCACUAUAUCAUACCACUAAUCUAUUCUAAGUAGAUUCAAAGAUAAUAUAAUAGAAAACUCUAAAGUACCAAAUUCUUCGAAAACACACAUAAGAGAAACUUAGAUAACUGUGAACUCCAAAUGCCUGAACAACGAAUCAAAAUUAUAGAAUAUGCACAAGCAUGAGCACAAAAACACAAUUUAUGGAGCCCAGGAAAGGUUUCAUGGAGCAAAAAUAUUCUAUUCUACAUAAUGAUCUUUGCUCCUUGGGACUCAUUUAUACGGGUUUUUGCUUUGCUCUGACCUAGCAUGUUGACCAGUCCCCCAUAUUUUUGUUUUAGCUCUUUAUCUAGUUGUUUUUAUCAGUUCGAUGAAAAUAUAUCGUCCUGCGAGUAAUAUUACAAACCGGUGGGGUGCUACCCCCCAGUUAUUCUUCAACAAAAAUGGCUUUAUUAAUUCUUUUCCAAAAAAAAUCGUUGACAACAACAACUAACAGUCAUGGAUAUUCUCCUCGGCAAACUUACACAAAAAAGAGCAUCACGCCUUAUCAAAGUACAACCUUGUGGAGCAAAGAUCAUAUGCUUGUGCUCAAAUCGGACACCAAUUUAUCCUUUCUGGACAGAAGACGUACUUGCAUCUCCUGUGAACCUUAUCAUCACAAUCUGGAAUGUUGAGGAACCGGUUCAUUAAGUUUGCAACCAAACUAUAGAAAAUCCGUUCAUGAUCUUAGGAAGAAUUUGAUUUCCUAUUUGACUAUUAAACUGGCAAGCUAAUGAUGUAUGCAAUCAAAGAAAAAUCAGGCUCUUCUAGGAUGAAGGCAUGUACCUUUAGCAAUGGCAAAAUAUAAAGAUCUGUGGAGGGUAGGAGGAGCCACCAAUAGAUCUGCACAUGAAGAAGCAGAAGGAGGAGCCACCACCAGAUGUGCAUAGGGAGGACCCGAGUAGGUUGCUGGCAACAUACUUCUUUAAUAUAGGAAAUUAAGAAUAAUAAUACCAUUCUCUUCUACAAACUGAAAACCACGACGUGCACAUCUGGUCGAUUUACUCGUCGUGGUUUGUAGAAGUAAUCGGAACGGAGGGAGUAGUUAGCUAACUGAAAAUAGAUUGCUAGAUGGACCCUUACUUCUACAAACCAUGCAUGUAAGAUGUAACCACAAAACAAGAAACAAUUCGAGCGAACUGAAGAUAGAUUGCUAGAUCGGUUAAACGAUGAACACAACUGCCAUAAAUCACAUCAGAGCAUGUAACAUACUAUGAGAAAUCAUUCAUAGAUUGGCUGCUGGUACUUCAUUCAGACUUCACAAGCACCAAGAGUCAAAUCACAGGCGUUGGUAAGGUUCAAAGCUUCAGACUAAUCUAAAAUAUCAGCUCCAUAUCUUUUGUGAAUGUGUGAUGCGUGCCUUAGGACUUCCUGCUGUCAUGUAGGUAUGCCCUUGGUCAGAAAGUUCGUGUUUCUGUCAGAGAGGUAGAACUGUCAUCUGCAUCAUCUACUUACUCUACUAAAAAAUGAAGCUCAUGUGUCAGCAGUUGUCACUGAAUUUUCAGAUGACUGGCAAUAAAGUUUGCUGCUUAAUUUUGGACUGCUAAGGUUAAGUUUUCCAUGUGUGUAGGUGUAGCAGGUAAUAGCUCUGAACCCUGAAAAAAAGAUUCAAAAAUCGAAUCCUUUCUCCAUGCCCUCACAAUGCCUAUGAAUUUCACAUGUGAUCAUUUAAACAGCACACACGUUGUCCAUUCAAAAUGAGGUGGAAUAAAAUUAAAUCUAAACUGAACAUUACAAAAUUUUAAAAUCAGAACCUUUGUAUAACUGACAAUGGAUCAUCGUAUACAACAAGAUCUAUUAAGUAAUGCAAGAGCACACACAUACAUAAGAGUCAAAAGACUGAUCAGAAGGCAUGACCUACAUGGAUAGACUAAGGUCUCUGUAGUGCAAGAAUUAGAAAAAUGGCAGCAACACACCAAAGACAAUGACAGUCAAGGAUGGCAUCUCCUUCUUCCAUACGGUGGUCCAUGCUCUCUGCAAUCCCUGAAGAAGAACAUACCUUAAAAGGCUGAAAUCAAGAGUAAGGAACAUAUCAAAAGGGUUCGGAAAUAGAAAGCAGAAAAUUCAAGAGUCAGUACAAAAACAAAAUAGGUCUAAAUAGAUCUGAGACUUGAGGAGAGAAGAACUAUCAUACUGACUAUUUUAAAUUUAUUUACUUACCAAUUAGUACACCGUAACUUUUUUUAUGUAACGAAGAUAUCCGUAUAUAGAAGUAAAUAAUUGCAUAUACACGUCAAUAGUUAAAUACACAGUAGGUUAUUUAAGUCAUACAUGGACCAAAACAAUUUUGCGACUGGUUUUAAGGUUGCAAUUGAGCACUUGCAGAAGACGGCUCAAGUCAACCUAGCUCAUCAAUAAACAGCCAAUUUGAAGAUAUGGAGAAGAAUCUAACUUUCUUGUGAGGCUUCAUGAAGAACAUGUGGCACCACUUAGAUCACAAACACAUGAGCUAGACUAUCCACGAAACUUGAUUAAACAGUCUACCACAUCAGAUGCUAAAGAAUGAAAUCGCAGAGACUAAUAACAAAUGAAGAGAGACAAACACUGCAAUUUGGGACCCCAGAUAAAUGGCGGGUUUACCUUGUGGGGGCAGUAUGACGCCGGUAGCUGAUCUAUGAAGGUUGAUCCCUCAUAGUGGGACUCAGAUCCUGUUGCCCCACAGUAUGGAAACAAACCCUUAAAGGAUCUGAGUCCAUACUUCCUCAACUUCCUCAACUUUGCAGAAUCACAUCUUCCAAGCAGUAUUCAGUCACACGUCUGGUUCCAAUCCCUAGAACAAUUGGACUGCAAUGCCUGCGGAUUUUCACUUGAUGAGAUUCUGUUUUCUAAGAUUAAAUACAAGCAAGAAAACAGACAUUCACCUCCAAUUAUAUCGAUCGGGCUUUGCGUUGGUCUUCAAAUUUAAAAUGCAGAACUGUAAUAUGUAUGUAUGCUGUUGGUAUGGUUCUUCCUAUUCUGGAAAUUGAACAUACAUGAGGAAUCUGCAGACUUUAUAUUUCAGCUUGCAUUCUCUUUUUACAAGAAGAAAAAUUAUGUAGCUUGCAUUCUCUUGUUACCUUGGAUUCCUACUCGUAGAUCUGGGCGUAUUUCGUGUAGCUAGCAAUUUGAAUGCAUGAGAUUAUGUGGCUGUGCCAGCGAGCCUGUCAGCCAGAAUGCAGAAGUCUAGGUCGUGAAAAUGCAUUGUUGAUUAGUUGUGUACUUACUGUUGGAGCUAAAAUGGUCGUAGUUCUUGUGCCUUAACUCAUCACAUGCAGUCCUCCUGCAUAGUUCGAAAAAAGAAAUAAUUCACAAAUCAAUACUGAGGAAGACAUAUAAUAGUAAGAUAAGAACAGCUAGCUAGCCAGCGGCCGAAGGACUCUUUCGGUUACCUGGCUUGUAAUCAUCAUCACCCAGUCGCUCACAAAAUUAUUCAGUACAGGGCCAAAAUCACAAUCGUCAAUCUCAUGAAAAUCUUUAAUCUCCCAUGCCGUUGGAUACACAUCAGGCCUAAAAAAGUUAUGCAAAAAAAAAUUCAAGUAUGAGAUGUAAGAUUCAGAGUACAGUCUUUAGAAAGAUAAGUUUUCUUUCACAACAAAAGCCAUCUAAACCAAGUCUGACGCCCACUAAAAACCAUCUAAAGAGGCAAUGUAAUUGACCAAUGGAUUGUUAUCUUACUUCAUUCAUGGAGUCCACAAGUGGGAUCAGAUGAGAAACUGAAGGUGGUGUUCCACUCUCUGUCCGUGCAAGAAUGCAAUCUUGCAUUCAAUACAUUAAUUACUCAGUAAAAAAACUUGCUGGUGCUUUCCGAACGGUUUGAGGCAUUAGACAUGGGAAGGGGAUCUCACCAGAUGAGGAGGUCCUGCCGAAGGAGGGGAUCCCAUAGGUCUCCGCGCCUUGAUCCGGCCAGAAGGAGCCGCCGUUGCCGCCGAUGGAUCAGGACGUCGGUGACAAGGCGGCGGCAGCGCGCUCACCAUGCGUCGGAGCGGACAGAUCGCGCGCGAUGGGGAAGGUGCUGGCGCGCGGAGGGCCCUGGCUCGAGGAGAUCCAGGUGACGCUGCCGGCGCUUGACGCCGCCGCCAUACAGAGCAACCCCUCCUCUGAAUCCAGAUCAAGCGAGGGUGGGAAAAGGAAAGGAAGAUACAGAUACCUACGAACGAAAAAUCUGGACGUGGGUAGGCCUCACCGGUGGAGGAAGGUCGGGCGAAGGGGCGGCAGUAGGCGGGCGAAGACGGUCGGCGGUGCAGGCGGGCAAAGACGGUGGGCUGCAGAUCCGCGACGUAUCUGAAGCGCCGGCGGGGACGGCGGCGGCGGCGGUUGCCGGCGUCGCGGAGGCGUGUCCCCGGAUCGGCGGCGGCGUCUGCGGCUGCGCCUCGUCCGCAUGGUGGCCGACGCGAGAGCCGGAUGGCGUUGGCCAGAAUCAGAGGAGGGGCGGCGGAGAUUUAGACGAGAGAGAGAGUGGAGACGAGGAGCGACGAGAGGAAGGAUGCGAACAACUGCGGGUCGGGUUUUUUUCGGGUGAAACAGGCGGUGAAAGCAGACGAAAAAAACCUACGAAAAAAACGGACGAAAAAAAACCGGAAGAAAGUGGUGGGACGGAAAUAAACCCAGAAUGCGGACUACCAACUGAGACAUUAGAAGUAGAGAUGGGGCAAUGUCGCCUUCUUUCUUGCCGCCAAAGUUGAUUGCUAUGUGCCCAACAAGGAAAUUUCGUUCCUUCACCAUAGCGGAAUGUGGCUCAGAUAUCCUAGUGGACGGUUUUGACCAUAUGCCACUAAUUUCUACAAACAAGCUAGUGGUUUAUCGAGUAGCCUAUCUUGCCAUUGGCAAAAUUGCCACGGUAACAAGCAUCGGAGGCAAUACUCUCUUCCUUGAUAUCAAUCGAGCAUCAACAUCAAAGAUAGCGAUAUUCUCAUCACAAGGAGUAUGACUAGUAGUUAUGGAGCGAUGCCUACCAUUACGAGCGAUACAAUUGUACAUUCUUGCAACGGUUAUCCUUUCUAGUACCAUCUCGGUAGCGCAAAAUGGUCGCAAAUAAUGGAUGAAUGUGAUGGUCCGUGUGGCUGCAAUUGUGGCCUCAUUUACCACAUAUACGAUUGCUGCCAUUGUACUCACAAGAGGGUCGAAGUGUAAUUGUUUCCCAGUUAGAGACUUAUAAUUUUGUGGUAUGUACCGCGAACUUGCUUGUUUAAUUCCAGCCUACAUAUAAGUAGUUUCUUUUUUCGAUAAAGGGUGGAUUUUAUUAACUCAAAAUGAAGCAUCAAGGGGAUACAAACACAUUGAGCACACACCCGGCCUCUGCAUAAUCAGGAUGCACACAGCCAACACCAACACACACAAAAAAGAAAAAAAAAACGCCAACAAAGAGCAAAGUCAUACAAGUCUCAAGCUAUGCCUAAGCGAGGGAAAAGAAAAAGAAAAUCACUCUGAAACGAUCAAAACAACGGUCGAUAAACUACAUCAACGACCAUAUCCGCACCAACCACCUCUUGACAGAACAAGCGCAACGAGAAAGUUUCUUCAACAGCAACGCCUUCAGAAAGGAAACGACGCUUAAACGUCGCCGUCACUAGACAAAGGUCAGACUCUAGGUUUUCACCCUGAAGAACAAGUCUGAGCACAUCCGAGCAAUGCCUUCAUCAAGGUAACGACGCAAAAACAUCGCCAUCGCCAGGUAUAACCAAUUCAGGUCAGACCUAGGGUUUUCACCCCGGAACUCGAGACCGGGUACUCGAGAAGCACCACCAAAUCGAAGUCAUCAUGUUGUCGCCACCACUUUCCGCGAUCCCAGCAGCUAAAAGUGAGGCACAGUCUUUACAUGCCGGCAUGACUUGCCGCUGCACAACCAUCUCCUCUGCGUCAAGCCGUCGUCCAUAGAAUUUAUCUCACCGCUGAAUGCAAGCUGGCCGGAUUGAGAGCCACCGAAACUCCCAAUGGAGCCUUCCGGUUACAUCACACAACCUCGCCAGUGCGAGCUGCUGGCAACAACCAGUGGAUCUUAAGAAAAACCUCUCAUGAAGACCCUUGAAUGGCCACUGCAAUCUGCGGCUCGAGUGGCCGGACGGCGCCGCCAUGGUCAGGACGAAAAUUGCCCCCUCGCAUCGAUCGGACGAACCACCUGCGGCCAAGUGACAAGCAUCGGUCAACCGAUGUAAGUCCCAAGGCGCCACCACCAACCUCCUUCGGCCUUGUGAUCUGCCGGCGGCAACAGCGGCGAGCGUCUUGGGUCGCUUGGGAAGAUGACCCUUAUCACCAACGCUGCCAUGCUCAACGUACUGGACAGCCGGAGGAAGCUUCGGUCCAAACCUGCAUGAUCUUGACCGCAGGCUGCUGGAGGAGAAUGGAUGGUCAUCUCCACCCAGGCCAUUGCCAAGGCAUCACCAUGCUGCCCAGUUCAGAAUCCCAGAUCGCUCUAGCCAUUGACCUAUGCAUGUCCCUGUGCACAGAUCGCCUGCCGCUGCAUGUCCAUGCGCAGAUCGCUCUAGCCUUCGGACGUUGCAUGAAGAUCGCUGCUGAGUUGUUGUUCACCUCGCGCGUCGUUCAGCUCCUUGCGUAGAAGCCAUCGCCCGGAGCCCCGCCGCCGCCGUCAGCCACACAGGGUUCGCCCGGCAGCGUCGUCCGGCGGCAGCGAGGGAAGCGAGAGAGGUGGGGAGGUCCCGAAGAAACUGGAUCGGGAGCCGCCCGUGCCGUCCGUCCGGACGACGUGGGGGCGGUUGCGUCGUCUAGUACUAUGUAUGGUUCUCUUGAUCUCGUUUGAAUUCAGCACGUGUUUACUACGGCUGACUAGCUACAUUACAUUUUUUUUGAGCAUCAGUACAGACACAAGCGCUCAUAUAUACGCGCAUACACUCACCCCUAUGAACGCACACACGUACACCCUACCCCUAUGAGCACCUCCGAGAGACUGAGCCGGCAUAUCAUCUUGAGAUUUACGAAGCCACCAUAGGCGCCUCGUCGUCGACGGGAACGUCUCCUUCCACUGAAAGCGCAUCGCCGGAAAUCCUGAAAUAAAUCCAGGAAUAAUGCGAGCACCAGGAUUUGAAUUGCUACUGAAAACAUAUGCUGGCAUGUGCACGUGUAUGUGUGUUUUUCAUUUUUAAUAAUCUUAAUAAGAUCAACCAUCACGGCACCGUAUCUGAUAAAAUCGGACAAAAUGAGCAUGGAGUACAUCCAUGUUUUCAUAAACAGCACUGGUGGAUUGGGGAGUCGGCAUUGAAACUGUAAAGGUAAAUGAUUCCAAUCGACCGACCGGCCGAGCGCAGCGCCGGUCGCUCGCACGCGUGCCACAUAGCUGUAGGCCCUGCGCCACGAUUGGGGAACCGUUCUGGAUCUGGCGCCGGUUAGCACUGGCCAACUGUAAACACUAGUAUCUUUACUUGAAAUUCUCUAUAAUAGAAAGUAAUUUUCUUCUAAUAAGAUAUUUAUUAUUAUUUUUGCAUUAUCCCUAUAAAAAAAGUAAAAUAGGGAAAUGAAAAAAUCAGUCAAAAUAAUGGCUAACUACAGAAGAAAGCAAAAUUUAUUUGAAUGUAGGCAACAGGAAAUCAUGGUGAGCCUUGAGCGAUUAAGUCGAGGAUCAUUUAUUCUCCCGCGGAUGCCCCAAGCUCCUAGUUUCGGUAUAUGUAACUUGCCUGUUAGGGAUCUCAAGACAUGUACUUGUUAGGGAUGGAGUGGGGAUCGAUCUAUUGUCUCACGUCUCGAUCACCUAGUCUCGAUUACAAGCACUAGUAGAAAAAGGGCCUAAUGUGAAGCUCAUUAGUCCCGGUUUGUAAUUGAACCGGUACUAAUGUGACCAUUAGUGCCGGUUCCAACGGCUAGGCGGGCGGCGCUCAUUAGUACCGGUUUGUGGCGAACCUUUAGUACCAGUUCGUGCCACGAAUCGGUACUAAAGAGGUGAUGGCCUUUAGUACGGGUUGGUGGCUCCAACCGGUACUAAAGACCCCCCCCCCCCUUAGUACGGGUUCGUGCGCCAACCGAUACUAAAGGGUGCGCUGCCACCCGCAGUGCACAAUGUUUAGUCCCACCUCGCUAGUUGAGAGGAGCUCACACCGGUUUAUAAGCCCCGCCGCGGCUACCGUGUCGAGCUCCUCUCUAAGCAGGCUUUUGUGGGCCUAUUGCAAGUCUUGUGCCCUAUGGGGCCUACUGGGCCGUACGGGCCUGCAUCCUGGCCCAACUAGAGAUUGGGUUUCUAGUUGUAUGCAGCCCGUGCCAGCCCAGUAGGUGGGCUGUUUUUGCUUUAUUUAAAAAAAUCAAAAAAAAAUCCUUUAGUCCCGGUUGGUGUUACAAACCGGGACUAAAGGUCCCCCAGAUCAGGGCGCGCCUCGUGUCACGUGGUGGCCCUUUAGUGGCGGUUCGUGUUGAACCGGUACUAAAGGGGGGGGGCCUUUAGUCCCCACACUUUAGUGCCGGUUUGCCGGUUAUAGAACCGGCACUAAAGGGCCUUACGAACCAGUGCUAAAGCCCGGUUCUGCAUUAGUGAAGCCCGGUUACAUGAAUUGGAAGAACAGUAGGGAAUGGAGAAUUUAGGGUUUGUGUCGCCGCCGUGCCUUUUGAUCCUCUGGAUGCCCUUUGCCUUCAAAGCGAGUGGCAUUCAUUUCAGCUUUUUUCUUUCUCUUCGUUUAGGCAUAGCUCCAGGCUUGUAUGACUUUACUUUUUGCCGGCGUACUUUGCAUGUGUGUGUGUGUUUGUAUUGGCUAUGUGCGUCCGAGUUAUGCAGAGGCCGGGUGUAUGCUCAUCAUGGUUAUAUCCCUUCUUUUAACAUAGUACAAUCGAAGUCUCUCAUAUACAUGAACAUACAUUCACCACUAUGAAUGCUUUGGGUAACUGCAGGUGCUAGAAAGUUGGGAUACUUGAUGACGCGAGAGUAGUUGGUCACCUUCAUUUGUGUUGUUGCAGCGCUGUCUAUGUAGUAACACAACCAUACUCUAUUCCUCUUAUUAAAUGAAUGAGGCAAAUCUUUUGCCUCUCUUCAAAAAAAAACUAUGAAUGCACACACGCACACCAUACUUCUAUGUGCACCUAGAAGAGACUGAACCAGCAUAGUACUCCCUCCAUUUCUUGUUACUCUGCAUAUAAGAUUUGGUCAAAGUCAAACUUUGUAAAGUUUGACCAACUUUGUAGAAAAAAAUAUCAACAUCUAAAACACUAAAGCUAUAUGGUAUGAAAAUUAAUUUCAUGAUGCAUCUAACAAUAUUGAUUUCAUAUUGUGAAUCUCGAUAUUUUUUUCUAUAAACUUAGUCAAAGUUAACAAAGUUUGACUGUGACCAAAUCUUAUAUGCAGAUUAAAAAGAAACGGAGGGAGUAUCUUAAGAUUUUACGAAGUCAUCACAGACACCUCACAGUCGAGGGGAACGUCUCCUCCCAUUGAAUGAACAUCGCCGUAAGCCUGAAAUAAAUACAGGAAUAAUGCGAGCACCAAUGCCAAGUCUAGGACUUGAAUUCUGGUGGGCUGAAGAUAUAUCAUCAUUCUCCUAACCAUCCAACCAUAGGUUGAUUCGCAUAGUUAUAUCCCUUGAUGCUCCGUUAUGAGUGAAUAAAAACAUCUUUUGUCGAACAAAAUGUGUUUUUCGCCGAUCUCCUCCUUUCAAUCAUCUCAAUAAGAUCAACCUUCACCGCACUGUAUCAGAUAAAAUCGUAGAUUACCCGCAAAAAGAAAAUCGUGCAUAAUUAGCACAUCCAUGUUUUCACAAACAACACGGGUGGAUUGGGGAGCCUUGGCCUACAUUACACGUACGCAAGUUAUGAAAAAACAGAGUAGUUUUAUAUGCACCGUUUUACUUGUGAGAAUAAAUUAUACUACUACUAUUAUUUUUUUGAUAAUGAUUUAUUCUUCAGAACUAUGAGAAUAAAUUAUGUGCAAAGAUUUUCUUUGAAGCAAUUUUUUUGAGGGGGUUGAGGCAAAUUGUUUACAGACAUUUAUUUUUUUGAGAAACCUUCUUUUUAGAACCGAGAAACCUUUUUUUUUUUACAUCACGAGAAACCAAAAAAAAAAAUUUGAGGAAACUGCACCCUUUAUUAAUGAUCAAUGUUCAUGGUGGUACAGAUUACAUCGGGCAAGGAUAACAGCCACACAUGGCGCCCAAGAGAAAGGGAAGAACUAGCUUUGCCAAGUGCGUGUGCCUCGCCAUUAUGUUUACAUGACGAGAAACCAAUUGUUUGCACAGAUAGUUGCGAUCUAGGAGUGGCUAACGGAGGCCAACUCUAGCAUAUACGGCCGGGCUGGGCUCCGACUCUCCUCAACUCGCAUAUUCCUGUCGCAAUUGAAAACAGAUCGCUCUUUUUUUCUAAAAAAAGAAAAAACAGAUCGCUCGAUGUCGACGUCCUCGUCGGCGAAUCAGUUGCGCCCUCCGCCUGUACCGGCUGGCUCCGCCACCGGCCCUGACGAGGCGUCUCCAUGGACGUCCCUCCCCGCGGAUCUGGUUCGCCUGGUCGGCUGGCGAGUGCUUGCCGGAGAUCUGCUCGACUACGUCCGCUUCCGCGCAGUCUGCACGCACUGGCGGUUCAGCACCGUCUGUCCCCGUGGCCGUGGCAUUGUGGAUCCGCGUUUUCACCCAGGCCGAUGGACGGUGCUGCCCGAGGGACAUGGAUUAGACUCUGACGACAAGGGCAAGAGACGCUUAUUCAGCCUCUCCACCGGAGUUUCCGUUUGCCCUCGACUUCCAAACGACUAUCGCAUCCUUGAUUCGGUCGACGGGAUCCUCCUACUGCAGCGGCGGCAGCGACAACACGAUCAAGGUAGCAUCCGUCUUUUCAACCCCUUUACCAGCGACAUUGUGGAGCUCCCGCCGCUCGGGUCCGUCGUGUCAGAUUCGAAACUCCACUUGAGUUCCCAUGAGAUAUCUACUCAUGUGGUACCUGGCGGCGUGGUCACCUCCUUGACGGUGAGCUCGGAUGGAGCCGCUGCAGUGAUGAUCUGGCUUGUAGAAUUAUCACGCGUCAUCUUUGCUACCACCAAGGACAAGCAAUGGAGCCAGUCGACCCAGAGGUUCUUUUGGACCAGGAGGCCUGUAUCAUUUCAAGGAAAAUUAUACAUCUUAUCUUAUGACCAACCUAGCCAUGCACAUCAGGUUCUCCAGAUGGGCCCGCCCAUGCAUGAGCAUGGGACAACCUCGGGGUUAGGUUCUCCUUUCUUACCGCCAUCACAGUUGAUUGCCACAUGUCCAACGAUGAAAAUCUCCGACGGUAUUGGCUUAGCAGAAUGUGACUCAGAGAUUUUGGUCAUAGCCUACAAAGAUUCUACACACACGCAUAUGGUGGUUUAUAGAGUAACUGAUCUUAUCGUCGGCAAGGUUAUCCCGGUGACAAACAUCGGAGGCAAAUCUGUCUUCUUUGAUACCGAAACAAGUAUGCAAACUGCAAAUAAUGGGGUGAUUCCUACGAUCACGAGCGACACCAUUGUGCUUCGGCGGCAUCACGAGAGAUGUCACCCUUGGCAGUACCACCUUGAUAGCGGCACUUGGUCGCCAACAACACACCCCAUGAGCCAUUGUGGCCUCAUUUGCCAUAUAUAUGACUGUUGUGGUUGUACACUGCGCGCCCAUGCCGGCUGGUGAGCUCUGGAUGUGAAUUGAUACUACUAAACAUGUACAAUUAUUUUCUGAUUUGGAUGUGCUAACUUGUUUUUCGGUUUAUGCAUGUACUCAGGACUGUCAGGGGUAGUAUGACCAAAGGAUCGAAGCAGCUGUAGCAAGAGAGGAGGCUCAACCUGGAUUGAAAGUGAAGAAGUGGUCGUCACUACUCUUAAUACUCUUAAUAGUAGUGAUGACUUCUCUUUGAAAGCCUUCUCAAAAUGAAAUUCUAUGGCAGCAGCGUUGUUUACCUAUCCGACACUUGCUUUUCUUUUUAUCGGCCUCUAGCUACUGGGGAUGAUUCUUAUGGAUGCUUGGGGCCAGUUCUUUCGGACAGUGGCUUUUGCAUAAGCUGCUAUGGAAAUAAGCCUCAUAUAAGCUGUUCUGGAAAUAAGUCCAUGAGAAUAAGCCAUCUUUUGUCUGUGCUUAUUUGCUAUGUUCUGUGAUGAAAAGUACCCCUAAACUGUACAUGUAUGACCUAUAUUUUGUAAUUUACGUUGUGUUUAUAGUAGCAGCAACUUGGACAACUUCAUUCAUAUUCUCUUUCAUUUUUAGCAAAGGUAUUCUUACUGCCAACUUGCAAAACGGCUAGCAGGACCAAAUCAAACAACAAUCAAACUGCUAGUGCUUGUAUACAAAUUUCUGAAUGCAUUCAGUAACAACUGCUCUUUUUACAGUAAGUAUUGGACCUGACCAAGAACUGGCCCUUGCAGUAGUUUGCUAUAUUUCUGAAUGCGCAUGACCACUACACUCCUGAAUCCUGAAGAGAUGUCAACAAAAAUCAGCUACAUCUCUAUGUCCAGGUCAUCAAGAAGUACCACUAGCAGAAAAGGGGUCAUUUGUCCCGGUUCUAGAGGGCCUUUAGUCUAAAGGAAAUUUUACGAAUUUUUUUUAUUUUUUUUCGAUUUUCAAAUUUCUGAAUUAUUUUACAAUUUAAUCUCUAAUCACCCAUCAUCAUUCCAAAUCAUCUAACUUCCCGGCCGGUCACCCAUCCUCUCACUACUCCAACCUGAGCACGCUUAACUUCUAGGUUCUAUUCCCAUUCGUUUCCAAGUCUGCACUUGUUGUUUUUCUGACAAUAGUAAGAUGUCUAUCCUAUUAACCCUCAGGAGUUUAGCUUGAGCAUGAAGUCACAAGUUUCACGGUUUGACUUUGAAACUAUUGUUCUAAAAAACAAUAAUUAUUUAGUAACACUAAUAUUUCUUGAGUAAGUAGUUUGACCAUAGUUUGACCAGAUUUGACCAAAAUUCAAAAAAAUUGAAAUAAUUAUUUAGUAACACUAAUAUUUUUGAAUAAUUAUGUAGUAACACUAAUACUUCUUGAAUAAGUAGUUUGACCAGAUUUAACCAAAAUUCAAAAAAAACUGAAAUUUGAGCAUAUCUUUUUUUUCUUUUAGAAUUUGAGGAUUCUAAAAGUUUGCAAACAAGCCGUAGGCGGUCAAAAUCGGAUGCGGAUUUUCAUGCUGAACAUUUUGAUAUAUUGUUAUUUUUUUCUGACAUCGUAUGGAAAAGUUAUAGCCGUUUUACUUUUUCAUGACACUUUUUUGCAAAACAUGUCCAAAUUUAAGUUUUUUUAUUUUCCUAACUAGUAGAUGUAGUAAUAUAACUACAUCUCGAACGAUUUUAUUUUUUGAAGUUUUUCUCAUUUUCUUUUGUUUUUUCAAAACUGAAAUGGUGAUAAGGGGGGUAGAGUUUGAGAAAUGGGCCCUUUAGUCCCUGUUUGAGAUACGAACCGGGACUAAAGGGUGCGCCCUUUAGUCCCGGUUUGAAACACGAACCGCGACUAAAGGGUGCGAUGCCCUUUUGUCCCGGUUCGUGUCUCAAACCGGGACUAAAGGGCCCAUUUGAACCGGGACUAAUGCCUUUAGCCGCUCGAACCGGGACUAUAUAACCGGGACUAAUGUGUAUAUUGCGCUGUGCCGAAACCCUGUUUUCUACUAGUGUACUGUGCCUUAGUCAUUAAGGUCAUACAUCUGGAUCUAUUUUGGUUUUACUAUACACUGUUAAGAAAAGUACUCGGCAUUGAAAAGCAUCACGUUCUGGCCCCACACACAAAAUUACAGAGGAAAGAAAGGAAUUUAUCGAUGAUGGCUAGAAAGAAAACAACGGGAACACACACAAAGACAUGCAUAACCGGUCAAACAUUAGGAAUCAUAUGCUUCUACGCGGUGUCAAAAGACAUCAUGUGUCGAAACUGCAGGACAAACCGAAGGAGGUAUAUACAAAAUACCCAAGUAAUCUCAUUAACAGCAAUCUCUGUUUUACACAUUCCAUCUUUCUAGGAUGAGUCUGCUCUAGAAACUUAGGUGUACCAACUUGCUCGCACGGAAGUCGCCACAAUGACAACAAUCGUAGAUAUGAUAAACAAGGCCACAGGUGCAAUCAUGGUAACCAUCAACACACCCCCAUGGCCGGUCCUUGGGACCAUUCGCCGCUAGAGAGGUCGUAGUACAAAGGAGAAUUAUCCUUGAGAUGCCGACGACGUACAAUGGUGUCGCCCACAGCAGUAGGUAUGACCUUGUAACUCACAGCAAUAGUCUCCCUCACAUAAACAGAGAUAUCAUCGUCGUCGAUGCUAAUUCCAUGGUCAAUAGUAGUGAAGAGAGUAUUACCUUCGAUGCUUCACUAGUAGAAAAAGGUCCAUUUGUCCCGUUUCAGAGGGCCUUUAGUCCCGGUUCUGGAACCGGGACUAAAGGGUCGGUACUAAAGCCUCCCCACCCCCCCCCCCUCCCCCCCUAGUNNNNNNNNNNNNNNNNNNNNNNNNNNNNNNNNNNNNNNNNNNNNNNNNNNNNNNNNNNNNNNNNNNNNNNNNNNNNNNNNNNNNNNNNNNNNNNNNNNNNNNNNNNNNNNNNNNNNNNNNNNNNNNNNNNNNNNNNNNNNNNNNNNNNNNNNNNNNNNNNNNNNNNNNNNNNNNNNNNNNNNNNNNNNNNNNNNNUGUGUUACGAACUGGGACUACCUCCAUGUGGCCGUUGUCUGGACCUCUAAAGGAAUUUUUUUGAAAAAAAAUUGAAUUUUUUUUAAAAAAAUUUGAAAUUUUCAAAUUUCUAAAUUAUUUGCAUUUAAUCUCUAAUCACCCCUCAUCACUCCUCAAUUUAAUCUCUAAUCUCUAAUCACCCCUCAUAAUUACAAAACGUCUAACUUCCCGGCCGGUCACCCAUCCUCUCACUACUCCAGCCUGAGCACGCUUAACUUUCGAGUUAUAUUCCCCCUUGUUUCCAAGUCUGCACUUGUUGUUUUCCCGACAAUAAUAAGAUGUCAAUGCUAUUAACCCUUAGGAGUUGAAGUUGAGCAUGAAGUCACACGUUACACCAUUCGAGAUUCAAACUAUUAUUCUUAAAACCAAUGAUUAUUUAGUAACACUAAUAUUUCUUGAAUAAGUAGUUUGACCAUAGUUUGACCAGAUUUGACCAAAAUUCAAAAAACUGAAAUAAUUAUUUAGUAACACUAAUAUUCUUUAAUAAUUAUUUAGUAACACUAAUAUUUCUUGAAUAAUUAGUUUGACCAGAUUUAACCAAAAUUCAAAAAAAACAUAAAUUUGAGCAUAUCUUUUUUUUACUUUUAGAAUUUGAGGAUUAUAAAAAUUUGCAAACAGGCCUACGGCAUUUUGAUAUAUUAUACGUUUAUUCCCGACAUCGUAUGCAAAAGUUAUAGCCGUUUUACUUUUUCAUAACACUUUUUUGCAAAACAUGUCCAAAUUUAUGUUUUUUAAUUUUCCUAACAAGUAGAUGUAGUAAUAUAACUACAUCUCGAAGGAUUUUAUUUUUUUGAAGUUUUUAUCAUUUUUUUUUGUUUUUUCAAAACUGAAAUGGCGAUAUAGGGGGGGUAGAGUUUGAGACACGAACCCCUUUAGUCCCGGUUUGAGACAAAAACCCGGACUAAAGGGCAUCGCACCCUUUGGUUCCGGCUCGUAUCUCAAACCGGGACUAAAGAUUAGCCUUUAGUCCCGGUUUGNNNNNNNNNNNNNNNNNNNNNNNNNNNNNNNNNNNNNNNNNNNNNNNNNNNNNNNNNNNNNNNNNNNNNNNNNNNNNNNNNNNNNNNNNNNNNNNNNNNNNNNNNNNNNNNNNNNNNNNNNNNNNNNNNNNNNNNNNNNNNNNNNNNNNNNNNNNNNNNNNNNNNNNNNNNNNNNNNNNNNNNNNNNNNNNNNNNNNNNNNNNNNNNNNNNNNNNNNNNNNNNNNNNNNNNNNNNNNNUGCCCUUUAGUCCCGGUUCGUGUCUCAAACCGGGACUAAAGGUCUCAUUUGAACCGGGACUAAUGCCUUUAGCCGCUCCAACCGGGACUAAUGCACACAUUAGUCCCGGUUCGUAAUGCAGCCGGGACUAAUGUGUAUAUUGAGCUGUGACCAAAGCCCUGUUUUCUACUAGUGCUUGUUACCGGGACAACCUUGCCCAUGAUAAGAUCGGCUACUUUGUAGACGAGCAUGCGGCCCUUGAAAAGUGGGUUAGCGUCGUGACCAAUCACUAGGAUCUCCGAGACACAUUCUUCCAUGUAGAACAUGGCAGAAAUUUUGUUAGUGGGACACGUGGCAAUCAACCUUGGUGGCAACAAAUAAGAUGACAUGGCGUGAUGAUCAAGGCGGGGUGGAUCGAUCUGGAGAAUAUGUUGUUCACGGUGAUGUGUGGUGGGAGAAUCCAACACAAACAAUUUCCCUUGGGAUGAUAUUGUCUCGGAGUACCAUCCGAUAUUCCAAGUCGAGACACUCCAGUGCUGGUCCUUAGUAGUAGCAAAGAAUACACGUGAUAUAUUGUAAAGCUUGAUCAUGACUGCGACGAAUCCAUCAACAGUUACGCUAAUGGAUGUGACACUACGGAAAUCAACCCGUCCUGUGCCAUCGGACAUAUCCAAGUUGGCUCUUACAAGGGACAUGAGCGGUGGUAGCUCCACAAAGUCGCCAGUGAAAGGGUGAAGGACCCGGAUCGCGGAGGUGUCUUGGCUUUUCCGUUGCAAGAGGAGGAGGCCAUUGGCCGAGUCAAGGACAUAGCUAUCGCUUAAGAAGGGAAGCCAGGCACGGACGAAAACUCCUGUGCAGAGAUUGAAGAAACGUUUCUUGACGUCAGCAGGCUGAAGGCCGUGACCCUCGGGCAGCAGGAACCACCUCUUGGGGUGGAAGCGUGGGUCGACGAUGCCAUGGCUCCGCGGGGCGAUGGUGCUGGACCGCGAGUGGGCGCACACGACACGAAAUCGGACAUAGUCUAGUAUAUCUCCGGCCAGCACCUGCCAGCCGAGUAGACGAACCAAAUCUGCAUGCAGAGACGACCAUGCAUGAUGGAGAGAUGUCGUCUUGGGAGCUGGCGGCGGCAUCAGCGAUGGCUGAUGCGCCAUCGCGGUUGGCCCGUGAUGAUGACAUUGGUGGAUCGAUCGCAGACAACGAAUCUUCUCUAUUCUCUCGAAAAGUCCUACAUCCCGAGGGACAGCUGAGACGCAGACUACGUACGACUCCGCUACGAGGAGAUUAAACGGGGAUCCUAUACGGCGCGUACCGCACCCGCGAGCGCCGUGGCGCAUACCCCGCCUCGCCCGCCAUUGUUUCUAUGGGCCGGCCCAUUUCGGAGUUUAACCCCAACCGGUUUUGGGAAGGUUCUAGAACCUUCCCGGAACCGGGUUUUUAUAUUUUUCUUUCGGUUUUUAUUUUUCUUUUUUCGUUUUUUCUUUUCCUUUUUCUGUUUUCUUUUCAUUUUUUUUACUUUUACGUUUUCAUUUUUAUUCUUCUUUUUCAAUUUCCGAAAAUCUAUUAAUUCGUGAUUUGUUUCUAAAAUCGUAUUUUUUUUGAAUGAUGAACAUUUUUGCCAAAAUCGUGGUUUUAUUUUUACUAAAUCGUUACUCUUAAAUCAUGAACAUUUUAUAAAAACUCAUAAACAUUUUUUUUUCAACAUGAACAAUUUUUUUAGAAAUUUGUGAACAUUCUCUUAAGUCAUGAACAUGUUUUUCAAAUCAUGAACUUUUUUUUUGAAAUAAUGAACAAUUUAGAAUUAAAGACUACUUUUUCAAAAUCAUUAACAUUUUUUCCGAAUUCGUGAACAUUUUUAGAAUUAGCGAACAUUUUUUUGAAUCGUGAACAUUUUUUUGAAUCACCUUUUCCAAAUUCGUGAACAUUUUUUGAAUUAGCGAAACUUUUUGUUUGAAUUUUUUAAAUUAUGAACAUUUUUUAAGUUUGUGAACAUUUUUUACAAAUUCGUGAACAGUUUUUGAAUUCGAGAGCAUUUUUCUGUAAUCAUGAUUUACUUAUUUUGUGAAUAAUUUUCAAUUUCACGAACAUUAUUUUGAAAUCAUGAGCAUUUUUAAAUUUGUGAACAUUUUUUGCCAAAUUCAUGAACAAUUUUUUAAUUAUCAAGCAUCUUUUUGGAAAUCAUGAAUUUUUUUUAAAUCAAGAUUGUUUUAAUAAAAAAUGGCAACUUUUCUGAAAUUUAGGACCUUUUGAGAUCCUGAAUUAUUGAAAAAAAGAAAAGGAAAAAAAUAGAAAAAGGAAACAUCCGCAAAAAAAACAGGCGGCGUCCCGGCCACACAUGGGCCGGCCCAGAAGGGGAGCGGGGGGUGCGCGCCCGCUUCCUUCGCAGCGCGUGCUGCGCCCUAUAGGCGCUCCCGAGAUCAAAGAGAGCAACUAAUUAACGAGCGCUCCUUUGGGAGCCUCGCAACGAUCAGCGCCACUUGGCGCGAUCUCAGCCAUUCUCCACGUGUCGCGCUCUGGGCGCUCCCUUCGAAUUUUGUUUUUUUUUUUUUCCACACGCGUUUGCGGCUUUUUUAACAGGUUUUUUUUACGUUUUGGUUUUCCAUCAGUCUUCCUUAGCUUUCGAUCAAAAAAAAAUUUGAAAAAAAAAAUUGCGCAAAAAAACGUGUUUUCUUUUUUUUUCUUUCGCGAGAGGCACGGUUGUGCUUUCGCGAGAGUCACGGCCGUGCCUCUCGGAAACGGAAAAAAAACGUGUUUUCUGUUUUUUUUCGUUUCACGAGUCACGGUUUUCUUUCCGUGAGAGUCACGGUCGUGCCUCUCGAAAACGAAAAAAACAUUAUUUCUGUUUUUUUUUCUUUCACGAGAGUCACGGUUUUUCUUCCGCGUGAGGCACGGUUGUGCUUUCCCGAGAGUCACGGCCGUGCCUCUCGAAAAUGAAAAAAAACGCGUUUUCUGUUUUUUUUCUUUUGCGAGUCACGGUUUUUCUUCCGCGAGAGGCAUGGUUGUGCUUUCGCGAGAGUCACGGCCGUGCCUCCUCGGAAACGAAAAAAACGUGUUUUCUUUUCUUUUUUUCCUUCCGCGAGGGUCACGGUUUUACUUGCGCGAGAAGCGGCACGUUUGUGAUUUCGUGAGAGGCACGGGCGUGCCUCUUUCGGAAAGGGAAAAACCCGUGCUCCCGGUUCGGUUUUUUCGUCCGAUUUUUUUCAUAAAAAAAAAUUCGUCAAAACCUAUCAACAUGGGAUCUAGUUUGGAAGAUCUCAACGCGAGGAAUCAAAUAGUGAAAGCGGUUUGAGAGAUAAAACGUUUUGAAUAAACGGAUCUACGAAAAAAGAGAAAACUUUCAGGUUGCGACAAAUGGCGCGCUGCAUGUGCGCCACUUGCCGCAACCUGGGGAGUUGGAGUGAUCUUUGCAACGAGUACUCCUCAAUUAGUGAUUUCGGCUUACUGCCUGGACCAGUCGAGUUGACCAGGACAGCAACCAAACAGGCCUAUCUAAAAUGGAUAUAUGAAUUGGGCACAACAAAAAAAUUGCUAACAGGCACAACAAAAAAUUCCCAAUCAUAAAGCAUCACUUAAUCUUCAUAAAUAGUGCGAGUACACAUUGUUGCGCAUUUAUUUAUAACACACAAAGUCUCGGCUCUUCCCCACUUAUUAUUAAUAGAAGAUUUCCACGAUAAAACCACCGACAUGCUACUGCCUUAAGCUCUGCAAAAUAUACUGUGCAUACAGGUCCCUGCGGUGAAAAAAAGAAAAGAAGCGUCAACGUAAACCAAAAGACACAUUCACCAUCAUCACUUAUGAAACUAAAGGAAAAAAUACAUCUUGGCAGAUAUCAACACGAAACUGUACUUACAUUGAAUACUGAAUGGCCUCGCGGGCAGUGGUCGCAGGUAAGAACGCAUCGACAGCGACCUCCUUGUUCUCAUUCUUCUUGUCUAGAAGUUACGGCUAAGGAUGCGAAAAAAUGUACCUCUAAAUUAUAUACAGUAGUAUAUAAGAUACUCUGCUACUGCAUGUAACAAGGAAAACAAAUAAAUCGGAUUAUGCAGGAUACAGUCCUCAAAGAAGCGCUUGAUCUCUUGGAGGCGGUGAGGAGACAGCUCACUGAUGUCAUUGUAGUGACGGUAUUCAGGAUCAUCGGCGCAGACUGCUAUGAUCUUGUCAUCCUUUUCACCCUGAUGACAACCAACCGCCAUCCUCAGUAAAACAAGGUAAGGCUAUUUUCGUUCAUCUCCCAUUACCGUGCAGAGAAUGAACAAGGAAUACCUGAUCAAUCAUGGGCAUAAGGCCAAUUGCUCUAGCUCGGAGGAAAGAACCAGGAAUAACAGGCUCCUGUGAGAGAUAAAAGAGCAACACAGUGAUCACUACCCCCUCUGUUUCAGUUUAUAAGGUCUGCACAAUUUGUCUCAAGUCAAACCCAUAAAUUUUGACCAUGAUAUUGUCAAGUUUAUGAGUGCUCAACUUAAGACAAACCAGAUCAGCCUUAUAAAAUAAAAAGGAGAUAUAUUAUGCUUGGAGUGCAUGAACAUCGGAAGACUAACCUGCAUCAGGACCAACACAUCCAUUGGAUCGUUGUCUUCACAAAGUGUCCUCGGAAUGAAACCAUAGUUAUGAGGAUAUACAACUGAUGAGUACAGAACUCUAUCAACCUGUCAUGUUGUAUAACAUAAUAACGAAACUACAUUAUGCUUUGACGAAAAAUAGCAAAAUAAGUUAACUCAUGAGUACAAGACUAAAUCAAUUUAGCAAGCACAGCAACAGAGGUGCAUUAUGCUGGUGGAUGCUUUUGAAUUUAUCAUUCCUUACACAAGUACAGUAAAAAAUAUUAAAGCAAUUCAUUGUGAUGCAACAGAAAGUGUUGAUCAAUAGAUCUUAUAUACAACCAGAACACACCUUAAUCAGUCCAGUUUUCUUGUCAAGCUCAUAUUUUACUUUGCUUCCCUUUGUGAUCUCAACAACCUGCAGUAAGAUAUACAUGUAAACAGUUAACUUCAUGAGUUAGAAAGCACUGCCAGGACCAACUUUACAUAACGAGUCUAGCAUCGUUAACAGAAAUACCAAAGACCACUCAAUAUAUACGUGUGUUACUGAGAAGCAAUUUUGCUAAACAGUAGAUUAAAUGAUAAAUGCAUCUCAAUGUUGCACAACUAUAUAUCAACUGCUCAAUAAAGUUAACAUGUUGUUGAAAAAUUGUACGUUGGGAAAAAUGGUUAGAUUAAAAGCGCUUCUCUUUCAAUUUCAAGCCUAGAAACUAGUGCUACAAUUCGUAAGUCACAAAAAUAAUAAUAUCAAGGGACAAAAUUCCAGAGGUAACUACAGGUCUAAAAUCACAGUGACAAUUUUACUUGUAUCACAAUCAUAGACCCAAUCCAGCCAAAGGAGAUUUAAAUAGUUACAGAAUCAACAAAUCAAGUAGAGGCAUGCUGAAGGCAGUGAUACCAGGUUAUCAACAGAUAGUGCACAACUGCACAUCCAAUACUAAUCAUACUACCAUCAUUAGCCUCAAUAUUGAUGAUAGGCCAAUUGAAUUCAGUAUAAGUAUAAAACAGUGAGAACCGGUAGCUGAAUUCCAUGUAUCAUGCUAUUUUUAUUUUCGUAUGGUGGGUAGAUUUGUGUGCCAUUUAAUACUGAUUGCUUCAUUUUAACAUUUUAACUGGCAUGUCUAUACACUACUGAACUGAAACGGAUGAGGAAAACAUUGAAUUGUUACCACAGGCUCUUACAAUUGCAAUACUGAUCGAACAUCCAGUUAUUUUGAUUCAGACAUAGCCCAAAUCACCUUUUACCAAGCGCAACCUUACAUAAACUAAAAAGAGGCUGUCUGGUAUAUUCUGGUUGUCACUUUCAGUUUAAGAAAUAUUUCAGCAACGACAGAAAUUCAAUAUAUUUCAGUGAUUUCAGUUUGCAUUUUCGCCAAAGGGCCGUAACAUUCACUUGAAUUAUUUGAAAAAUAUUUGAACUCAUGUGUAUCACUAAAAUUACUGAAAUAUUUUAACGAAAGGUAAAUAUUUCACUGAAUUUCAUCGAGAUCUCACUGAAAGUGAAAACCAACUGUUGCCUACUUCCUAGUACAGAUUGCAAUGAAGCAUCAAAAUUGUGCUUCAGAAUCAACUGCAUCCUGCAGAGAACCUACUCCCUGGUCCAAUAAUCCCCUGCCACCACUUGCCCAAGAACCAACUUCCUAAUUUACUUCGCGACAAAAGAACAUCAAAUAUCUUAACUGACGAAGAUGUUCAGCCGGCAAGGCAAAAAGAUGGUACUUACAACAUUGAACACCGCUGGAGCCCCAGGGCCUGUGCACCAAACACUCAAUCAGCAAUUCAGCAUGCUUAUUUUUUUAUGAAGGCAUUCAGUAAUGGAGAAAAGGCGGCUCCUCCUCCUCACCAAUCUCGAGAUCAUGCCACGGAUGCGCGGCCACCGCCCUCCUCGACAGCGACGACAGGAUCCUCUCGUUGAGCUUCGGGGCUGGCCGGCUCUGCGCGCUCGUCGAGUCCUCUUGGCUCAUCCUGCUGCCUACCAAGAUGAAGCCACGAAUCAGACCUCGGAAGAGGAACACGUCCCCUUACAGAAUGAAACAGCACGCAUGUUGGUUUCAUCCGGCGAAAUUUCAUGGUAGAUAGUUUCUUUCCCUGCUCGAAUUAAACACUGCCAGCUACAGAGUUCAGGGGCACGCCCGUGCACAGCAGCAGAGCAGAGUAGCCCCUUUUGACCCGAUUGGUGCUUGGUUCCUAGCCACGCCUAGAUCGAGUCUCCGCGAGGAACAUGAACAGAUCAGCCGCACAGAACACGGAGAGAUCGAACCGGAGUUCGCCGGCGGCGAAAUCGGGACAAGACAGAGCAAAUCGACAGUGGCGCCUAGCUAACCGCCUUGUAUCGGAUCGACGCGAUUGAAAAGAAGCUUUUGGGUCACCUGCGCUGCGGUUGGAGGCGGCCUCUUGAAACGACGAGCGACGGCGGCGGCGGCGGCCUCUUGAAGAGUAGAUUGACUCCUCUGCUCUGCUCACUCUGCCGCAGGCGCUUAAAAUGGCAGGGAGUGAAUGCUGAUUGCUUUGGCUUUUCCAGCCAGCACCCUGCUCGAUUAUUUAGUCACCGAUCAGUCCCUGGGUAGAGUCUAGCCUAACGAGUAACCACUACGUACUCAUCUCUUUGUAUUUUUAUGCUGUCCAACUAUAUAUUAAUACUCGUGUGUCACUCACAUCUCCUUUGUAUUUUGAAAUGAGGACAAAGUUUGGUUAAAAGCAAAAGAUGGCCAGGGGGUAAAAAAUGAGCAUGUCUCUCUCAAGGAACAUAAAGAAAAGGAACACAUUAUUGUAUCCCUGUAAAAGAGGCGCACGCACCCAUUAAUUUAUCAAUCUGGCUGCGACAUUCUGUAACCACGGGUUGCACUAGUUUAGUGAUAGUGUUGCAAGUGCUAGAUACACGACGGAAACAGUUUGUUGUUUUCGCUCACAAGGAUCAUGGUGUCCACCAACUUGUUGUUCGAAAAUCCGAGCCGCGGUUGAUUCGUCGGGGACAAGCAAUCACAAUACGACACCUAGAUUUGUUAGCGAGUUUAGCCGACAUGACUUUAUCCAAGAACAUGACUACGCAUGCUCCUAGUAGACAAAUUAAGAUGAAGCAUACCCACCUUGUAUCAGAUCAAUGAGAAGGAAAAGAAAGUUUCUGAACCGGAGGAAGAGUCAUCUGCCUUGCGGUUGGAAACCGCUCGACGGUGGCGGUGGUGGGAGGUAGAGGCGAGAGAGAUCAAAUCAAGCGCUUGAAAUAGAAAGGAGUGGAUGCUGAUUGCUUUGAGUUUUAGUCACCAUGCUGCUUUAUCCCUCUAUUAGCAUAUCAGCCCUAGGUAUGUAGUAAGUGGGGGAGUAAUAUUCAAGUGUCACACAUAUCCCUUUUUGUAUUUUGAAAUGAGGACAUGGUUUGGUUAAAAGGAAAAGUUGGCCGGAGAGGGUACAAAAUGACACUAGUAGAAAAAGGGUCUAAUGUGAAGCUCAUUAGUCCCAGUUUGUAAUUGAACCGGCACUAAUGUGACCAUUAGUGCCAGUUCCAACGGCUAGGCGGACGGCGCUCAUUAGUACCAGUUCGUGGCGAACCUUUAGUACCGGUUCGUGCCACGAACCGAUACUAAAGAGGUGGUGGCCUUUAGUACGGGUUGGUGGCUCCAACCGGUACUAAAGACCCCUCCUUUAGUACGGGUUCGUGUUGAGAGGAGCUCGCACCGGUUUAUAAGCCCCGCUGCGGCUACCGUGUCGAGCUCCUCUCUAAGCAGGCCUUUUGUGGGCCUAUUGCAAGUCUUCUGCCCUGUGGGGCCUACUGGGCCGUACGGGCCUGCAUCCUGGCCCAACUAGAGGUUGGGUUUCUAGUCGUAUGCAGGCCGUGCCGGCCCAGUAGGUUGGCUAUUUUUGCUUUAUUUCAAAAAAUAAUUCAAAAAAAUCUUUUAGUCCCGUUUGGUGUUACCAGACUAAAGUUCCCCCAGACCACGGCGCGGCUCGUGCCACGUGGUGGCCCUUUAGUGGCGGUUCGUGUUAAACCGGUACUAAGGAGGAGGGGGCUUUAGUUCCCACACUUUAGUGUCGGUUGCAAAACCGGCACUAAAUGGCCUUACGAACCGGUGCUAAAGCCCGGUUCUGCACUAGUGUGAUCAUGUCUCUCAACUCUCAAGGAACAAAAAAGAAGCACCUUUCUCUAUCCAUUUCGUUCUUUUCUCCGAAAGACUUAGUAUCGACUUGCUUGGAUGAAUAGGACAAGAUGUGACGAUUUUAGCUCUGUGGUGUGCAUCUUGGGAAACAAAGAUAGAAAUAUGUGACUUGGGUUUCCAAUAAAAAGACGAGCGCAUCGAGUAGAAUUUCUUAAUGUUAAUUUUCGAAGGUGGUGUGUGUCUUCUUAUUCUUUCUACAUAGAGCUUGUACCAUUUUCCUUGUUAACUGGGAGAAAACAAUACGCUCGAGUAAAUUGGUGAGGAGAACCCACUUUGAAAAGAAAUCGAGAAUUUUAACUCAAGUAGGCUCUUGCCAUGCAUGGGGCCGCUGGCCUGCUUUAAGAGUGUGUGCGUGUGUGUCUGGUUCGCGCUUAAUUUUGUUGAAGCAAAAAAGCUUCUAAGCUAAAAUUUGAGUUAGGGCAAUGUCCAACACUGACAUGGAAAUUGGCUCCCCCAUCCGUCUGUGGAGCGGGGAUCAGUCCUUGGACAGUGAUGCAGAAGCCGGCCAUCCAAAGCUAUCGUCUACAUUUCCGUCAGUAAACAGUAAUUUGAGAUUUAAAGAAACUUCGGUCCACAUCGCACGCCAGAUCACACUAGUGCCAGAUCACAUGUCCAAUCACAAUAAAAAAGAGGCAAGUAUAUGCUUAGCUUUUAUAUGCCCGAUCACAAUCAAAAAGAGGCAAGUAUGUUAGCAUGCCCGAAAUCACAAUAAAAAAAAGCAAGUAUGCUUCUGUUUUUACAUGCCCGGUCACAGAAGACUAUCUAUCCGGCAGUCCGUGCAAAAGUUUUUACAUGGCGGAUAACAGCGUGCUGGCACCCAUCUGCUCCCCGCCUGUCGUCCAUGCCCGAACAGGCUGCACUGUGAGAAGAGCUGUUUGGCGGGGUUGUUGUGGACUGUCUACCGAGCUGUUUGACGGUGUAGAAGUACAUAUGAAGCCUUGUAAUGCUCCGACCAUGACAGUGACUGUACAAUGGGCGACACUAUCGGGGCACCGCGGCCUAGGCGCGACCUCCACCACGUUCGUGACUAGCAUGCCCACCUCCACGUCCACCACCAGCACGUCCUCGGUCGGCCUUCUGCUUCUUGAGUGUUUCCUCCUUUGCGGCCUUCGCUUUGACGCGAUGAUUUUGCCGCGUCGCCGAGUUGAUCUUUCGAGCGAGCGCGAUGCUCGGAUCCUCCACCACCGCCAUCUCCGGCAGGUUAUCCUCUGGUACCAUGAGUCGGAGGCGGGAGGGAAGAAGAGAGUGGGAGAAAAUGAUGGAAUUGGGUGGAGAGCGGGGGGUGGAAGAAGAGAGUAGGAGAUUUUGCUGCGAAAACAGUGAGUGCAGCUACAAAAGCACGGGCUCUGCCUUCCUCUUGGGCGGACUGGGGGUGUCAGAGUCCGUUGUGUCUCAUGUCCGGACUCUCGCAAAGCCCUCCAUAUUUGGUUCUGGUCCGGGAAAAAAAAUCGUGAUCCGGACUGCUUCGCGGACAGAUGGGAUCGGCGUUUGAUGACUUCCGGGUCUAGACAGCUGCGUCCAGACGGAUACUACUAGUGUGAAUGUCGGUGUUGGAGAUGUGCUUGCCUAUGAAUCGAAUAGUAUUGGCUAGAAAAUUACUAGAGUCUGUAAGAACGGAAACAUUGACGCUCGAUUUAUGUUAAAAAGGUAAUAUCCAAAAAUGGAAUCGCCAAAGGAUAUGCAAGUUUAGCAAUAACGUAAAUGGACUAAUGGUAGUACCAACUAAUACUAUAGAAGAUUUAGCACAUGCCCAUGAGUUUUUUCUGUAAUAGGAUGAAAAUAGUAGCUCCAGGAAAGAAUAGAAGCACCCAGCCGUAGAAAUGUUCGCUACUACUUUGGUUUGGACCUGACUGGUUGAUAAAAAAAACGAGAAAGCAUUCACGGGCCCUGGCAGCUUGUUGAGGGCGCUCGGACGCAUCGUGGCUGUUCAUGCCCGAUCGUGUGUUCCUCCUGAAGGAGUGAAGUUGCCAUCGGAUGAGAUCUGAUGGCUGGCCCAAGUGGGUUUGGUCCUAGGGGCCAUCGGGCGCUUGUGCCGUGGGAAUUGUUCUGUUCCCCGGCCGUAGCCCAUUCUGAUCUUGGGUGUCCACGGGCGACGGGCUCAAGUGUUGCGCCGGUCUCGUGGCACGCGGGUUCGCUCACCUAAACCCCCUAUUAACUCCCUUUUUUUUCUACACUAGUACAAAUGCUCAUUGCAAAAUCGGAAAACUUGCUCCGUGUGCAUUGCAUGCCAUUUCUCACAUCCAAUUCUGAUGAACAUUGGUCAUAAGGCUACACGGUUUCGCUUUUCACAGCAUGAAUGUGGACGUGAAGAAGCUACCCUAAUCCUUCAUCUGAUGGAAGAGUAGUGGUAAAUGGACAUGGAAUAGUGUGUCAAUCGGUUUUAUUUUGUACUUUUCAGAAAACGUGAAUAUUUCUUUAAUUUUUUAAAUAAAAUUGAACAUCUUUUCUUUUUUGAAUUUUUUUUAUACAUUUAGAACAUGUUCUGAAGACGAAUAUUUUUGGAACACAUGUAUAUUCUUUUAAAUGGAAUUUUUUUUGGAAUGUGUGAGCAUUUUUUUAAAGCGUGAACGUAUUUAAAAAUGUGAAUAAUUUUUUAAAGCAACAACAAUUUGAAACACUCUUUAUCUUAAAAAUGUGAACCCCACGUCCCAAUAGGAGGAGUCCUCGGCGUAGUUCGGGUAGCCGUGUAGUUCAAAAUCUAGGGCAGCACGACGGAGGCGGAUCUCCUCCAUCCACGCGCGGGCUGACCGAGGCACCACCGACACCGGCACCCUGUAAGGGUUGAGGUGCCAACCAUGCGGCAGGUUGACAUUCCGCUACGGCGCCGAGAUGCAGUUCUGCCAGUGGUAGACACGCUGGUGGACCGGGAGGUAGUGCCGCAGGCACGGACGCUCAGGUUGGCGUGCCCCCAACAUCGACGGCGUGUUGGUGAAGUUCGCCAAAGCCGCCUUGCGGUCAUGCUUGCCAUGGCCGGGCUAGCCACUGCGUUUGAAAAUACCAAUGGGCAUGGCCGGCAUCGUAGAUGGCACGCUGCUCCGCACCUGAUGGAGCGCCGACAAAGGCGUCGGCGUAGGCUGCACCUCCGCCAUGGCGGCAUUGGACUGCGUCUGCGCCUGCUCCAUGGUGAAGCCGGUAUGCACCGGAGGUGCGGGAGUCGGGACGGUGUCGUUGGAGCCCGUCUCCGUCGUGGUGUUGUCCUCGUCGUCGGAGACCUCGAGCGAGCUGGCCGGCAAGCCGGCCUCGAUCCGCCUGGCACGGCGGCUAUGCUAGGCGGCGGCAAGGGCCACCGCGUGCUUCAUCUCCGACGACAGACUGUCCCACUGUGCUUUCCUGCUGGCAGUAAUGGUGAAUGCAGUGCAAGGGAGGAGGAUGUGGAGGGACUUGUAGUGUGGUGUGGAGUUAGCCGGGUGUGGCUGUUGGGGAUCGUAGCAGAAAUUUAAAAUUUUCUACGCAUCACCAAGAUCAAUCUAUGGAGUCAUCUAGCAACGAGAGAGAGACUGCCCUCCCUCCCCCCCUCCUAUAUAUAGGCCUCCUGGGGGGCGCCUGUAGGAGAUAUGCCCUAGAGGCAAUAAUAAAUGAUAUUAUUUAUCUCCGAGUUCAUAAUUAUGUUUAUGUUCCAUGCUAUAACUGCUAUGGUUCUCAAGUCUGCAAUAACCACGAGGCUCGGAGGAAGACUCAUAUGCACGUGUGGAAUAAUAAACGGUAAAAUGUAUUCCUAGUCUGGCCUCUAAGACUAGCUCAAGUGUUGCAUGAUGGUUAUGUUUUCCUGAUCAUGGGCAUGUCUAUGUCAGCAACCUUGAGGGCACAAUGUUAAGAGAACAUUUGUGUUGAAUCGACCCGGCAUGAUGUUAUGCUAAGAGAUUCAUUCGUCACAAGUUAAUGGUACAUAACACAGAGAUGGUUAACGUUUGCAUGAUUCCUUAGGCCAUGAGAGUAUCGAGUUUCUUCAUGCUUGCUUCAUGAACUUUGGGGUUUGUUAAACGUCAUCCGUAAAUGGGUGGCUAUUACGGCGGCUUACGGGUUCAUGGAAAAGUGUGUCAAGUAACUUGAUAGCUCAAGAUUGGGAUUUGCUCCUCCGACGAUGGAGAGAUAUUCUCGGGCCCUCUUGGUAUUACGGUAUCCAUCAUCGUCUGGCCAGACACAGUGUGAUUUGAUCACUGGGAUGCCGGAACACGGAAACGAGAAAAGAGAACAAAACCGGUAACGAGGAAACUUGCAUGGUGGACAAAUUGUUCGUCCAUGGGCAUGCAAUAAAUCUCACCUCGGGUGUUUGUGACAUAUCGCGAAGCAACAGGAAUAGCUCACUGCAACUGGAGGUUCACUCGAAUAUUCAUUCGUGUGGGUAUAGGGGUCAAUAUGGGUGUCCACGGCUCCGAUGUUGAUCAUUGAUCGGAAGGGGUUCCAGGUCAUGUCUAUACUUCACCGAACCUAUAGGGUCACACGCUUAAGGGUCAUCUAUCUACUGAAUACUAGACAGGGAGUCUGAGAGAAAAUCACCGAAAACGUUUCGGACACCGAAAAGUUUCGGACAGCGGAAUCGUACCGCAGAGAGAGGUCAUCGGAUAAGUUUCGAUGAUACCGAAAAGUUGUUUCGGGAUACACCAUUAAGUCAAAUUGGUUUCGGCACAUGCCUGAUAAUUCUUGGAGGAUGCCAGAAUCAUUCUGGAAGCUUUUUGGAAUUUUCUGAGAUAAAAACCGGAAAUGUUCCGGAGCUGCCGGAGCCACUUCAGAUGCUUUUCGCAGAUGAAAAUCACUAAACCGGAAUUGUUUCGGAACGCGUUGAAAAUAAUUUUGGUGGGUACUGGAAAUGUUCUAAGCCCACAUAAAUAUUUUCAGUUCGAACAGACGCUGAAAAAUGUCGUCAUGAAUAGUGAAAGUGCUUUUUGGGAUAUUUUAUGGUGAGUCACCUUUUGGGAUAUCUCCAAAAGGCUUCUAGAAGGGCUUGGGGGCCAAGCAUGCUCCUCAUGGGGGUCCCCCAAGGGGGUUGGCCGGCCACAUGUGUGGGGCUCCAUGGAGCUCCACUUCAUUCCCCAUUAUGCCCUUCAUGUGUGACAUUUGCAUGGGCAUUUUGGGUUUUUGUGAGCCAUCCCUACCCCUUGGCUUUCCUAUAAAUAGAGGAGGAGUGGGCAGCCCAAACCUCAUCCCUUCUCACAUACAAGUGCCAUGCAAUGAUCUGGCUUCUCUCUCCCUCCCCGCGAAAUAGUUUCGUAGAGCCGAAAGGCUGUCUGGGUUCCGGCAGGAACUAGUUCUGGACGGCGAAGCCCUGCCGGAUAGAUGACACCGUAUGUGUGCAACUCUGUAGAGAGAUCGUAGUUUCGGUCUUAGUUCGUGAGUGCCUCCCGAAGGGCUGUCCAUGUGACCGUCCGAGUUUCGAAGGUCCUCCCGAAGGGCUGUCCUCGACACCGUCCGGGGGGCUGUUCGAUCGCCUCCCGGAGGGCUGUCUGAGGAGCAGAUGAGGGUAUACAUCCUCGCGGUUGGGAGGUUGUAAAUCCUAGCUGCGGGGAUCUGCACCGCCGAUCGUCUCCCCGCUGCGCUACGAGUCGGUAACGAAAAAGAUCAAACCAUGUAUGCAGUCUCCAUAGUGGUCCUGGGCUGGUGCGUAGGUCGGAAAAUUUUUGUUUUCUGUCGCGUUACCCUACAACGCCGGCCCUAGGAGAUCUGAUCUCCAAGGGGGGCGGCGGCCAAGGGGUGGCUUCCCCCCCAAGCCAAGUGGGGGGCGCCCCCACCCCUAGGGUUUCCAACCCUAGGCGCAGGGGAGGCCCAAAGGGAGGAGGGCGCACCAGCCCACCAGGGGCUGGUUCCCCUCCCACUUCAGCCCAUGGGGCACUCCGGGAUAGGUGGCCCCACCCGGUGGACCCCCGGGACCCUUCCGGUGGUCCCGGUACAAUACCGGUGACCCCCGAAACUUUCCCGGUGGCCGAAACUGGACUUCCUAUAUACAAUUCUUCACCUCCGGACCAUUCUGGAACUCCUCGUGACGUCCGGGAUCUCAUCCGAGACUCCGAACAAAUUUCGGGUUACCGCAUACUAAUAUCUCUACAACCCUAGCGUCACCGAACCUUAAGUGUGUAGACCCUACGGGUUCGGGAGACAUGCAGACAUGACCGAGACGACUCUCCGGUCAAUAACCAACAGCGGGAUCUGGAUACCCAUGUUGGAUCCCACAUGUUCCACGAUGAUCUCAUCGAAUGAACCACAAUGUCGAGGAUUCAAUCAAUCCCGUAUACAAUUCUUUUUGUCAAUCGGUACGUUACUUGCCCGAGAUUCGAUCGUCGGUAUCCCAAUACCUUGUUCAAUCUCGUUACCGGCAAGUCACAUUACUCGUACCAUAAUGCAUGAUCCCUUUACCAACCACUUGGUCACUUUGAGCUCAUUAUGAUGAUGCAUUACCGAGUGGGCCCACAGAUACCUCUCCGUCAUACGGAGUGACAAAUCCUAGUCUCGAUCCAUGUCAACCCAACAGACACUUUCAGAGAUACCUGUAGUGUACCUUUAUAGUCACCCAGUUACGUUCUGAUGUUUGGGACACCCAAAGCACUCCUACGGCAUCUGGGAGUUACACGAUCUCAUGGUCUAAGGAAAUGAUACUUGACAUUGGAAAAGCUCUAGCAAACGAACUACACGAUCUUUGUGCUAUGCGUAGGAUUGGGUCUUGUCCAUCACAUCAUUCUCCUAAUGAUGUGAUCCCGUUAUCAAUGACAUCCAAUGUCCAUAGUCAGGAAACCAUGACCAUCUGUUGAUCAAUGAGCUAGUCAACUAGAGGCUCACUAGGGACAUGUUGUGGUCUAUGUAUUCACACAUGUAUUACGAUUUCCGGAUAACACAAUUAUAGCAUGAACAAUAGACAAUUAUCAUGAACAAAGAAAUAUAAUAAUAACCAUUUAUUAUUGCCUCUAGGGCAUAUUUCCAACAGUCUCCCACUUGCACUAGAGUCAAUAAUCCACCGAGCUACAAGAGCAACCGCACCGGUAUCAAAUACCCAGGAGCUACUACGAGUACUGGUAAGGUACACAUCAAUUACAUGUAUAUCACAUAUACCUUUGGUAUUGCCGGCCUUCUUGUCCGCUAAGUAUUUGGGGCAGUUCCACUUCCAGUGACCACUUCCCUUGCAAUAAAAGCACUCAGUCUCAGGCUUGGGUCCAUUCUUUGGGUUCUUCCCGGCAACUGGCUUACCGGGCGCGGCAACUCCCUUGCCGUCCUUCUUGAAGUUCUUCUUACCCUUGCCUUUCUUGAACUUAGUGGUUUUAUUCACCAUCAACACUUGAUGUUCCUUUUUGAUCUCCACCUCCGCUGAUUUCAGCAUUGAAUAUACCUCAGGAAUGGUCUUUUCCAUCCCCUGCAUAUUGAAGUUCAUCACAAAGCUCUUGUAGCUCGGUGGAAGCGACUGAAGGAUUCUGUCAAUGACCGCGUCAUCCGGGAGAUUAACUCCCAGCUGAGUCAAGCGGUUGUGCAACCCAGACAUUUUGAGUAUGUGCUCGCUGACAGAACUGUUUUCCGCCAUCUUACAACUGAAGAACUUGUCGGAGACUUCAUAUCUCUCGACCCGGGCAUGAGCUUGGAAAACCAUUUUCAGCUCUUCGAACAUCUCAUAUGCUCCGUGUUGCUCAAAACGCUUUUGGAGCCCCGAUUCUAAGCUGUAAAGCAUGCCGCACUGAACGAGGGAGUAAUCAUCAGCACGUGACUGCCAAGCGUUCAUAACAUCUUGGUUCUCUGGGAUGGGUGCGUCACCUAGCGGUGCUUCUAGGACAUAAUCUUUCUUGGCAGCUAUGAGGAUGAUCCUCAGGUUCCGGACCCAGUCCGUAUAGUUGCUGCCAUCAUCUUUCAGCUUGGUUUUCUCUAGGAACGCAUUGAAGUUGAGGGCAACGUGGGCCAUUUGAUCUACAAGACAUAUUGUAAAGAUUUUAGACUAAGUUCAUGAUAAUUAAGUUCAUCUAAUCAAAUUAUUCAAUGAACUCCCACUCAGAUAGACAUCCCUCUAGUCAUCUAAGUGAAACAUGAUCCGAGUCAACUAGGCCGUGUCCGAUCAUCACGUGAGACGGACUAGUCAACAUCGGUGAACAUCUUCAUGUUGAUCGUAUCUUCUAUACGACUCAUGCUCGACCUUUCGGUCUUCCGUGUUCCGAGGCCAUGUCUGUUGGGGAUCGUAGCAGAAUUUUAAAAUUUUCCUACGCUCACCAAGAUCCAUCUAUGGAGUAUACUAGCAACGAGGGGAAAGGAGUGCAUCUACAUACCCUUGUAGAUCGCGAGCGGAAGCGUUCCAAUGAACGUGGUUGAUGGAGUCGUACUCGCCGUGAUCCAAAUCACCGAUGACCGAGUGCCGAACGGACGGCACCUCCGCGUUCAACACACAUACGGUGCAGCGACGUCUCCUCCUUCUUGAUCCAGCAAGGGGGAAGGAGAGGUUGAUGGAGAUCCAGCAGCACGGCGGCGUGGUGGUGGAUGUAGCGGGAUCUCGGCAGGGCUUCGCCGAGCUUCUGCGAGAGGGAGAGGUGUA